CAGAAGAUCUCUCUUUUCAUGUGUGAUAUCGGCCAAGGUUUCGUCAAAAUUUUAGAUGCACUGCCAAAUCUAGUGGAAUUGAACAUUGAUUAUUGCUAUGAUCUGGUGCAACUUCCUGCCAACCUUUGUGACCUUGUUCACCUUAAGAAGCUUAGCAUCACCAACUGUCAUAAGCUAUCUGCCUUGCCUGCAGACAUCGGAAAGCUAGUCAAUCUUGAAGUGUUGAGGCUUAGGUCAUGUGCAGAUUUGUUAGAGUUGCCAGGCUCGAUUAGGAACCUUAAAGUUUUGAAAUUUCUCGACAUAUCUGAUUGCUUUAGCGUAAAGGAGUUGCCAGAGGACAUUGGUGCAAUGUGCAAAAGCAGCAUUGAAGAAAAUGGAUUCAAACGAAGUGCCUGUUUCAAAACUGAAAGGCUGCCUGCUUCUGUUAUGGAACUUAAAGCCAUUGAAGUGAUAUGCGACGAUUUCCUUGAAAACUUUAUGGGAACCCUUUUUGCCAAUUCUCACAAACAUGCGCAAUUAAAGUGAUAAUGAUAUCAACCAAAUUGGAAAAGUCCUUUGCAUCAUGAUAAUGCAUCGUGAUUUGCCCAUGUGUUAAAAAACUACUUUAAUGAUAAAUGCAGUACUCCUGCUUGCUUGCAAUAUAUGAUCCUUGAAGCAUGUUAAAGUUGAACAAGUUCUUGCAACUAAGGCAACCAUGGAAUCUUUUCAAUCAUCUCUCUUGCCAAGUUCUUGAUUAAACAAUGUCUUCUCAAACUGAUAUCAAUCAAAACCUAAAUUGCAAACAAUUAAUAUUUCCAUCUCAAGAUCUCUGGUUGCCAAAUGUUCUGCAUUUUGUCGAUAAUCAUUGCAAGUUUAAUGAUUCUUUGAAUUCUCAUGUUUAAGAUAGCUAAACUCAUUUGUAUGCAAAGACUUUUUUGAUUUCAAGUAACACACAUUAAGUCUGCCAUGAAAAAGCACCAAUGAUAUAGAGGACUGGAACAUUGAGCAUGUCCUGUGAGAGGCUAGUCUUUCAAGCCUUUCAAUUCUUGCUGUUCGUAGAAAGCAACGAAAGGCCAGUCUUGAAGCUUCCUGCCAAUCUCAAUGACGGCUUUCUUAGAAUUGGUUUUGUGAAAAUUCAAAUUACAGAGAGAGCAGAGAAACGAGGAAGAGUGCACAUGUUAAAGUACAAUUUUAUCCAUGUAUUAACAGAUAGUUAAUGGAAAAAUCAAAUUUUGGGCUAAACGGAGUACCAACAAUGAGUUCAAAUCUGAGUUUUUUUAGCAUAUGGGCUAUCUUCCGAAUACCUUAUGAUCAUAGGGAUUAUUUAUCCGAUUUGGCCUUAUUGUAAUUAUUCACCAUGGCUAUUAUUGUAAAUAACAUGUUUGCACUCCUCAUUUAUUGACUCUUUUGAUUCUCUUUGAUUUAUCCAAUCAAUGGUGUGCAUAAGUGCAUGGAAAGAAAAUAAAGUUCAAAAAUAACUACCCUUUGAUUUAUCCAAUUAAUGAGUGUUGGUGCAAAAUUUGUUUUCUUAUUCUCUCUCUUGCUGCACCUCUUUAUCCCCCUUCAGUUAAAAUAUGACAUAACAUUACUAUUUUAUUUAAGGGUAAUUCAAAUUAGUAGAUAAAAUUUUGCAAACUAAGUGACAUGGAAAUUGAUGAUUGGAAUAUGACUUAAACGUAGAUAAAUGUGCUUAAUCCUAUUGGUAACAUAUCAUUUAGUUUGUAAAUUUUGUCCUCGUAACAUUACUCAUAUAAAUUAUUUAUUCAACAGCACAACAUUUUUUUUACUAUUUUAUUUUCAACUAUAAAUGCUACAACACAAAAUUUUAAAAGCAGUGCAAUACCAAAUCAUAUGCACUAGAAAAUUCUGUAUCUUCUCGCCUCCUAAUAGCGCGUCAAAUGUCUUUCCCGGCUCGUUCGUUUUCUUUGGGUGAAAUUCAUUGCUCUUCGUUAAGUUGUAUAUAUGUGUGCUGAAACCAACAGACACCUUACAUAACAUUCUCACUUUCUCAUCAAACUAAAUUAACAAAGAGGAUUAAGGGUUAGUUUGGGACUAUUGUGUUUAAAAAAAAAAAAAACUAAUAUUGUUAUGAUUUAAGAAUAAUCAGCUGUAAAAUAAAGGUGAUGAGCGUUUGCUUAACUAAAUUUUAAAAGUGCUGUGAAUAUGAAAAGCAACGCAAAAGUGUUUGGUAAAAUUUAAUGUAAAAGUGAUAUAAUUGUAUACAAUGAUAGAUGGACAUAGUAGUAAGAGUGGGGGCAACGACAGCAGUGGUGGUAAUGGUGAUGGUGGUUGUGGUGGAGUUGGUGGUUGCGGUGGAGCUGGUGGUGGUGCUAAUAGUGGGAUAUGUUGGUUGAGGUGGAAAGGUAACAUUGGUGGUAUGGCGGUGGUAGUGGUGGCAGUUGCAGUUAUGGUGGUGUCAGUGGUGGCGGCAAUGAUGGUGGUAAUGAUAGUUGUGGUUGUGAUGGCGAUGAUGGCAGUUGCAGUAAUGAUGGUGGUGAUGGUGUUGGCAAUGAUAGCAUCGAUGGUGGUAAUAGUGGCGGUGGCAAUGGCGGCGGCGGUAGUGAUGGUGGUGACAAUGAUGGUAGUGAUGACAGAGGUGAAGGUUGUGGUUAUGGCGGCGGUGGUGGUGACAAUAAUGGUGGUUGUAAUGGAGGAGAUGGUGUAAGGUUAGUAUUUGUAAUGGUAGGUGAUAGCGUUUAUUUUAUUCUCUAAGGAAUGUGUUUGGAAGGUUAAACAAUGUCAUUUAAAAAAAAAAAAUUAAUGAAGGUAUUACAACAAUUGAAAAUUAUUAUUAUAGACACAAUUCUACUUUUUUUUUAUUAAAGCCGCUUUUAAAAGCAACUUACAUGCUGCUUUUAAAAGAUGCUAUUUGGAGUCUCUUUGUUUUGGUAAAUAUGUCUGGCUCCAGUCGGAAUGGGUGAUUUCAGAACGACAUUUGAAAUGCUGUUUGAUGCUGUAAAAUCAGUGCAGGAGGAGAAUAAAAUGUUCCAGCACCUCUCCCGAGACAUCAAGUUCGCACAGGACUCUGUACAACCACUCAUCAAAGACAUCGAAAAGUAUAACUCGAAAGAGGGACCGCAAAUUUUGCAAUACAGAUGGAGGAGGGAACAAGCUUUCAACAACUGUUACAUAAUCUCAGUGGCAUUCCCGAAUAUAGAAGAAAUGUAUAUCGACUAUUGCAGUGAUUUAAUAGAGUUGCCCGCCGAGAUUUGUGAUCUUAGUAAACUAAAGAAGCUCAGUGUCACUAACUGUCAUAAGAUAUCUGCCUUUACCUGAAGGGAUUGGAAAGUCGGAAAAUUUAGAAAUGUUGAGGCUAAGAUCCUGCACAAAACUGUCAAAGCUUCCAACCACGAUGAAGAACCUUGGAAAGGUAAACUUUCUUGACAUAUCUAUUUGCUUCAGCAUCAAGAUGUUGCCCAAAGACAUAGGUGAAAUGAGUAGUUUAAAGAAGAUGAACAUGAGACAAUGCUCAAGGUUGCAAGAGCUGCCUCCAUCAGUCAUGGAUCUUAAGCAGUUAAGGGAAGUUGUCUGUGAUGAAGAUACAAAAUACUUAUGGGAAUCUUUCUCAUUGUGUCUCAACAACGUAAGGAUAAUUGUGGCCAAAGAGAAUAUCAACCUAAAUUGGAUCCACAAGACUCAGUUCUAAUACCUGUGUUUCCUUGAUGAUCGUUGCUCUUCAACCUCUCUUGACUUGUGUUUCAUUGUCUUCCUAUUUUAGGCUAUUUCCCAUCUCCUUUUUAGUUUGUUCGUGGCUAGAAUUUCCGUUGGGGAUGUUUCCUAGCGGACGAGCACACAGCUCACCAAGAGGUUGGCACCGGUUGAUGCUUUCUGUUAGGCUUCUGCUCACUGGCGGGCUUGUCAGGCAAAUCUUGUUGGGCAAGGCUUGUCGGGCAAGGCUGAAAGAGAAGGACAUGGUUAACUUUGAAAUGUGCCUUUGUAGGGCCUUAGGUGUAGGUCUUGAGGCUCACAAUCAAGAUUAACUUUUAGGUGUUCAGGCAUGCCACUGCCAUCUUUAGCAUGAUAGAUGUAAAACAGAUGUUGAGUUUUAAUUGUAUAUAUACCCGAGAGGCUGUUUUAGUUAUGAAAGGUGCCUUUGUAGGGCCUUAGGUGUAGGCCUUGAAGCUCUCAAUCAAUAACUAACCCAGUACUCGAACAUAUAAUGUUUGUUUCAUUGAUUGCAGAAGUGUUAUGACUAUUAUACUUCUAAUUACCUGAGCCCGAAGAGCAGAAUGAAUCCAAAUAGGUGCCUUUGUAGGGCCUUAGGUGUAGGCCUUGAGGCUUCCCAUCAGAAUUACUUCUAUACUCAAACGUUCUACGAUAAUCAUAAUAUAACAGAAAUAAAACUAGGAAAUAGGUCGAUUACUUGCGCCCUAAGUAACUUCGGACUUCUUGUUAUCAAAGUCUGUCGUGGAUGGGUUAAGUCCACAUAAGGUUCUUUUUUAUGCCUUGAGACCAAAGACUUUUGAAUGAUCAAUCUUACAUGCCCGAGGGUUUAGAACUUAGAUCUGAUUUAAACUGUGACUACAUAUUCCAAUCGGAUUCAAGCACUGAGGAGUCUUUUAAUCAUCAACUUGCUAGAAAUAACUUGGAUACAAAUGGAAGUAUACAACAUAUUACUAGACUUAUGAAUGAAAAGACAAAAACAAAGAGGGUCGGGCAAGGUUUCACUUUGUCGGGCAAAGCUGGUCGUCUUGCAACUUCCUAUCUUUGUGAUUUAUAGAGGGGUUUGAGAACUUGGAAAGAGGGAUAAGGAGAUGAGUUUACAGAAGGAAAUCGAUACUACAGUAAGAUUUAGACAAAGUAGCAAAGCUUUUACAAAAGCUUUUGGUGAGGGUUGAUCCCGAAAUGGAUGAAGGCUUGGGCUGACUACAGCUUCGUUGAAAGCAAAUCUGGCUUGAGCAGAGUUUGUGCUUAUAUUUGUUUGGUUGUUUGAGUGUCCUCAUCUCUGAUUUUCUUUCUUCUUUUAUAGACAGUUUGGCUUGGCAUCCAGUAGCUUUAAUCUUGCCCGAAUGCAGCUUGAAGGGCAAUGACUCAUCAGCUUUUUACUUGUACUGCUACUGUAAAGUGCUUUUGGGCUGAUUAGCUGGCUGGUCUACACCACUUGGUCUCUAGGUAGGUGAACAAGUGGUUCAAAUGAUCUGCACCUAGUCGGGAAAAGGCCUUUUCUUCCUUCUGGGCUUUAGCUGGACUUCGGGCUUCUUUCCUCCUAGUCAUUCUUUUGGACCGACUCCCUUUUGAGCCCAAAGUUCAAGUUUUAACCCAAACAGUGCCCCCUUCAAUUAAUAUUCAGGCUGGAAUUCCAGGCGCCAAUAUUGAUUGAAUAGCCGCAUGCAUGUAUACCUCAUCUCGGAACUUGUGUUUUCUAAACGGGACGAAUGCAAUCUUGCAUCUCUUGCUCUUCUCAUGACCUUUGAGCUAUCCUCUGAGGUUUCUAUAAAUUCAGGCUCGAAAUUGCUCCUGUCCAGCCAACAGAUCCUCUUCAGCCUUCUCUUUUAUCUCCCUUAACUGGAAAAUGGGUUCCUCCGAAUUCAAUUUGGGUUUCCUAAAACUCCCUUUUCAUGAGAAAAAGGAUUUUCAUCAAAUGUCUACUAUCUUCAACACCUUUGGUCAAACACCCCGUUAUCUCCAACACCUUUGGUCAGACGGUCUCCUUCUGAUAGUUUACCCUCAUGCUCGUUGCUUUUAUAAGUCGGGCUUCACCAUCAUACCUGGUGACGGUUCGCAUUGAGGGUCCUCUACCAGGCUCAUCUUGGCCGCACAACCCGAUCACCUGAUCGGGUUCUAUCCAUGAAGAUAACAGAAAACUGGUUGAGACACCACUGCAUCCAAAAGGAACCAUACAUAGUGCACUGAGGCAGAAUAUGAUGUAAAUUUCACCAAUUUGUCGAAAUGAAUAAAACAUUAUUUUAUCAACUUUUUAUCUUUCUGUCUUCUUGAAUGGUUGAUGAACAAACACUGUACUUUGACAUCUCGAAUCCUGCUUUAUCUUGCAUCCUCUUCAAUAUAACAGUCUCUAACAUCCCAUAAUGUAGGACAUUACCUUUUUAAGAAUUUGACAUUAAUGGGAUGUCUCUGCCAAUUUCCUUCGAGGUCCGCCAAGUAAUAUCCUCCCUUGUCUAAUACUCCACUAAUCAUGAAAUGACCUUCCCAUGUCGGGCUCCAUUUUCCAAAGCCCCUAAGUUGAGCCCCUAGAGGGAGGACUGUCUUCCACACUAAAUCUCCUUCAUUGAAAGACUUUAUCUUUACCUUUUUGUUAUAAGCUCGGGCAAUAGCUCUUUUUCCUUCUUGAAUCUGGUUCAAGGCUUCAAUUCGGGCUACAUCUAAGUCUUCAAUCCCUUGGCACAUGGCUUCGAUGUACUCCUCACUAUGUAACCCAAACUGAUUUUGAAUUCUGACAGAACUUACAUUGAUCUAUAUGGGAAACACUGCAUCUUGCCCGAAAGUUAAAGCAUAAGGAGUUGUCCCUAUUCCUGCCCUCUUAGAGGUUCGGUAUGCCCACAGAGUAUUCCCCAACUUUUCAUGCCACUUUUCCGGACUAUCUGUCACCAUUAUUUUGAUAAUGUUUACCAAAAUCUUGUUGCUGAAUUUUGCCUAGCCAUUUGACUGUGGGUAGUAAGGACUGGACUGGAUCAUUUUUAUUUUGUAUUUGCUUGCAAACUCUUCAACUACUUUUGAGAUAAAAGAUGGCCCACGAUCUGUUACUAUAGUUUCGGGCACCCCAAAUCUGUGCAGAAUCUUGGUCUCAAUAAAAUUCUUGACUGCAGCUAAGGGUAUGGAUUUUACGGCCGAGGCCUCUACCCAUUUGGUAAAGUAAUCCGUUGCUACAAUUAUGAAAGUAUCCCCCUUGCUAGAAGCUAGAUAAAUCUGCCCAACGAAGUCCAUUGCCUAUCCUCUGAAGGGCCAAGGCUUGACUACUGGAUUUAAAGGUACUGAAGGCACAUGUUGUAGUGGUCUAUGUCUUUGACAUUCUUCACACCCUUGGGCAUAGGACUUGCAAUCUUUUUCCAUGUCGGGCCAGAAAUACCCAUACCUUCUAAGCAACCACCUCAUCUUCGUUCCAGCUUGAUGUGCCCCGUAUAUUCCUUCAUGUACCUCGACCAUCACUCUCAUAGAUUCCUCUUGGCCUAAGCAUUUCAAUAGUAACUCGUCUGGAGUUUUCCUUAACAGGUUCUUUGCCCAUAAGACAUACUUGGUUGCUUGCUGUCUAUUAUUCUUGCUUGUGGGUGAAGAAGGAUCCUUUAAAUGAUGAAUGAUAGGCGACCUCCAAUCUUCUAUCUCAGUUUCUAGAACCAUUACAUCCAGACAAAAUCCUCUUUCUAGGAUAGAAGGAAUGUUUCUUCUUUGAAUCUCGACAUCUACCCCAUAUUUUCUUUCCUGUAUUGGCACGCCUGAGGCUAAUUGCGCCAUCUCGUUGGCCGCUAGGUUGGAUCCCCUGGGAACAUGAUUAACUGAUAUCUCAAAAUCCCAAUAACUCAACAAUUGCAUGGCCGCCAAGUAAUACCCUGCCAUGGUGAUAUGUCUGCACUUGAAAUCCCCAUUUAGCUGGUUUAUUACUAACUCUGAAUCACCAAACACCUUUACCUCUACUGCCCCCAGAUCCAUCAAGAUUUCCAAACCAAUUAUUAAGGCUUCAUACUCUGCCCGAUUAUUGGUGUUCCCUUGGUAAUCUAGGAGGAACGAGUAAUAAUGAUAAACCCCUUAAGGGUUCACAAUGACAAUCCCAGCUCCAGAGGCAUUCUGAGUGUAAGAACCAUCAAAAUAAAGCUUCCAAGGAGUAAUCCAGAGGCCAGUCACUCUUUUUAUCUCUUGCUGGACCCACUCCUUUUUACCCGAGAUAUCUUUGCUUGGCGGGAUCCAAACGCUAGUAACUUCCAAGGUCCCCGAGAUAUUGAUUAUCUCAUCUUGAGACUCUUGAUGCUCCACCAAGAAGUCGGCAAUUGCUUGGCCUUUGACUGCCCUUUGGGGUACAUACUGAAAGCUGAAUUCUGAUAAUGCUAGAAUCCACUUCCCAAUUCUUCCCGUCAACAUUGGUUUUGACAACAUAUACUUUAUCACAUCUAUUGGUAAUGAUGUGCACGUGACAAGGUAACAUGUAAUGCCUUAGCUUACUGGCAGUGAAAUAUAGAGCUAGGCACAAUCUUUCCACUGGGGAGUAUCUUGUUUCUACCUCGUUUAGAAUUCUACUGAGGUAGUACACCGCCUGCUCUUUCCCACCUUCAUUGUUUUGAGUUAGCAAACUUCCGAUUGAUUUUUCUGAAGCUGAGAUAUAUAGCUUUAAGGGUUUUCCCCUUUGAGGUGGUACCAACACUGGUAGAGAAGUCAAAUAGGCUUUGAUACUGUCAAAAGCCCUUUGGUGUGGUGGUCCCCACUCGAAAUCUUCUUUAUCUUUCAGUCUCAGCAUAAGAGUCAGUGGUUGGAUCUUACCCGCUAAAUUGGCAAUGAAUCUCCUUAAGAAAUUAAUUUUGCCUAGCAGCCUCUGAAGUUGUACUUUAUUGGUGGGUGAAGGCGACUCCAUUAUUGCCCGAGAUUUGUUUUUGUCGACUUCUACUCCUCUUUAGGUCAGCCAUGGGCAUGGGAUAUUCAUCUUUUGGUGUGGCGCCAUUAAUAUUUCUGUAAUCAACACAACAUCGCACUGCUUUUGUUAUGGCUUUUAAAACGGGUACAAUGUUGGCUAACCACUCUACAUACUUAGCUGGUCUAAUAAAUCUAGCUUUUACUAGUCUUUUAAUUUCUUCUUUGACCUUCUCUUCUAUCUCAUUUGACAUCCUUCGUGGUGCUUGCUUAACAGGUUUAUACCCCUCCUUGAUGCGCAUUCUGUGUUCCAGCAAGGUUGAAUCCAAACCUGGCAUCUUAGUGUAAUGCCAAGCAAAAUAAUCUUUAAAUUCUUGUAAAAGACAGAUAAUCUUCGCCCGAUCAUUAGUUUCUAACAAGCCACUGAUUUGUAUAGGUCUUGGAUCUUUUUCUGUCCCCAAAUCAAUGACUUCCAAAGGAUCCUGAACCUCUGGUGGUGGUUUGUCUGGUUCUGCGCACAAAAAUUCAACUAACUCCAGGCUUUUGGGCAAGUUGUCUGGCCCAUCCAAGUCAUAUAUGCACUCGGCCAUUCGUAUGGCCAUAUCCAAUUCUUCUCCGUAAAGCUCUUCUCUGCUUCUAUCCUGAUUGGUCGGAGUUCCUAGCUGCAAUUCCUGCUCUUCUUUGUCUAAGAGCUCCCUUUCUUGCUUUCUUCCUUUCCCAUACACCAACAGUCUUUUGAUCAGGGACAUGACUGCCAUUACUUGAUCCUUCCUAUUUUGUUCUGUCAUUGAUGAUGUAGGGGUGUUGAGACGAUACAAGGUCUAUCCCACUAUUCUCUAGUAAUGAGCAUUCCUUGUUCUAAAAGCUUUUGGGUCGUCACCUUGGUAAGGCGGCCGUUCUCAUCUGCUCCUGAACAUUUCAGAAUUCCUACGUUGGGAUUGUAGAAACUCGCCUCCGCAACAUUGGUUGUGGGGAGAAAUGGCCGUGAUUCGGCCUCCACCAUUUCCCAAAAGCCUAGUCCCUAUGUCCCUGCCUCAUGAUAAACAACCACUUGUUGAUGUAGAGUGGAGGGUAUGACGAGACUUUGGUGGAUCCAGUCCCUUCCAAGUAAGGCUCCAUAGGUGGAAGUGCAAUCUACCACAAAGAAUGCCAACAUGAUUUGUUUGGACCCCAAAUCCACUUCUAAAGGCAAUAUCCCAUGAGUUUUGGUAAUAGUGCCCGAGAAGCUUGAAACCGUGAAGUCCGUAGGAAUAAGAUCUUCUGUGCCUCUCCCUAUUCUUUUCAUUUGCUUGGCUGGCAGUACAUUAACAGCCUCUCAUCCAUCAAUUAAAAUUCUUUUGAAAGACACCCCUUCCAAAUGAGCCGCAAAAUAUAUUGGCUUAAGAUGGUUGGCUAGUAACAUGUUUGGACAACUGAACACCAUUUUAUCCGUAUAGAUCCUUAAAGGACUAUCUUUGGAUGCUUCGGAAAAUUCAGCUUUUCCUGACUCUCUUUCUCCAGCUAUCUUAACACUGACAUGGGCCAUCAUUGGCUCCGUCGUCACAUAGUCUCCUUUCAUAGUGGCAGGUUGAUUAGGCUCAGCACCAAACAUGGCGGAUAACACAUACACCAUGUUGAUAUGAAAAUUGCUAGGCUCUAGCAGUUUUUCUUUCUUGCUCCCGAUUUGUUCCAUGAACUCAUCUAACCAGGCCAUCGUAUCUUCUGGAAGUAGUGGUUUUGGUGCCCCCUUAUGUUGAUUCAUGCCCGAAUAUGGUGUUUGCUUUGGAACUUCACUGAAAGGAUCCACUAAUGAUAAAGAAGGUGGUUUUCUUUCAGGCGAAACAGUUCCAAAACAAAUAGGCUCCGUCUUCCAUCUGGGAGUUGGCAUCAUGAUCAUAUCUUCUUGAGCUCUCCUCAAGUACCUAUAUUUCCCAGGGUGUAGGCUUUGCGGUACAUGGUUUCCUUCACCUUCUGUUUUACUAUUAGCUCUCUCCACCUCUUUUUUACUCCUCCAGCGGAACUGACUACUCCCCCAGAUGACGUUUUUUCAAACUUUUGAUUCUUGGAUGCUUCAGACGUCGCGGGGGUCUUUAAAGAAUUCAUGUAGGCUUUGUGCUGCCUCUGGACCCUUCUAACCAUCGAGGCUCCCAUUUGUUUAACGGGCUGUCCAUUUUUUCCAACCACAUACCAUUUUCGCUCGAGGCGGGCAGGGUUAUCUUUCUUGACAGGAUUUGUUAUCCUAUCAUUUCUCUUAACUUCUUUUCCCAUAUGGCCAUAUUGAAGAUGUUCUACACCCCUAUCUUUUGGCUUUUUGGCAUCCUUGUCUUCUGCCUCCUUAGAAGCUUUAUGAUUACGAAAUAUCUCUGAUAAAGCUCUGGGUUGGGAAUCGCCUCCUAACCGCUGAAAAACACUUCGAGAAGUAUCUAUUCCUGCAGUCCGCCUAGCUUUCUCACGGGCCUCUUUUCUUUCUUCUUCUUUCUUCCUCCUGAUCAGCUCAUGAUCCAUGAGGACUCCUGCUGGUGGUAUUUCGAGCUCACACUUGCAUUGGCAUUUAUUGCAAAGAACCAUCCCUUUGAUUAUAGCUGCUUUUGGAUGUUCGGUCAAUCUGAUCACCCCUUUUGUGGAUUUGUCAGCCAGUCUUCCUUUUUCUAUUUCCCUUGCGACCUUUUCUUUCCCCUUCUCGGCCCAUGCCAUACUGAUCAUAUUUAUUGGGGCUUUUGAGAAGGGAUCUGUAUGUUUGCCCACCACUGAUUCCUCUGGCUGGUUGGUUUUAAGUCUCUCUUUCCCUAUUAUCUUUUACCCCAAGUUGAGGUAAAGAUAUAGGAAUAGUUGGUCUUACAACUAGGUCUGCUUUCCUUCUGAAGCCUGCGGAGGCGCUAUCCAGUCUUUGUAACAUUUGCAAUAAGGUAGUUUACAAGUCUUCAUCAAAAUGUUCUGGAACAUCUGCUCUUUUUAAAUCUUCAAGUUUUCUUGACAUAUUUCUUUGGUAAGUAAGAUCUGAUUAAAGGAAUCUCACCAGGCGUGCCAAAACUAUGUUUGUGGCUAGAAUUUCCGUUGGGGAUGUUUCCUAGCACGAGCACACAGCUCCCCGAGAGGUUGGCGCCGGUUGAUGCUUUCUGACGGGCUUCUGCUCACUGGCGGGCUUGUCGGGCAAGGCUGAAAGAGAAGGACAGGGUUAACUUUGAAAGGUGCCUUUGUAGGGCCUUAGGUGUAGGCCUUGAGGCUCACAAUCAAGAUUAACUUUUAGGUGUUCAGGCGUGCCACUGCAAUCUUUAGCAUGGUAGAUGUAAAACAGAUGUUGAGUUUUAAUUGUAUAUAUACCCGAUAGGCUGUUUUAGUUAUAAAAGGUGCCUUUGUGGGGCCUUAGGUGUAGGCCUUGAGGCUCUCAAUCAAUAACUAACCCAGUACUCGAACAUAUAAUGUUUGUUUCAUUGAUUGCAGAAGUGUUAUGACUAUUAUACUUCUAAUUACCCGAGCCCGAAGAGCAGAAUGAAUUCAAAUAGGUGCCUUUGUAGGGCCUUAGGUGUAAGCUUUGAGGCUUUCCAUCAGAAUUACUUCUAUACUCAAACGUUCUACGAUAAUCAUAAUAUAACAUAAAUAAAACUAGGAAAUAGGUCGAUUACUUACGCCCCAAGUAACUUCGGACUUCUUGUUAUCAAAGGCUGUCGUGGAUGGGUUAAGUCCACAUAAGGUUCUUUUUUAUGCCUUGAGAUCAAGGACUUUUGAAUGAUCAAUCUUACAUGCCCGAGGGUUUAGAACUUAGAUCUGAUUUAAACUGUGACUACAUAUUUCAAUCGGAUUCAAGCACUGAGGAGUCUUUUAAUCAUCAACUUGCUAGAAAUAACUUGGAUACAAAUGGAAAUAUACAACAUAUUACUAGACUUAUGAAUGAAAAGACAAAAACAAAGAGGGUCGGGCAAGGUUUCACCUUGUCAGGCAAGGCUGGUCGUCUUGCAACUUCCUAUCUUUGUGAUUUAUAAAGGGGUUUGAGAACUUGGAAAGAGGGAUAGGGAGAUGAGUUUACAGAAGGAAAUCGAUACUACAGCAAGAUUUAGACAAGGUAGCAGAGCUUUUACAAAGGCUUUUGGUAAGGGUUGAUCCCGAAAGGGAUGAAGGCUUGGGCUGACUACAGCUUCGUUGAAAGCAAAUCUGGCUUAAGCAGAGUUUGUGCUUGUAUUUGUUUGGUUGUUUGAGUGUCCUCAUCUCUGAUUUCUCUUUCUUCUUUUAUAGACAGUUUGGCUUGGCCUCCUGCAGCUUUAAUCUUGCCUAAAUGCAGCUUGAAGGGCAAUGACUCAUCAGCUUUUUACUUGUACUGCCACUGUAAAGUGCUUUUGGGCUGAUUAGCUGGCUGGUCUACACCACUUGGUCUCUAGGUAGGUGAACAAGUGGUUCAAAUGAUCUGCACCUGGUCGGGAAAAGGCCUUUUCUGCCUUCUGGGCUUUUGGUGGGCUUCGGGCUCCUUUCCUCCUAGUCAUUCUUUUGGGCCGACUCCCUUUUGAGCCCAAAGUUCAAGUUUUAACCCAAACACAGUUUACGCCCUUUGUUUCGUAAAUAGUAGUGUGGGAUAUUGCAAGGUAUAAUCAUUGGUCGUUAAAUGAGCACUAUUUUGAUAACCUUAAGAAAUUUUCUAAACUUGUGAAAUGUGAAGGGAAAUUUAAUAUCUGAGCAAUAAGUUUAAUGUGAAAGUUUUUUUUUCAGAGGGAAAAUGUGGUUUGUGUUUUUAAUGGGACUUCUUAAACUCUACUUUAACAUAGUUUCACAAUCAAUCCCUAUACACAGUUUCUUAACCUUUUGGUUUGAAAAUCUGUAUGUAUAGUUCAACACCACAGUGUGAUUAUGCUCUCCCAAACUAAGUUUUAUAAGUAACAACAACAACAACAAAGCCUUUUCCCACUAAGUGGGGUCGGCUAUAUGAAUCCUAGAACGCCAUUACGCUCGGUUUUGUGUCAUGUCCUCCGUUAGAUCCAAGUACUCAAGUAUUUUCUUAAGGUCUCUUCCAAAGUUUUCCUAGGUCUUCCUCUACCCCUUCGGCCCUGAACCUCUGUCCCGUAAUCACAUUUUCGAACCGGAGCGUCAGUAGGCCUUAUUUGCACAUGUCCAAACCACCGGAACCGAUUUUCUCUCAUAUUUCCUUCAAUUUUGGCUACUCCUACUUUACCUCGGAUAUCCUCAUUCCCAAUCUUAUCCUUUCUCGUGUACCCAUACAUCCCACAAAGCAUCCUCAUCUCCGCUACACCCAUUUUGUGUACGUGUUGAUGCUUCACCGCCCAACAUUCUGUGCCAUACAACAUCGCUGGCCUUAUUGCCGUCCUAUAAAAUUUUUCCUUGAGCUUCAGUGGCCUACGACAGUCACACAACACGCCGGAUGCACUCUUACACUUCAUCCAUCCAGCUUGUAUUCUUCUGUUGAGAUCUCCAUCUAAUUCUCCGUUCUCUUGCAAGAUAGAUCCUAGGUAGCGAAAACGGUCACUUUUUGUGAUCUUCGCUAGAUUGCUCCGGUCAUUAGUGUGGAUAAGUAUAUAAAUGGAUAGAGAUAGGAAAGCAAACACAAGAUGUACGUGGUUCACCCAGAUUGGCUACGUCCACGGAAUAGAGGAGUUCUCAUUAAUUGUGAAGGGUUUACACAAGUACAUAGGUUCAAGCUCUUCUUUAGUGAGUACAAGUGAAUGAUUUAGUACAAAUGACAUUAGGAAAUAUUGUGGGAGAAUGAUCUCGUAACCACGAAACUUCUAAGUACCGGAGUGUGGUAUCGUCUUAACUUGCCUUAUCUGUCUCAUAGGUAGAUGUGACAUCUUCUCUGGAAGUACUCUUCCUCCAUCCAGGGUUGGUAUCUGUAACUGGUGAAGAUGCACAAGGUAAUGUAUCAAUUUCACUUGAAGCUUACUUGUAGUUUCAGGCUUGGUCAAGCGCGAUACAAACCAUGUAGUAGGAGUCCCCUAAGUCGCCGAGCUAGGGGAUCUGCUGAAAGAGGUGACAGACAAGGUAAGCAAUCAGAGCUCCGGCUGAUUGUUCACAUUCUCCCUAUCUUGCAGGCAGCAUGAAGGAUAAAGAGAAGAAAAAUGAGAAGAGAUGAUAUGGGAUACUUUUGCUUUUGAAGAAGUAACUUUCCACAGGCUUAUUCUUGAACUGGGCUGGAGGGUUUUCUGGUUUCCUCCAGAGUAUAAGGCCGACUGAAGAAUUUGAGGGUCAAAACAAGUCCAUCAAAUCUAGAGUACGUUCGACCCUGCUGAUAUGGGAUACUUUUGCUUUUGACAGAGUAGUGGAUGUAUCGGCACGUGUGCUGUUAUGCUUGUCUCCACAUGCUUCCUUGUAUCCUUCUCACUUGCCUUAUAUGUUCCUCAGGCAGAUGUGGUAUCUUCCCUAGAAGCAUAAGAUGUUGAAGAUGAGUACUCGAGAGCAAUGCCAGGUAAGUAAUCAAGUAAGGGGUUCCAGGCAGUCAGUUCCUGGCUGGAAGCUUGAUUCCAAGUGCUGACUGAUUGCUCUCUCUCUCCUUAUCUUGCAGGUAAGAACAAGGCCAAAGGAAAAGACAGGGAAAAAGCAUGAUAUGGGAUACUCUUGCUUUUAACCCUGAUGAUAUGAGAUAUUCUUGCUCUAGUAUAGCUUGUUUACAGAGGUAUUAUCGGGGGGAAAGAAAGCUGAAUAUUUCGAAAGGCUUCGUUGGGAGUGCCCUGUCAGAUAAGAGGAAGGGUUGAGCAUUUUUGCAGGUCUGCCUGUCCGUUGGGAUGGAGGUCGACAUAUAUAGGAGUCUCCCUAACAUCAAGUAAUAAUGCUAUUCCUUUACCCUACCCUGCUUGGUCAUAGCACGGUAGUGGGAGCUGCCAGCUUCACAUGUUUUAACUUUGUCAGAGCACUUUGAAAAAGUGGUCUGUGGUAUCUGGAAAGCUGAUGUUGCGUGUGAAGAUUACAGACAAGCUUUAUCCAAGGAGAUCCAGCUCUUGAAGUUGGGAAAGUGAUGCCUCUUCGGUUUUCGAACAAGCAAUCCUGUCGGGGAUCUGACUCUCGAGAUUCGAAGAACGAUGCCUCUUCGAUUUUUGAGAAAGCAAUCCUGCUGGGGUCUGGCUCUCGAGAUUCGGAGAGCGGUGUCUCUUCGAUUUUUGAGAAAGUAAUCAUGUUGGGAGUCUGGCUCUCGAGAUUCGGAGGGCGGUGCCUCUUCGAUUUUGGAGCAAGCAAUCUUGUUGGGAGUGUUUUCUCGAAUGUGAGUAAAGGUUGGGCAUGUUUGCUAGUCUACCUUGCCACGAAGCACAGAGGUUGACACACAGGGACUUUCCAGUUAUCCAGCAGUGGUACUGUUCCUUUACCCUCUCUUCGAUUUUUGAGAAAGUAAUCAUGUUGGGAGUCUGGCUCUCGAGAUUCGGAGGGCGGUGCCUCUUCGAUUUUGGAGCAAGCAAUCUUGUUGGGAGUGUUUUCUCGAAUGUGAGUAAAGGUUGGGCAUGUUUGCUAGUCUACCUUGCCACGAAGCACAAAGGUUGACACACAGGGACUUUCCAAUUAUCCAGCAGUGGUACUGUUCCUUUACCCUUGUGGGUAAUAAUAUGGUAGCUAGACCUUCAAAAUUUAUGUGUCUAAACUUUGUUAGUGUUGUUUCUUUGCUAUUAUUUUACCCUUCUUGGUCAGAGCGAUGUAGUGGGAGCUGCAAGCUUCACGUGUCUCAACUUUGUCAGAGAACUUUGGCAAAGUUAUCUGUGGUACCCAUGAGCUACUGUUGCCUGUGGGAAGUGGGUGAUUGAACAGUACGAUUCAUGUGCUUUCUACUUCUCCAGAAAUCUUCGACAGAAUGCCCAUAAUUUCCGCAAAGCUGAGUGUGCGUGUGACAGGUGCUGACAAGGCUGGAAAAGUAGGUGCCUCUUCGAUUUCUGAGAUCGGCCCUCGUGGUCUCUGAGCAGCCCAGCUUUUGAGAAAGCAAACGCCUCUUCGAUUUCUGAGCAGGCGCCUCUUCGAUUUCUGAAGCUUCGUCGAGUGCAGAUUUUUAUAAGGGGUGACAUUAAGUUCCAAAGCACACUUGAAUAUCCACCAGUAGAAGCUCCAUUCUUGCACUUCUAUGAUCUUGAUUUGUCCGACCUCUUCUUUCUUCAACACCUUUGAAAAUGUCUGGCCCCUCCGACCGUCGUUUUGACUUGAACCUUGUUGAAGAGGCAGCCCCGCCUUCUCCAGACAACAUAUGGCGCCCAUCCUUCGUCUCCCCUACUGGUCCUCUUACCGUCGGGGAUUCCGUGAUGAAGAAUGAUAUGACCGCUGCGGUAGUGGUCAGGAACCUUCUCACUCCCAAAGAUAACAGACUACUUUCCAAACGGUCUGAUGAGUUGGCCGUUAAGGAUUCUCUAGCUCUCAGUGUUCAGUGUGCAGGUUCUGUGUCUAAUAUGACCCAACGCCUAUUUGCUCGAACCCGCCAAGUUGAAUCAUUGGCGGCUGAAGUGAUGAGUCUCAAACAGGAGAUUAGAGGGCUCAAGCAUGAGAAUAAACAGUUGCACCGGCUCGCACAUGACUAUGCUACAAACAUGAAGAGGAAGCUUGACCAGAUGAAGGAAUCUGAUGGUCAAGUUUUACUUGAUCAUCAGAGAUUUGUGGGUUUGUUCCAAAGGCAUUUAUUGCCUUCGUCUUCUGGGGCUGUACCGCGUAAUGAAGCUCCAAAUGAUCAACCUCUGAUGCCUCCUUCUUCUAGGGUUCUGUCCAGUACUGAGGCUCCGAAUGAUCCCCCUCCGGUGCCUUCUCUUUCUGGGGCUCUACCGACUGCUGAGACUUCUCCUAAGCAACCUUUGUGAAGGCUCCCUCUUGUUUGUUUAUUUUGACUCAAGUAUAUGUACAUAUUUGUAACUGAUCGGGGAUAUCAAUAAAUAAGCUUUCCUUCAUUUCAACGUAUUGUGUUAAAUACACCAAAACCUUCUUCGCUAAGUUCUUUGAAUUUUCUUUUGUUGAAGCUUGUAGUUGAAGCUUUGUGAGUGGAGCAUGUAGGUUGAGGUAGUGUUCCCUUAAUUUCCCGAGUGAGGAAAACUUCUCGGUUGGAGACUUGGAAAAUCCAAGUCACUGAGUGGGAUCGGCUAUAUGAAUCUUAGAACACCAUUGUGUUCUGUCCUGUGUCAUGUCCUCCGUUAGAUCCAAGUACUCUAAGUCUUUUCUUAGGGUCUCUUCCAAAGUUUUCCUAGGUCUUCCUCUACCCCUUCGGCCCUGAACCUCUGUCCCAUAGUCGCAUCUUCUAAUCGGAGCGUCAGUAGGCCUUCUUUGCACAUGUCCUAAUCACCGUAACCGAUUUUCUCUCAUCUUUCCUUCAAUUUCGGCUACUUCUACUUUACCCCGGAUAUCCUCAUUCCUAAUCUUAUCCUUCCUCAAGUAUAUGUAAAAGGAACAAAAAAGAAGAGGCUGAAGAGUCUCCAUAAGACAAGAACUUUUAUGUCACAGAGUCAGGUAUUAAUCUUGUCGUCGGUAAGUUUCUCAAGUAUCUAUAUUCACAUUUGUUGGUCAAGUUUUCAGAAUUAUGUUCACAUAUAAUCUGAAUUCAUUGCCAAAUGUUGAGGAAUUGAUUGUUAUUGACUAUUGCGAUGAAUUGGUCUCAAACUACGUUUUCCAACCAACACAGUUUGAUCAGUUUUAAAAAAAAAACACUGUUUGAUUAGUCUCGUUCAAUACCAUUACGUGAUCAGCUUAAAUUUACUUUUCAUGUUCAAACUUUUAAUAGUUAAACUAAGAAAGAAUGGGCCAUAUUUUAUUUCUUUUAAAAGUUGUUCACAUAGAAGUGGACAUUGACAAAGUAGAUCAUGAAUAACAUUAUAACAUUGUAAUUUGGAUGAAAAUACACACAUCCAAUACUUUAAUUAGAUGCAUUAUACUUUAAAUGAAAAUAAAUAAAUUUAAUAUUCUUAGAGAAGGUCACAAUAGAAAUUUCACAACUAAGAACGGAUUAGAGCAUGCCAAUACUUAAAAAGCCGACUUGGCUUUGUAAUGGGAAGGGUACAAAGAAAUUUCACAGCUAAAAAUUAAUUAGAUCGUGACAAUGAGGUAGAUGAGGGGGUUCUUUUCUCCAAAUAAACUCUUAAAGUAUUUUUAUAUAAAACUUAUAGUUUUGAAACAAAUAAUUUUACAUUAGAAAAGAUAGCUUAUACUUUCACUAAAAAAGAGAUCUGAUUUUUAUUAAUUAACAUUGAAGUUUUUGCCUAUUCAAGAGAUGUGGGUCCCGUAUUUCAAUCAACACAUGUGAGUUUCAUCUCUAUUAAAAAGAUGAUACAAAUGAUGGUUACAAAUAAAUGGUAAGAACAAUAUUUUUAUUUACAAAAAAAUUAUUAUGCACUGCUAUCUAAUAAAGUAAACAAGGUCAAAAGGAGGACAAAGUGGGUUUCUUUUAGCGCUAAUAUUCUUUUAGAAACUAUAUAUUUGAUUGUAUGAACAAUAAAGUCAUUGUACAAUUUAAAUUUAAAACUCAUAAAGAAAAUUAUACAAGGCAUACAAAGUUUAUUAAUCAACAUUGAACCUUUUGUGCAUAUUCUAUGAAAACAUAAGGAAAUUAUACAAUGGUCUCCUCACAAGAAAUUCUCAACUCUUUCAUUUUUUGUGAACUUGUGAUACACGCUAAAGGGGAUGAACUCUUCAAUGAAAUUUUGACACGUAAAAAUGAGACCUAUUCGUAAGUUUAUUGAAAAUAAUAAAGCUCAUAUGAGUAGCCUAGAAUACAAUUUCCUUGUGUUUUCAUAGCAUAUGCACACAAAAUAUAAUGUUGCAAAAUAAGUUUUAUAUUUUAUGUAUAUAAUUAUAAGUAUAAUAUUUUCUCAUCUUCUAGUACAAGUUUUGUGCAUAUUCUACAAAACCAAAAACAAAUUAAAACUCAACAUCUUAGCAAUAUUUUCUCAAAAAAAUAAAAAAACAUUUCGUAGUAAACGAAUAUACUUUUCCCUCACACUAAAUUUCGUAAAUAUUUUAUGAAAAUGUAAGGAAAUUACACUAUGGUCUCCUUGACACGCCCCGAUCCCGAUAUUCCUCGAAUACCAGGAUAGGCACGUGUUGGCCGACACCCGAGGGUGACGAAAGCCAUUUAUUGAAUGCAAAUGCUGAGAAUAAGAAAUAGAUAAGACCUAGAAAUAUAAAAGAAUAAUGAUUAUGCAUUUAAGAAAUGUGUUCAGAGCAUACAACUAACUAGAACACUAAAAGAAAUAAUAUAAAAAUUGAGUUAACAAAGGAGUGGGUCCUACACCGAGAGGACUCGAAGAUGCCGAUGCAAAAGUGCUUGGACGUCGGGAUUGUAUGCACCGAUUUUAAGUCCUGAAGGGGGCGCAAAACAAAGGUGAGUGGACCAAGUUUAUAUAUACAUAAUAAUAAAACAAUUAUCAACGUACUAACCCCCAGGUUUAUAUAAAGAAAACUACUAGCAUAAUAAGUGAUAGGUUUACUGAAAACCCUAGCAUGCCAUAAAACAUCUCAACAGGUAUAAUACGGAAAAACAUAUCAUCGCAUGUAUCAUUUCGUAGAUCGUCUCGUAAGUGUGGUGUGCUGCUAGUAAGAUCAUUGAAAUAAAAAUAACUCCCGACCCUAUGCCAGCACCGUGGUCUCUGCGCCCGUAGCCAGAUAUUACCAACUCCCGGCCCAAUGCCUGCUCCGUGUCCCUCAGCCCGUAGCUAGGGAUUAUUUCUCCCGGCCCAUAUGCCAACACCAGAUCCUCGCCCUAGGCGACAUACUGUCCACUAGGUACGCACAAAUAGUUAUGCCUCUCAUAAAUAACCAUUUCAUAGUAUAAAGUCAUCCAUCGUCUAUACCAUAAAAAAGGGUUUUGAAGACACGUUCUAGUAUCCUAUCGUCAUCCAUCAGAUAGUCUACCAGUUCAUGGUUUUUAUAGAAAAUACGAUAUAUUAAAAUAUAGCUCAAUAUAGGCCAACAAUUAAUUCCUCACUAAAAACACGAGACGAAAAUCAACAUAUUCAAUAAACAUGCUUAACAUAAAAUCAAAUCAUAAACUCGUAAGGCAUGCUAUUCAUUUAUGAAAUUGAACUAUAAAAAUCAUGUAAUUUUAGAAGGGGUCCACUCACAGUACUUAGGCGCAAAAAACUGCGCUACUAGCGAAGACGGAAACGUCACAAUAAUUGUCCCUAAACAUUUAAAAAAACUCUACUCAAACAAUUUAAUUUAGGAAAACGGACUUCAGAAACGGGUCCAGGACGUCGAAAUUAACCUAAGAGAGGUCCCAGACAAAACCUUGAAAAGUCAACCCUAAAGUCAACGCUGACUGUUAACCGAUCAAAGUCAAAGCUGACCGUUGUCCGAGUCAACGGUCAGAGUAAAGGGUCAAAGGUCAACUAGGUCUGGGCUAAGGGUUUGGAUCAGGAUUAGGGUUUAGGUUUAGGUUAAAUAAGGUUAUGACCUUUUGUGUUUUGGUUUUGGGUAGGAAUAAAUGGGUGGUUUGGGCUUGAGCCUAAACCCAUACAACACACACAUACAAAUGCCAGCACACACACCUGCACGACAUAACACACACACACGGUACAACACACUCACAUACACACGCACUGACACACACACACACACACACCACCUACAUGGACACACACAAACACACACACCACACACAAACACAAUCCUCAGCCUAAGGCAAAGCACGGCCCAAUACACACACACACACACACUCACUCACAUGCACGGCCCAUGCAUGGCACGGCCCAUAGGCCAAUUAACCCACCAAAAGAAUAGAAACUGGGCUGGCUAAAACGGGCCUAGAGCCCGUGGGCUUGAGAAACGGCCUAAAAGGCCUGGUGUCACUGGAAUUAAUGGAGAAGAACGCCAGAGUAUUUUCUGGGAAUGAAGGACCGAGAAUCACAGAGGUGAAAUAGGGGUUAAAACCCUUGAAUUUCCAAUCAAAUUCAACAUGCAAGGAAUAGGAAUUAUACCUGAGGUUUAAUGGAAGUCAAUUCGAGUCCACAGAACUUCGAAUUUGUCGAGCUUAAACAUGAUUUGCGCUGGAGCCUCUCAUCGGGAAACUGGUAAAGGAAGAACAGGGAAUUACAGAGGUCGUUAUCAGUGAAUUCCAACUCAAAUUUCUUCCAUAAAAUUAGAAAACCCAACUAGGGAUCGAUUGGAAGAAAUCCUAAGCUGAAUCAAUGACUGGAACAUCAAGUUCCAUCUCUAGCUCGGCGGAACUCAUGGAGCUCUCCAUUCCGCUCCAUCCCGUAACCAGCUCGAACAUGCAGAGCAACACUUCAAAUAUACAAACCAACCAGAUGACGGAUUUGGUGGUUGAGGGUCAUGAUUUGAUUGGAAAGGAUGAAGGUUGUGGGUGAGGAUGCAUGGUGGUGUGCGUGGUUUAUAGAGGGAGAGGGAGUGAAACAGAAACAAAAAGAAGAAGAAGAAAGAGUCAUGGGGGGGGAACAAAGAGAAAGAGAGAGAGAUGAGGUUUGUUAGGGUGCUACCACGUGACAGUUUGAGGGAGUUUAGGAAUUUGGAUAAAAGGUCUAGAUUUAGUCAAGCUAGGGGACCAAAAUGAUAAAUUCAAUAAAACUUUGGGAAAAUAUAAAAUUACAUAUAAGUUCAGGGGUGGGGUUUAACACUCCUCUCAAGAAAUUCCAAGAAAUUCCUAGCUCCAUUAUUUUUCGUUAACUUAUAAUUCAUGGGAUCAAUUUAUGAAAGGAUGUAUGAUACACGUAAAUAAGAUCAAUUUAUAAGUGCAUUGAACAUGACAUAUUAUGUUAAUAGAGAAACAUAUAAUUUUCUUAUGUUUUCAUGCCAUGUGCACAAAAAGUUUUAUUGGUGUUGAAAAUUUUGUAUGUAUAUAAGCAUAUUUUCUCAUCUUAUAGUAUGCUAAAAGGAAACCAGAUAGUAGCAUCUUCCUAAUAAAUUCUCUAACUAACUUACACCAGGCCUAUGAAUUCACUCGCAACAAAAUUUGAACUGAGAAAAAAAUUCAUCUUACACUAUUCUCCAAUGAAAUAAGAAAGGUCAAAAUGAGGGCAAAGUGACUUUCUUUUAGCAAUAGUAACCGUUUUUUUUUAACAAACAAUAUAAUCCACACUAAGGAGCUGAGGGAGGUGGGUUAAGCCUCACAAUGACUAACAAUAAUGUGGUUCAAAUUCUCCUUUGGUGAGAAUUGAACCUAAGAACUCUCACUUACAAGUGAAGAGGAAUACCACUAGACCUUACUAUUAAGUUGCCUAAUAAUAGUUCUUUUAAAAACUAUAUAUUUGAUUACAUGAACAAUAAAGUCAUUGUAUAAUUUAUAUUUAAAACUCAUAAAGAAAGUUAUUUAGGAAAUAAAAUUAUAUUUACAAAGACAUACAAAUUUUAUUAAUCAAUAUUGAAACAAUUGUGCAUAUUUUAUGAAAGCAUAUUGAUGAGAUUAUAAUAUAGUCUCCCACAUGAAAUUCUCAGAUCUAUUAAUUUUCGUGAACUUGUGAUACACGGUAAAUGUGUGAAUUCUUCAAUGAACUUCUGAUACAUGUAAAUCAAAUCCAUUCUUAAGUUUAAACUAGAAAUGACGAAGCAACCAAGAAGAACGAAGUAGACCCAGGAGGAGCCAAUAACGCACCAACACAAAACUAAAAUACUCAUUAGGAGAGACUCACAAAUAACGUCAAGAAAAUAGUAAGGCUAGGAGAAUGGAGAUGGGCACCCAUUGGCCACAAGCUGAAGAAAGGGGUCGGGAGCUGUGAAUUUUAUAAAUAUAUGAUUUUGGUAGAGGAAAGGAGAGAGCCGCUAGCAGUAGUUUCUUAUAUAUUAGCAUUCCAAGAAUCCAUCCUGUUGACUUUUAUUAAUGUACUUCUGGUACAAUUUUAAUAAGAGUAUUAUCGGAAAGUGUAAAUAUGUAUUUUACACUAAUAAGAAAGAUGUAAAUUUGGGAGCUCAUUUAUUUAUGGUCUCUUUUAACCAGUGAAAAUGGAUAUACAUAUUUUAUUAGUCCACCUCUUAAAAAUGCAAAUAUACAUUUUAUUCACAUGUUUACACUAAUCCUUUGAGAGCUUUCCAACCAAAAAAAUUUAAAUUGUACAUUUGUAGACAUUUUGCAUCUUGUAUUAGGAGAUAAAAUUUUCAAUGUGCUUGGUACGAGAUAGUACACCACAUGCUAUUAUAUAAUUGGAAUAAAAAAUUAAUUUUUCAAGUGUUAUUCUAUUUGUAUAACGAUAUGUGUUAUAUUACUUUGUGUUUCGUGCACUGAAAAAUAUCUCUUAUCAGAUAUGCUAGUGGAGUACCAAUUUGGGGUUGUUGAAAUUAAUAUUUUUUUUUUUGUCAAAGGGUUGUUGAAAUUAUUUAAAAGAAUAAAUUAUAGUAAUGGUAUCUCAAUUUUAAUGAAAUUAGAGCAAUAAUUCUUCAACUAAAAACCUAUUAUCAUUCGUCAUUCAACUCAUCAAAAUGUGUAGUUAUGAUCAUUUUCGUCAACUUUGUCAAAAUUUUGUCAGAAUGAAUUAUGUUAGAAGGACCAUUGCUACAAUUAGAUUAAAGUUGAGGGAUCGUUCUCCAAUUGGGUUAAAAUUAAGGGACCAUUCUUCAGUUAAAUUAGAGUUGAGGGACCAUUGGUAAUAGAUUUUUAGUUGAGGGACUAUAACGGCUCGUUUUACGAGUUAAGAGACCAAUGCUAAUAGAUUUUUUGUUAGAGAUCAUUAUUUCAAUUAAGUUAAAGUUAAUUGACUAUUACUACAAUUUACUAUAUUUAAAAAGCAACUUAUUAAAAAAUCUGAUGAAUGGUGAACAGUAAAGUUUAAUGAAAAUUUUAUGAGGAUAGUGUUACCCUGGGUUUUUAAUUAAAAUUACAGCCAGUAUCUUCGCUUCUCCUUUCCCCUUUCUCCAUGUCGUCCUUCAAAUCGAAGGUUGGCGACCUUCAAUUACCUGGAGAAAUCAACAAUAAGCCAUAAUUCCUUCAAUUAGAGGAUGCUCUGCCUGUCUUCUGCUGACUUUUCUUUAAAUUUUGAGCUUAUAGUGCUCACAUGGGAACAUAGAGAGAGAGAGAGAGAGAGAGAGAGAGAGAGAGAGAGAGAGAGAGAGAGAGAUUGAAGUUUUUAUGGAAGGAAAGAAAUUUGAGCUUUGUGUAGGAUAGAGCAGGCGAGUGAGAUUGCAUGCGACGAAUCCGUUAGGUUUCUGACUUCAAAUGGCGCCGUUGUGGUCUGAUCCGUCCGAGUUAUGGAGAUCGGACAUUGGAGCUCCUAACUAGCGAUAAUUUGGAGCUGCAGAUCCGAUGAGAAAUUCAAAAUAUUUGGAAUGGCUAUGGGGAAACGGGAUGACACAGAGAGAUUGGGUGAUUAGGAUUGUGCCGUGGGCUGGGAGGUCGCGGCGGCGGCGGAAGGAACCCAGACCUAUGGGUAAAACAGUAAAAUUAUUAGAAAUAUUUUGAAAUUUAUGGGCUGGUAUUUGUUCAAUUAAUCUACGGGCUGCUAUGUGUUUAAUUAAUCUAUGGGCUGGUAUGUGUUUAAUUAAUAUAUGGGCGGGUGUUUGUUUAAUUAAUCCAUGGGCUGGUGUUUCAAUAUGACUUGGAUUUAACGUGAAAUUAUUAGAAAAUUUCUAUUAAACCAUUUGAUGGUUAUUACUUGCACGUAAGUGAAGACGCAGAAGAUAAACAUUGAAGAAGAUAAACAUCGAAGGAAAAAUGGAGAAGAUAAGAUUAUUAAAGAAAAAGGUUAGAUAAAUUAUCAUCCAACCUUAUGAUAUUUUUAGUCAUCUCUAUAUGGGCUUGUUUGACGGCCUGAAAGAUAUUGGACCUUAGAGAGAAAAUUAGAUUAAUAGCGAUUUGAAAGGUAAAACUUGUAACCUAUGUAUAAAGAUAAAUUAGAUAACACAUUUUAUUAUGAAUUCAUAACUCAUCAUUACAACAACAACAACAACAACAACAACAACAACAAAGCCUUUUCCCACUAAGUGGGGUCGGCUUUCAUAUAUGAAUCCUAGAACGCCAUUGCGCUCGGUUUUGUGUCAUGUUCUCCGUUAGAUCCAAGUACUCUAAGUCUUUUCUUAGAGUCUCUUCCAAAGUUUUCCUAGGUCUUCCUCUACCCCUUCGGCCCUGAACCUCUGUCCAGUAGUGACAUCUUCGAACCGGAGCGUCAGUAGGCCUUCUUUGCACAUGUCCAAAUCACCGGAACCGAUUUUCUCUCAUCUUUCCUUCAAUUUCGGCUACUCCUACUUUACCUCGGAUAUCCUCAUUCCUAAUCUUAUCCUUUCUCGUGUGCCCACACAUCCCACGAAGCAUCCUCAUCUCCGCCACACCCAUUUUGUGUACGUGUUGAUGCUUCACCGCCCAAACAUUCUGUGCCAUACAACAUCGCUGGCCUUAUUGCCGUCCUAUAAAAUUUUCCCUUGAGCUUCAGUGGCCUACGACGGUCACACAACACGCCGGAUGCACUCUUACACUUUCAUCCAUCCAGCUUGUAUUCUAUGGUUGAGAUCUCCAUCUAAUUCUCCGUUCUCUUGCAAGAUAGAUCCUAGGUAGCGAAAACGGUCGCUUUUUUGUGAUCUUCGCUAGAUUGCUCCGGUCAUUAGUGUGGAUAAGUAUAUAAAUGGAUAGAGAUAGGAAAGCAAACACAAGAUGUACGUGGUUCACCCAGAUUGGCUACGUCCACGGAAUAGAGGAGUUCUCAUUAAUUGUGAAGGGUUUACACAAGUACAUAGGUUCAAGCUCUCCUUUAGUGAGUACAAGUGAAUGAUUUAGUACAAAUGACAUUAGGAAAUAUUGUGGGAGAAUGAUCUCGUAAUCACGAAACUUCUAAGUAUCGGAGUGUGGUAUCGUCUUGACUUGCCUUAUCUGUCUCAUAGGUAGAUGUGGCAUCUUCUCUGGAAGUACUCUUCCUCCAUCCAGGGGUGGUAUCUUUAACUGGUGGAGAUGCACAAGGUAAUGUAUCAAUUUCACUUGAAGCUUACUUGUAGUUUCAGGCUUGGUCAAGCGCGAUACAAACCAUGUAGUAGGAGUCCCCCAAGUCGCCGAGCUAGGGGAUCUGCUGAAAGAGGUGACAGACAAGGUAAGCAAUCAGAGCUCCGGCUGAUUGUUCACAUUCUCCCUAUCUUGCAGGCAGCAUGAAGGAUAAAGAGAAGAAAAAUGAGAAGAGAUGAUAUGGGAUACUUUUGCUUUUGAAGAAGUAACUUUCCACAGGCUUAUUCUUGAACUGAGCUGGAGGGUUUUCUGGUUUCCUCCAGAGUAUAAGGCCGACUGAAGAAUUUGAGGGUCAAAACAAGUCCAUCAAAUCUAGAGUACGUUCGACCCUGCUGAUAUGGGAUACUUUUGCUUUUGACAGAGUAAUGGAUGUAUCGGCACGUGUGCUGUUACGCUUGUCUCCACAUGCUUCCUUGUAUCCUUCUCACUUGCCCUAUCUGUUCCUCAGGCAGAUGCGGUAUCUUCCCUGGAAGCAUAAGAUGUUGAAGAUGAGUACUCGAGAGCAAUGCCAGGUAAGUAAUCAGGUAAGGGGUUCCAGGCAGUCAGUUCCUGGCUGGAAGCUUGAUUCCAAGUGCUGACUGAAUUGCUCUCUUUCUCCUUGUCUUGCAGGUAAGAACAAGGCCAAAGGAAAAGACAGGGAAAAAGCAUGAUAUGGGAUACUCUUGCUUUUAACCCUGAUGAUAUGAGAUAUUCUUGCUCUAGUAUAGCUUGUUUGCAGAGGUAUUAUCGGGGGGAAAGAAAGCUGAAUAUUUCGAAAGGCUUCGUUGGGAGUGCCCUCUCAGAUAUGAGGAAGGGUUGAGCAUUUUUGCAGGUCUGCCUGUCCGUUGGGGAUGGAGGUCGACAUAUAUAGGAGUCUCCCUAACAACAAGUAGUAAUGCUAUUCCUUUACCCUGCUUGGUCAUAGCACGGUAGUGGGAGCUGCCAGCUUCACAUGUUUUAACUCUGUCAGAGCACUUUGAAAAAGUGGUUUGUGGUAUCUGGAAAGCUGAUGUUGCGUGUGAAGAUUACAUACAAGCUUUAUCCAAGGAGAUCCGGCUCUUGAAGUUGGGAAAAGUGUUGCCUCUUCGGUUUUCGAACAAGCAAUCCUAUCGGGAUCUGGCUCUCGAGAUUCGGAGAACGAUGCCUCUUCGAUUUUUGAGAAAGCAAUCAUGCUGGGGGUCUGGCUCUCGAGAUUCGGAGAGCAGUGUCUCUUCGAUUUUUGAGAAAGUAAUCAUGUUGGGAGUCUGGCUCUCGAGAUUCGGAGGGCGGUGCCUCUUCGAUUUUGGAGCAAGCAAUCUUGUUGGGAGUGUUUUCUCGAAUGUGAGUAAAGGUUGGGCAUGUUUGCUAGUCUACCUUGCCACGAAGCACAGAGGUUGACACACAGGGACUUUCCAAUUAUCCAGCAAUGGUACUGUUCCUUUACCCUCUCUUCGAUUUUUGAGAAAGUAGUCAUGUUGGGAGUCUGGCUCUCGAGAUUCGGAGGACGGUGCCUCUUCGAUUUUGGAGCAAGCAAUCUUGUUGGGAGUGUUUUCUCGAAUGUGAGUAAAGGUUGGGCAUGUUUGCUAGUCUACCUUGCCACGAAGCACAGAGGUUGACACACAGGGACUUUCCAAUUAUCCAGCAGUGGUACUGUUCCUUUACCCUUGUGGGUAAUAAUAUGGUAGCUAGACCUUCAAAAUUUAUGUGUCUAAACUUUGUUAGUGUUGUUUCUUUGCUAUUCUUUUACCCUUCUUGGUCAGAGCGAUGUAGUGGGAGCUGCAAGCUUCACGUGUCUCAACUUUGGCAGAGAACUUUGGCAAAGUUAUCUGUGGUACCCAUGAGCUACUGUUGCGUGUGGGAAGUGGGUGAUUGAACAGUAAGAUUCAUGUGCUUUCUACUUCACCAGAAGUCUUCGACAGAAUGCCCAUAAUUUCCGCAAAGCUGAGUGUGCGUGUGACAGGUGCUGACAAGGCUGGAAAAGUAGGUGCCUCUUCGAUUUCUGAGAUCGGCCCUCGUGGUCUCUGAGCAGCCCAGCUUUUGAGAAAGCAAGCGCCUCUUCGAUUUCUGAGAUCGGCCUUCGUGGUCUUUGAGCAGCCCAGCUUUUGAGAAAGCAAACGCCUCUUCGAUUUCUGAGAUCGACCCUCGUGGUCUCUGAGCAGCCCAGCUUUUGAGAAAGCAAACGCCUCUUCGAUUUCUGAGCAGGCGCCUCUUCGAUUUCUGAAGCUCCGUCGAGUGCAGAUUUUUUAUAGGGGCUGGCAUUAAGUUCCAAAGCACACUUGAAUCUCCACCAGUAGAAGCUCCAUUCUUGCACUUCUAAGAUCUUGAUUUGUCCGACCUCUUCUCUCUUCAACACCUUUGAAAAUGUCUGGCCCCUCCGACCGUCGUUUUGACUUGAACCUUGUUGAAGAGGCAGCCCCGCCUUCUCCAGACAACAUAUGGCGCCCAUCCUUCGUCUCCCCUACUGGUCCUCUACCGUUGGGGAUUCCGUGAUGAAGAAUGAUAUGACCGCUGCGGUGGUGGCCAGGAACCUUCUCACUCCCAAAGAUAACAGACUACUUUCCAAACGGUCUGAUGAGUUAGCUGUUAAGGAUUCUCUGGCUCUCAGUGUUCAGUGUGCAGGUUCUGUGUCUAAUAUGGCCCAACGCCUAUUUGCUCGAACCCGCCAAGUUGAAUCAUUGGCGGCUGAAGUGAUGAGUCUCAAACAGGAGAUUAGAGGGCUCAAGCAUGAGAAUAAACAGUUGCACCGGCUCGCACAUGACUAUGCUACAAACAUGAAGAGGAAGCUUGACCAGAUGAAGGAAUCUGAUGGUCAGGUUUUACUUGAUCAUCAGAGAUUUGUGGGUUUGUUCCAAAGGCAUUUAUUGCCUUCGUCUUCUGGGGCUGUACCGCGUAAUGAAGCUCCAAAUGAUCAACCUCUGAUGCCUCCUCCUUCUAGGGUUCUGUCCAGUACUGAGGCUCCGAAUGAUCCCCCUCCGGUGCCUUCUCUUUCUGGGGCUCUACCGACUGCUGAGACUUCUCCUAAGCAACCUUUGUGAAGGCUCCCUCUUGUUUGUUUAUUUUGACUCAUGUAUAUGUACAUAUUUGUAGCUUAUCGGGGAUAUCAAUAAAUAAGCUUUCCUUCAUUUCAACGUAUUGUGUUAAAUACACCAAAGCCUUCUUCGCUAAGUUCUUUGAAUUUUCUUUUGUUGAAGCUUGUAUGUUGAAGUGAGUGGAGCAUGUAGGUUGAGGUAGUGUUCCCUUAAUUUCCCGAGUGAGGAAAACUUCUCGGUUGGAGACUUGGAAAAUCCAAGUCACUGAGUGGGAUCGGCUAUAUGAAUCUUAGAACGCCAUUGUGCUCGGUCCUGUGUCAUGUCCUUCGUUAGAUCCAAGUACUCUAAGUCUUUUCUUAGAGUCUCUUCCAAAGUUUUCCUAGGUCUUCCUCUACCCCUUCGGCCCUGAACCUCUGUCCCAUAGUCGCAUCUUCUAAUCGGAGCGUCAGUAGGCCUUCUUUGCACAUGUCCAAACCACCGUAACCGAUUUUCUCUCAUCUUUCCUUCAAUUUCGGCUACUCCUACUUUACCCCGGAUAUCCUCAUUCCUAAUCUUAUCCUUUCUCGUGUGCCCACACAUCCAACGAAGCAUCCUCAUCUCCGCUACACCCAUUUUGUGUACGUGUUGAUGCUUCACCGCCCAACAUUCUGUGCCAUACAGCAUCGCCGGCCUUAUUGCCGUCCUAUAAAAUUUUCCCUUGAGCUUCAGUGGCAUACGGCGGUCACACAACACGCCGGAUGCACUCUUCCACUUCAUCCAUCCAGCUUGUAUUCUAUGGUUGAGAUCUCCAUCUAAUUCUCCGUUCUUUUGCAAGAUAGAUCCUAGGUAACGAAAACGGUCGCUCUUUGGUAUUUCUUGAUCUCCGAUCCUCACCCCUAACUCGUUUUGGCCUCCAUUUGCACUGAACUUGCACUCCAUAUAUUCUGUCUUUGAUCGGCUUAGGCGAAGACCUUUAGAUUCCAACACUUCUCUCCAAAGGUUAAGCUUUGCAUUUACCCCUUCCUGAGUUUCAUCUAUCAACACUAUAUCGUCUGCGAAAAGCAUACACCAAGGAAUAUCAUCUUGAAUAUGUCCUGUUAACUCAUCCAUUACCAACGCAAAAAGGUAAGGACUUAAGGAUGAGCCUUGAUGUAAUCCUACAGUUAUGGGAAAGCUUUCGGUUUGUCCUUCAUGAGUUCUUACGGCAGUCUUUGCUCCUUCAUACAUAUCCUUUAUAGCUUGGAUAUAUGCUACUCGUACUCCUUUCUUCUCUAAAAUCCUCCAAAGAAUGUCUCUUGGGACCCUAUCAUACGCUUUUUCCAAAUCUAUAAAGACCAUGUGUAAAUCCUUUUUCCCAUCUCUAUAUCUUUCCAUCAAUCUUCGUAAGAGAUAGAUUGCCUCCAUGGUUGAGCGCCCUGGCAUGAACCCGAAUUGGUUGUCCGAAACCCGUGUCUCUUGCCUCAAUCUAUGCUCAAUGACUCUCUCCCAGAGCUUCAUUGUAUGACUCAUUAGCUUAAUACCCCUAUAGUUCAUGCAAUUUUGUACGUCGCCCUUAUUCUUGUAGAUAGGCACCAAAGUGCUCGUUCGCCACUCAUUUGGCAUCUUCUUCGUUUUCAAAAUCCUAUUGAAAAGGUCAGUGAGCCAUGUUAUACCUGUCUCUCCCAAAACUUUCCACACUUCGAUUGGUAUAUCGUCUGGGCCUAUUGCUUUUCUAUGCUUCAUCUUCUUCAAAGCUACAAACCACUUCUUCCUUCCGGAUUCGACGAUAAAAAGAGUAGUUUCUACACUCUUCUGAGUUACUCAACUCCCCUAAAGAAGCACUCAUUUCAUGUCCUUCAUUGAAAAGAUUAUGAAAAUAACCUCUCCAUCUGUCUUUAACCGCGUUCUCUGUAGCAAGAACCUUUCCAUCCUCAUCCUUGAUGCACCUCACUUGGUUUAGGUCCCUUGUCUUCUUUUCCCUUGCUCUAGCUAGUUUAUAGAUAUCCAACUCUCCUUCUUUGGUAUCUAGUCGUUUAUACAUAUCGUCGUAAGCCGCUAACUUAGCUUCUCUCACAGCUUUCUUCGCCUCUUGCUUCGCUUUUCUAUACCUUUCACCAUUUUCAUCGGUCCUAUCCUUGUAUAAGGCUUUACAACAUUCCUUCUUAGCCUUCACCUUUGUUUGUACCUCCUCAUUCCACCACCAAGAUUCCUUUUGGUGUGGGGCAAAGCCCUUGGACUCUCCUAAUACCUCUUUUGCUACUUUUCGGAUACAACUAGCCAUGGAAUCCCACAUUUGGCUAGCUUCCCCCUCUCUAUCCCACACACACUGGGUGAUUACUUUCUCUUUGAAAAUGGCUUGUUUUUCUUCUUUUAGAUUCCACCAUCUAGUCCUUGGACACUUCCAAGUCUUGUUCUUUUGUCUCACUCUUUUGAUAUGUACAUCCAUCACCAACAAGCGAUGUUGAUUAGCCACGCUCUCUCUUGGUAUAACUUUGCAAUCCUUACAAGUUAUACGAUCCCCUUUCCUCAUUAGAAGAAAAUCUAUUUGUGUUUUUGACGACCCACUCUUGUAGGUGAUCACAUGUUCUUCUCUCUUCUUAAAGAAGGUGUUGGCUAAGAAGAGAUCAUAUGCCAUUGCAAAAUCCAAGAUAUCAUAUGUUCUUUCUCCUUAUUCUUGGACAAAAUUGCACCUAUAAAACAAAUAACAACUUAGAUCAAGGCCAAGAGUCUCACGCGCCCACGAUGAAUUUGGAGGGGGGGCUUUGGUCGAAAAACCUCCGAUGCCAAAGUUAGAAUUUUGAGGGAAAAGUGUUUUGAGAAUUUUGAGUGUUUAGCAAGAGUGAAGACUAAGGUUUUUAAAGAAAAUAAGGUAGAAUAUAUAAGGCAUGGCCGGCCCCCUUGGGAGAGAAGAUGACCAGCUUCUUGUGUGUAUUUUUGGGUUUAAUUGGUAGUUUAAUUAGACAUUAAUAGAUUAAUUAGGUAAUAAAUUCACUAAUUAGCUAAUUAACAUAAUUUAAAAGGAAUGUUUUGGGGGUUACCUUGUGGAGAAGAUAUGAUGAGGGACGGAUGAAAUAUGUUAUAAAUAAAUACCUAUUUGGGCACUUUUAACUUGAUUGAGGGAUGAUUGUCCACUGCUCACGUGUAUAAAUUCCGGUGUGCCUCAAAGAUAAUUUUGUCCUUUUAACCCAAAAAUCCACGUGUCGCCUCUUGACUAUUUUUUGCUCCACAAUCAUGUCCUGUCCACUUUACUUUUAACACAACGAACAACGAAUUAGAUUAAAGUCUAUUUUAACUAGUACAUGCUUACAUAUAUUGUGUGAACAAUUUCAUUUUAUUUUGUUUUGUAUUAUAAAGUGUUGAUUAUUUUAAAAUUUCUUGAAAAAGCUUACAUGAGGUGCUCGGAUCAGAGUCGAUCGUUUUCGAGUCGUAACCCUUUUCGGAGCAGUGGGGAAGAUGGUGGCUUGGUAGUUGUGUUGGGUGAUCUCUGCCUCUUAUGAAGCUUUUUCUAUUUUUCUAUUUUUCUAAUUUUUAUUGUUAAUUUUCUUUUUAUUUGUUUGUUAUUAAAUUUUGUGGGAUCCACAUAUGUGUCACGUUAACAUUCUAACAGAAGUUUUGACGAAAAUAUAAUGGCAAAUUGAUUUGUAACAUCCAAUUCAAAGGCUACACUGAUCGAUUUCAAUUUCAAAGGUCACCUUAAUUAGUGCGUCGAUUUCCGACUAUUUGCGUUAAAGACACAUUUUAGAAAAAUCUACUACACAAAGCAGUGGGGAAGAUGGUGGCUUGGUAGUUGUGUUGGGUGAUCUCUGCCUCUUAUGAAGCUUUUUCUAUUUUUCUAUUUUUUAUUGUUAAUUUUCUUUUUAUUUGUUUGUUAUUAAAUUUUGUGGAAUCCAGAUGUGUGUCACGUUAACAUUCUAACAGAAGUUUUAACAAAAAUAUAAUGGCAAAUUGAUUUGUAACAUCCAAUUCAAAUGCUACACUGAUCGAUUUCAAUUUCAAAGGUUACCUUAAUUAGUACAUCAAUUUCCGACUAUUUGCGUUGAAGACACAUUAUAGAAAAAUCUACUACACAACGUGUGGGGGGUGUUGAUUUGAACGCCCGGUGAAGCACGGGAAGACCAAAACAUGUAGCCAGAAAAUUCGGUGUCUCGCCUUCCCAACUCGCUCGACCUAUAUAUGUGUGCUGAAACACAGAGUCGAAAACAAACAACGCACGACAUUCUCCGUUUCUCAUCAAACUAGAUUAUUUUACGUUCUCUCUGCAAAGCGUUGGAAUUUCUGUUCUUCUUUCAUCACCCAAGAACAGAUUACGUAAUUGAAUUAAGUUUUGAGUCUCAUUGUUUCCGUAAAUUAUGUCUCUGGUUUCGGUCGGAAUGGGUGCUCUGAGAACGUCAUUUCAAAUGCUGUUUGAUGCUGUAAAAUCAGCGCAGGAGGAGAAUACAAUGUUCCAACACCUACUCGGAAACAUCAAAUCCACACUGGAAUCUCUACAACCACUUAUCAAAGACAUCGAAAAGUAUAACUCCAAGGAGGGGCGGGAAAAUUAUGCAAUACAGAUGGAGGAAGGAGCAAAGCUUGUUCAAAAGUGCAGCAAAGUUGGCGUGUGGAGAAAACACACAUACACCAAGAAGCUUAAUCAACUGGACAAAUCUCUUCGAAGAGUGUUUGAUGUGCUUAAACUGCAGGUUAUGAGGGAUGCGAGGGAGACGUUGGUUCCUUUGAGGAAUAUCGAGACGGUGCUCUCUCGAAUAGAAGAGAGAUUGAAGAUAAAAAAUAACCAGCCUGAAAUGGUUAAAUGUUCGUCUGCGGUGCCUGAAGCGCCAUCGGUUACAGUCGGGUUGGAUUUGCCGUUGAAGGAGUUGAAGGUGAAGCUCCUUAAGGAUGAAAAGGUGUCUAUGCUUGUGCUGACCGCUGCUGGAGGAUGCGGGAAAACCACCUUGGCUAAAAUGUUUUGUCAAGAUCAAGAAGUCAAAGGUAUACUAUUUAUGAUUUCAACCAUACACAGUAACCAAAAUUUGUUAAAAGAAAAACAACGAAGGGGACAUGAAACUAAAGCGCACGAAAGGAAUAUAAGAAAGAUUAGAAAGACCUAUAUUCUCUGUACUAAAGUUAAGCUGAUGCCUUCCUUUUAUUAACACCUUUCCUACAUUCUGUUUGAAUAGAUACAUUCAAGAACAACAUCUUCUUUGUCAAUGUCUCGAAAAAACCCAACUUGGACCUUAUUGUACACGAACUAUAUCAACGGAAGGGGUCCGAGCUGCCUGCUUUCGAAAACGAAGACAUGGCAGCUAACUGGUUGCAACAAUUUCUGAUGGAAUCAAGACAAAAUCCUCUACUGUUUGUCCUGGAUGAUGUUUGGUCAGGAUCAGAGUCCCUUCUUGAGAAGUUUGAUCAAUUCAAGUUUUCAAAUUACAAGAUUUUGGUCACAUCAAGAUUUGCAUUUCCAAGAUUCGGUUCUCCUUAUCAUUUGGCACCAUUGAAUGAUGAAGAUGCAAUGGCUCUUUUUCACUAUUCUGCAUCCUUGGAAGAUAAGAGCUCUUAUACUUACGAAGAUCUUUCGAGAAAGGUGAUUUCUUAGUCCACAAUACACACACACACACACACACAUAUAUAUAUAUGCUUAUUUAUGCCUCAGAAGAAGGUAAAGAAAUAACAUUUGAGCAUCCACACACGUUAAUGAACUGUGAAGAAUGAGGUAAGAAGAAUGAAUGACUAGACAGUUUACAAUUUUAUCAUCUUUAUGAAACCAUUUAGAUGAUUUUCAACAAUUUAAUCAAAUAAUAAUAAUUGAGUUCAUUUUGGAUAAUGAUAUUGCAGAUUAUCAAGCGCUGUAAGGGAUGCCCACUUGCCAUUGCAUUGGUUGGGAGAUCACUUCGCGGCCAGCCUAUAGAAAUCUGGCAGAAAAGAGUAGUGGAAUGGUGCAAAGGUUCAUCUAUUCUUGAUUCUGACAAGGAUUUACUUGCUUGCCUCCAAAGCAGCUUAGAUGCCUUGGAUAAGGAGAAGGUUAUCAUCAAGGAAUGUUUCCUCGAUCUAGGUUCUUUUCCGGAGGACCAAAGAAUUGCUGCUGCCGCUCUCAUUGAUAUGUGGGCGCAGUUAUAUGGUCUAGAUGAAGAAAUUCUGACCAUUGCCAACCUUCACGAGCUCACCGCUCGAAGUUUAGCUAAUCUUGUUGUCACAAGGUAUGCAGGCUGCUCAUAAGUUUUUCUAUUUAAUUAUGUAUGCCGAACAAAUCAUUAAAGAAAAUAGUAUUGAUCAUCCAGACAUGAGAGGGAGACAGAUGGCUAUUACACUGAACACUUUGUCACCCAGCACGACAUGCUUAGAGAGUUGGCGAUCCAUCAGGCGAGUCAAGACCCAAUAGAACAUAGGAAACGACUAUUUAUAAACAUAUGUGGGGUCAAACUUCCUAAGUGGUUGACAGAACAAAAGUAUAAAGCGAUCAAGGCUCGACUAUUAUCUAUCUCAACAGGUUCCAUCAAUCUCUCCUUAGUUAAUACUUAAUACAUGUGCACUCGGGACACACGUGUGCACACACACACACACACAUUUAGGACUUCCACACAUUUAGGCUAAUAUCUUGAAGCUUAUUGUUUGCAGAUGGAGCCUUCUCAGCAAAAUGGCCAAACAUGCAAGUACCCGAAGCAGAGGUUCUAGUUCUGAAUUUUCAAACAAAGAACUAUGCCUUACCUGAGUUUGUGGAGAAAAUGGAUAAACUAAAAGUUCUAAUACUAAAUAAUUAUGGUUUGUUACCUGCUGAACUAGAUAAUUUUGAACUACUUGGUUCGCUAUCAAAUCUUAAGAGAAUUAGAUUAGAACAUAUUUCAGUUCCUUCCAUAAGCAAGGUCCUCAAACAGUUGAAAAGUUUGCAAAAGAUAUCUUUUUUCAUGUGUGAUAUCGGCCAAGGUUUCGUCCAAAUUUUAGAUGCACUGCCAAAUCUAGUGGAAUUAAACAUUGAUUAUUGCCAUGAUCUGGUGCAACUUCCUGCCAACCUAUGUGACCUUGUUCACCUUAAGAAGCUUAGCAUCACCAACUGUCAUAAGCUAUCUGCCUUGCCUGCAGACAUUGGAAAGCUAGUCAAUCUAGAAGUGUUGAGGCUUAGGUCAUGUGCAGACUUGUUAGAGUUGCCAGGCUCGAUUAGGAACCUUGAAGUUUUGAAAUUUCUCGACAUAUCCGAUUGCUUUAGCAUAAAGGAGUUGCCCGAGGACAUUGGUGCAAUGUGCAGCAUGGAAAAGAUCAACGUGAGCCAGUGUUCAAGACUGAGAGAGCUGCCUGCUUCUGUUAUGGAUCUUGAGCAGUUGAACGAAGUGAUAUGCGACGAGGAGACGAAAACCUUAUGGGAACCCUUCUCGCCAUUUCUCACAAACAUGAGCGUAAAGGUGAUCAAAGAAGAUAUCAACCUAAAUUGGCUCAACAAGCUUCCAUCCUAAGGCUAUGGUCCUUCCAUCAAUGAGUGUUGGUGCAAUGUAUGCAGUAUGAUUGUGUUUAAUGUUAUUUUUCCUUUGUAAUUUACUUCUAUUUUAUGUUUUAUGUGUUUUUAAAUAACAUGGCAGCACUGUAAAUUAUUGUAAUUAUUCACCAUGGCUGUUAUUGUAAAUAACAUGUUUGCACUCCUCAUUGUUCAAUUCUUCAUUGAUUCUCUUUGAUUUAUCCAAUCAAUGGGUGUUUGUGCAAUGUAUGCAGGGAUAAAGGCAAGGAAAGAAAAUAAGGAAAAUUAAUUAAAAGGACUUGAAAACUUUGAGUUUUAACGAAAAUGACAAAAUAAAUGGGAAAAUGAAUAGUACCAUGAUUGACUUUUUAGUGUAAAAAUAUGGUUUUUUGUUAAAAUGAACAGUAUCGGAAGUUUUUUGUUAAAAUUCCCAAGAAAAUAAGAGUUAAAAAAUAACUGGCCUUUGAUUUAUUCAAUCAAUGUAUUAACUCUAUUGGUUGUUUCUCCGCUCUCUCUCUCUUGUUGAACCUCUUCAUCCCCUUUCAGUUAAAUAGGUCAUAACAUUACUGUUUUAUUUUAAGGGUAAUGCUAAGGAUAUUAAAUUUGUAGACAAAAUUUUGCAAAUUAAGUGACAUAGAAGUUGAUAAUUAGAUUAUGAUGUGCUUAAUCCUAUUGGUAACAUAUUAUUUAGUUUGCAAAUUUUGUCCCCAUAACAUUACUCGUAUUUAAAACUAUUUAUUCAAGAGCACAACAUUUUUUUUACUAUUUUAUUUUAAACUAUUUAUGCUACAGCACAACAUUUUAAAAGUAGUUCAAUACCAAAUCAUAUGUACUAGAAAAUUAUAUAUCUCCUCGUCUCCUAACAGCGUGUCAAAUGUCUUUCCCAGCUCGUUCGUUUUCUUUGGGUGAAAUUCAUUGCUUGUUCGUUAAGUUGUAUAUAUGUGUGCUGAAACCAACAAACAACUUACAUAUCAUUCUCACUUGCUCAUCAAACUAGAUUAACAAAGAGGAUUAAGGGUCAGUUUGGGAUUGCUAUGUUUUUAAAAAAACUAAUUAUGUUAUGUUUUAUGAAUAAUCAGUUGUAAAAUAAAGCCGAUGACCGUUUGGUUAAUUGAAUUUUAAAAGUCCUAUGAAUAUGAAAAGCAGCGCAAAAGCGUUUGGUAAAAUUUAAUGUAAAAGUGAUAUAAUUGUACACAAUGAUAGAUGGACAUAGUAGUAGGAAUGGGGGCAACGACAGCAGUGGUAGUAAUGGAGGUGGUGGUUGCAGUGGAGGAAGUGAUGGUGGUGCUAAUAGUGGGAUGUGUUGGUUGAGGUGGAAAGGUAACACAGGUGGUAAGGCGUGGUGGUGCUAAUAGUGGGCUGUGUUGGUUGAGGUGGAAAGGUAACACCGGUGGUAAGGUGGUGGCAGUGGUCAUGAUGGCAAUGGUGGCAGUUGGAGUUAUGUUAGUGUCGACAAUGAUAACAAUGAUGGUGGUAAUGAUAGUUGUGGUUGUGAUGGCAAUGGUGGUAGUUGUGGUAAUGGUGGUGGUGAUGGUGUUGGCGAUAACAGCAUCGAUGGUGGUAGUAGUGGUGGUGGCAAUGGCGGCAGUGCGGUGAUGGUAGUGAUGGUGGUGACAAUGAUGGUAGUGAUGACAGUGGUGGAGGUUGUGGUUAUGGCGGUGGUGGUGGUGGUGACAAAAAUGAUGGUUGCAAUGACGAUGAUGGUGUAAGGUUAGUAUUUGGAGUGGUAGGUGGUAGUCUUUACUUUAUUCUCUAAGGAAUAGAGGAACAGAAUGUGUGUGGAAGGCUAAACAAUGUCAUUUAAAAAAAAUUAAUGAAGGUAUUACAGCAAUUAAAAAUACUUAUUAUAGACCUUUCUUUUUACUAAAGCAGCUUUUAAAAGCAACUUGCAGGCUGCUUUUAAAAGCUAUUGUCUGGAGCCCAUUGUUUAGAGUCUCUUUGUUUUGGUAAGUAUGUCUCUGGCUUCAAUCAGAAUGGGUGCUCUCAGAACGGCAUUUAAAAUGUUGUUUGAUGCUGUAAAAUUAGCGUAGGAGGAGAAUAAAAGGUUCCAACACCUCUCCCGAGACAUCAAGUUCACACUCGACUCUGUACAACCACUCAUCAAAGACAUCGAGAAACGUAUAACUCGAAAGAGGGACUGCAAAAUUUUGCAAUACAGAGGGAGGAGGGAGCAAGCUUUCAACAAUUGUUACAUCUCAAUCUCAUUGGCAUUUCUGAAUCUAGAAGAAAUGUACAUCGACUAUUGCAGUGAUUUAAUAGAGUUGCUUACCAAGAUUUGUAAUCUUAGUAAAUUAAAGAAGCUUAGCGUCACUAACUGUUACAUCUCAAUCUCAUUGGUAUUCCUGAAUCUAGAAGAAAUGUAAAUCGACUAUUGCAGUGAUUUAAUAGAGUUGCCUUCCUCUCCCUUUCAUUGUUUUCACUUUCUUCUUCCUCCUCCGACAUACACACACGGACGACAACGGCAACACCACCAUUUGUGUGGCCGUGAAAUCCUUAAUCCAAAACCCUAAAAAAUCAAGAACCUUCCUCACCGCCACUGCCCUCGCUUCGCUUCUCGCUGUCUCCAAUCCAGCCUAUCUUCAUCUCGCUGUCUCCAAGUUGUAUACUUUGAAGGAGGAGAAAUUGAAGAUGGAUAACGGAGGCAGCGACUCAAUCCUCUUCUUCUCGCUGUUUUCAGUCCAACCUCUUUUCCUUCCACAAGCAGCGACUCAAGGUUAUCUUCUCCACCUCCUCCUCGUUUUCUUUUUUCUGAAUUGAAACAAAUUCAAAGUUGUAAACUUUGAAGAAGGAGAAAUUGAAUUGUUGUUGUUCUUUUUGUCUACAGAUUCUUGAAGUAGCAGAGGAAAAAUGAGAGUUUUAUGUUUUUGUUUGUUUGUUUGUUUUUUUUUUUUUUUUUUUGCAAUUAUCAGUUUUGGCUGUGGUAGUCUAGUGGGUUUCUGGGUUUCUGUGUUUCCAUUUCUAUUGCAGAUCAGCAAAGCCAUUUCUGGUGGGUUUCUGGGUUUUGUGGAGAUCGGCAAAGGAGCACUGUUUCUUGUUUGAGGGUGUUAUUGGACUUUAGAAAGUUUCAUUAAAGGAGCACUGUAGCUCUGCGUGCUUUGAAAAAAAGCCAGUUUUCCAAAGCAGCAUUUUAGGUGCUUCAGCUUUUCUGAUGAUUUCAGCUUAUUCAAUCCAUUUUUUUUGAGUUUACCAAACACCUUCAACAUAAAAACUUUGAAAAUAAGCAACUUUUUUUUAAGCACCUCAAUGCCAAACCAUACGUAACUGUCAUAAGCUAUCUGCCUUAGCUGAAGGGAUUGGAAAGUCGGAAAAUUUAGAAAUGUUGAGGCUAAGAUCCUACACAGAACUGUUAAAGUUUCCAACCACGAUGAAGAACCUUGGAAAGGUAAAAUUUCUCGACAUAUAUGUUUGCUUCAGCAUCAAGAUGUUGCCUAAAGACAUAGUUGAAAUGGGUAGUUUAAAGAAGAUCAACAUGAGACAAUGCUCAAGGUUGCAAGAGCUGCCUCCAUCAGUCAUGGAUCUUAAGCAGUUAAAGGAAGUUGUCUGUGAUGAAGAGACAAAAUACUUAUGGGAAUCUCUCAUUGUGUCUCAACAACGUAAGGAUAAUUAUAUCAACCUAAAUUGGAUCCACAAGACUCAGUUCUGAUACUUGUGUUUCCUCGGUGAACGUGGGCUUCAUAAAUAGUAGUGUGGGAUAUUGCACGGUAUAAUCAUUUGUUGUUAAAUGAGCACUAUUUUGACAACCUUAAGAAAUUUUCUAAACUAGUGAAAUGUGAAGGGAAAUUUAAUAUCUGAGCAAUAAGUUUAAUGUGAAAGUUGUUUUAUCAGAGGGAAAAUGUGGUUUGUGUUUUUAAUGGGACUUCUUAAACUCUACUCUAACAUAGUUUCACAAUCAAUCCCUAUACGCAGUUUCUUAACCUUUUGGUUUGAAAAUUUGUAUGUAUAGUUCAACACCAUAGUGUGAUUAUGCUUCCCAAAAUACGUUUUAUAAGUAAAGGAACCAAAAAGAAAAGGUUGAAGAGUCUCCAUAAGACAAGAACUUUUAUGUCACAGGGUCAGGUAUUAAUCUCAUCGUCAGUAAGUUUCUCAAGUAUCUAUAUUCACAUUUGUUAGUCAAGUUUUCAGAAUUGUGUUCGCAUAUAAUCUGAGUUCAUUGCCAAAUGUAGUGGAAUUGAUUGUUAUUGACUAUUUGCGAUGAAUUGGUCUCAUACUAUAGUUCAACACCACCAUCUGAUUCAUGCUCUCCAAAAUAAAUUUUAUAAGUAAAAGGAACAAAAAAGAAAAGGUUGAAGAUUCUCCAUAAGAUAAGAACUUUUAUGCCAUGGUGUCAGGUGUUAAUCUCGUCCUCGAUAAGUUUUUCUAGUAUCUAUACUCACGUCUAUUGGUCAAGUUUCCAGAACAUGUGUUCACAUAUAAUUUGGAUUCAUUACCAAAUCUAGAAGAAUUGAUUGUUGUUGACUAUUGCAAUGAAUUGGUCUCAAACUAUGUUUUCCAACCAGCACAGAUUGAUCAGCUUUUUUUUUUUUUUUUUUUUUUUAAUAAAAAAAAGUUGUUUGAUUAGUCUCGUUCAAUACCGUUACGUGAUCAGCUUAAACUUAGUGGAAAUUAGGUUCACAUCCUUCUUUUUGUUACUCCAUUGAUUAAAAUCCUAUUCAUUUUCAAUUUUUGAUCAAGGUCCUUGGGUAUUAAUUACAUCAUUAAUUAUUUGAAUAAUAAAAUAUUUUUAUUUUUAAAUAUAUUCCUUUAGUGUUAAAAAUGUUACAUUUAGUAUAUUUAUAUUUAUGGUUAAAAAUUUUACCAUAUAUUUUUAUUUUUAGUUUGUACCUAUUUUUAAUUUGCAAAUAUUUUUUAAUGUACCAAUUUUCUUUUCAUUUUUAAUUUGUACCCAUAUAUUAGUUUCUUUUUGUGCCCAUAUUUUUAAAAUUUUUAUUUGUGUUUGGAUUCAUGUGUAUACCGUCACGUGACAUUGUAUAUUUAAUCAAUGAUAGAAAAAUUACAUAUGGUAUAUUUAUGUUUUAUGCCUAAACUUUGUAUCAUAUAUUUAUAUUUUUAGUUUGUACCCACUUUUAAUUUGCAACAUUUUUUUUUUAAAUUUGUAGUAUUUUCUUUUUAGUUUUAUUUUGUACCCAUGUAUUAAUUUCUUUUAGCGCCUAUAUUUUUUUUAAAACUUCAUUUGUACUCAUAAUUUUCUAAUCUUUUAUCUGUACCCUAAUUUAUUUAUAAUGUAUCCAUUCUUCUUUAUUAAUGUACCACUUUGUUAUAUGUGAAAUGUACCAAUUUUUUUAACACUAUUGAUAGAUUCUUUUGCCAUUUAUUAUUUCUUAUUUUAACAUAGUUUUUAUCCAUUUAUUCAAUCAAAAUGUUUGAAUUUUUUUAUUGUAACUGUUUCUAAUAGUAUUAUAAUGAGGGAUUUUAAAUUUAUAGGAUUAUAAAUCUCAUAAAAUAUCAAACAAUUAAUGUCAAAACUAUAAAAAUAUAAAUAUUAAUAGUAAUAUAAUGAGGUGUACAAAGUCAAGGGACUUUGAUCAAACUUUGAAUACUAUUAAAGUUUUAAUCAAAGAAUGUUAAGGAUUAGAGACCGCAUCCAAAAUAUCUCAAAAUAUUUUUCUUGUUCAAAAUUUUAAUAGUUAAACUAAUAAAGAACGGGCCAUAUUUUCUUUCUUUUAAAAGUUGUUCACAUAGAAGUGGUCAUUGACAAAGUAGAUAAUGAAUAAACAUUGUAAUUUGGAUGAAAAUACACAAAUUCAAUACUUUAAUUAGAUUUAUAUACUUUAAAUGAAAAUAAACAAGUUUAAUAUUCUUAGAGAAGGGCACAAUAGAAAUUUCACAACUAAGAAUUGAUUAUAGCAUGCCAAUACUUAAAAAGCUGACUUGGCUUUGUAAUGGGAAGGGUACAAAGAAAUUUCACAGCUAAAAAUUAAUUAGAUCAUGACAAUGAGGUAGAUGAGGGGGUUCUUUACUCCAAAUGAACUCUUGAAGUAUUUUUAUAGAGAACUUAUAGUUUUGAAACAAAUAAUUGUACAUUAGAAAAAGAUAGCUCAUAUUUUCAUUGAAAAAGAGAGCUGAUUUUUAUUAAUUAACAUUGAAGUUUUUGCCUAUUAAAAAAAUGUGGGUCUUAUUUUUUAAUAGAGGUAGGACCCACCAACACAUAUUAGUCUCAUCUCUAAUAACAUUUUUUUGCAAAAAUUAUUCACUGCUUCCUAAUAAAGUAAACAAGGUCAAAAGGAGGACAAAUUGGUUUUCUUUUAGCACUAAUACUCUUUUAGAAACUAUGUAUUUGAUUGUAUGAACAAUAAAGUCAUUGUACAAUUUAAAUUUAAAACUCAUAAAGAAAAUUAUACAAGGCAUAAAAAAUUUAUUAAUCAACAUUGAAACUUUUGUGCAUAUUCUAUGAAAACACAAGGAAAUUAUACUAUGAUCUCCUCACAAGAAAUUCUGAACUCUUUCGUUUUUCAUGAACUUGUGAUACACGGUAAAGGGGAUGAAUUCUUCAAUGAAAUAUUGAUACACAAAUGAGACCUAUUCAUAAGUUUAUUGAAAAUAAUGAAGCGCAUAGGAGUACUCCAGCCCAUAAUACAAUUUUCUUGUGUUUUCAUAGCAUAUGCACCCAAAAUAUAAUGUUGAAAAAUAAGUAUUAUUUUUUAUGUAUAUAAAUAUAAUAUUUUCUCAUCUUCUAGUACAAGUUUUGUGCAUAUUCUACAAACCCAAAAAUAAAUUAAAAAUCAACAUCUUAGCAAUAUUUUCUCAAAAAAAAAAUAAAAAAUUGCUCGGUAAACAAAUAUAUUUUUCCACACUAAAUUUCGCAAAUAUCCUAUGAAAAUAUAAGGAAAUUAUACUAUGGUCUCAUCUAAAAAAAAAUUCCAAAAAUUCUCAGCUCUAAACUUAUAAUUCAUGCAAACGGGAUCAAUUUAUCAAAGGACUUAUGAUACACGUAAAUGAGGUCAAUUCAUAAGUCCAUUGACCAUGACAUAUCAUGUGAAUGGGAAUAGAGAAGCAUACGAGUUUCUUAUGUGUUCAUGGCAUGUGCACAAAAUGUUUUAUUGGUGUUGAAAAUUGUGUAUGUAUAUCAGCAUAUUUUCUCAUCUUGUAGUAUGCUAAAGGAGUAGAUCGCAACAUCUUCAUAAUAAAUUCUCUACCUAGCUUACUCUAGGCUUAUGAAUUCACUCGCAACAAAAUUUGAACUGAAAAAAAAAAGUGACUUUCUUUUAGCACUAAUAAUAGUUUUUUUUUUUUUUGAAUAAACGAUAUUAUAUACCCUAAGAGGGUGGGGAGUGAGCUAAACCUCACAAUGGCUAGCAAUAAUGUGGUUCAAAGUGGUUCAAUGUGGUUCAAAUUUGUCUUUUGUGGAAAUCGAACUUAAGACUUCUCACUUACAAGUGAAAAGAAACACCACUAGACCAUAGUAUUAAGUGGCCUAAUAAUAGUUCUUUGAAAAACUAUAUAUUUGAUUGCAUAAACAAUAAAGUCAUUGUAUAAUUUAUAUUUAAAUUAAAACUCAUAAAGAAAAUUAUAAUUGUCAAGCCCUGAUCCCGACAUAUGUCCAAGAUCGACACAUGAUGUCAGCUCAUCCCUAUUUAUUUAUCAUCUCAUCUCCGAGACAAGUCCAAAACCCAAUCAAUGAUUCAACCAAGCAGUGACUUUCCUUUAUUUCAUGGCUGAAUCUAACAUUUGCAUUAGACUGCCUAUGUACCCUAAAUAGGGAUCAAGCCAUUCAUAGUUCACCAUUCACUACACUCCAAUGUUUAUCACAGUACGUUCUAACAAAAAGGCAUAGCAUCCCUCAAUCAAUUAUUAAAACUUGACAAGCAUGAAAUUACUAGAUUUAGGGCUACAUAAUAAACCCACAUGACAAUCAAGAUUUCCACAUCAUCCAUCAUAUAAAUCACUAUGUUUCAACAUAAUAUUGCAAUUCAUAGCAUGCAACAUCUCAAAGAACAAUCAACGAAGCGUAAUAUUAUUCUCUAGCCACAUUGGUCAACGAGUCUAACCAUAAUAAUAACAAUCAUAUCCAACAUCAUUCCACAAUCACUCCAAUUAAUCAAUUCCAUGAAUCAAAGAAGCACGAUAUUAACAUUUAACUACGUUCAUCAAUCAAUACGAUCACAUAUUAAUUCACAAAAUUUAAUAAAGGAAUCCUACAUAAUUUCCUACCUGGAUUCCAAGUAAUAACAUGAUAAAUCUAAUUUAUAAACACAAUGUCUACUGUGAGCAAUUCCUAUUCACUCGAAUCUAGGGGCCGGAAAUGAGCAAGAAUAGGGAUUAUGGACAGUCACCGGAAUCUAACUAAAUUAUGGUUGCCUAUCGAACUGUACUGAGUACAACUAAUCCUCAUCACCCCUAGAAUGCAUAUGGUCCCCUAUUGCGAAUAUACCAAGCAGAACCAUAGGCAUAAUCUAAGCAUGCAUGCAGUGAUCACCCAUCGAGGAUAUACCAAGCAUGAUCACCCUUGAAAUACGUAUGGUCCCAUAUCACAGAUAUAACAAGUAGGGCAAUAUCCUAUAGCUUUAGGUUGUGAUCACCCAUCGCGGAUAUACCAAGCAUGGUCACUCCUAGAAUGCGUAUGGUCCCCCCAUUAUGGAUAAACCAAGCAGAACCAUAUGCAUAGUCUAAUAAUGUAGGCAGUGAUCACCCAUCGUGGAUAUACCAGGCAUGAUCACUCCUAGAAUGUAUAUGGUCCCUCAUUGCAGAUAAACCAAGCAGAACCAUAAACAUAGUCUAAUAGUGCAUGUGGUGAUCACCCAUCGCAGAUAUACCAAACAUGAUCACUCCUGAAAUACGUAUGGUCCCCUAUUGUGGAUAUACCAAGCAGAACCAUCCUAACCACUGCUACAUGGUGCAGUCAUAUCAAUACACAAUAAUUACCAAAUUAAUAUGAAUCAUAAUUCCUAGCAUACACACCAUCAAUCCGAUAAGACAACGAUCAUUGAAUCACAUCGUACACAUUCUAUAACAUGUGUCAUUUCAUCAUGAAUCACAAUUUCAAUUGUACAUGCUAUCAAUUCCACUUAACUAACCAGUCUCCAAUUAUCCAUACAAAUGAGUUCUACGGAAUAGUUCUAACGAGGUUCCAACUCAUAUUUUCAUACAAUAUAUAUAUGAUAGAAAAGUAAUAUUUUAAUAUAAAACACAUUUAUAAAACCAUGCCAUAUCCAUUAAAUAUACUAGCAAGGGAAUUUUUAGGGUAAUCAUUGAUACCACAUGAUUAGAACAUUAGUCCUUGCCAAAAAAAAAAAAAAAAAAAAAAAAAAACCUAACCCUAGAUUACAUAUUCAAUUUAAUCUCUUGAAGUGUACUUUUAUCAAAAUUUAUAUUCAAUUUUUGUUAUUUAAUGUGUAUUUUUAUUUAAUCUCUCUACAUUAAAUUUUAAUUUUAUUAAUGCACAUAUUUAGUCCUUUAAUUAUAAAUGAACACAAAUGAGAAAAUAUUUAAAAAAAGUUGCGAUACAAAAAUAUAUAAAUACAUAAGUGUACAGAAAUGACUGUGCAGAAAUAUAUAAAAUUAACUUUUUUUGCACCGAAAUAUUUGUACCUGCAUGAUUGUACCGAAAUAUAUUAUAAUGAAUCUAAAUGUAUGUACCAAAAUGUAUUAUAUAGAAUUAAUGUACCAAAAUGUCAAUACCGAAAUGUAUGUACCAAAAUGUACAUACCAAAAUGUAUAUGUGAACACGGAAAAUUCCUGAAACGAAAGAGACAAGAACGACGUGCACAAACAAAAUAUUUGUAUUUUUGAAGAUUUUGGGUUACAAUCUCUCUCUAUUUUGAUCCUCUGAUUCGAUCUCCGUAAGGUGUUGAUUGAUGGAUGUUUUGUUGAUCCAAGGGUCGUUGAUGCUUAAUCUUGGAUGAACUGUUGGAAGUUUCUUCAAAGGGCCGUGGGCUUGAUCUUUAAGGUGGAUUUGAGCGGAUCUUCAAGGAGCCGUUGGGGCUUGAUCUUGAAGAACAGUGAUGAACGGAUCUUCAAGGGGUUUUGGGCUUGAUCUUGAAGAACAGUGAUGAACGGAUCUUCAAGGGCUUUUGGGCUUAAUCUUGAAGAACGGUUGGAUGUGUGUGGAUUUGUCGAUGUUUGUUGAUCCAAAGGGCCGUUGGGGCUUGAUCUUGGAUGAACGGAUGAUGAACGAUGGUGCUUUCUUCAAGGGCCGUCGGGGCUUGAUCUUGAAUUGGUGGAAGUUCUUCAAGGGCCGUUGGGGCUUGAUCUUGAAUUGGUGGAUGAUUGUUGAUCCAAAGGGCCGUUGGGGCUUGAUCUUAGGAUGAACGAUGAACGAAGAACGCUUUCUUGAUUCUUCGGGAACCUGGAUGCUUGAGAGCUUCGGAGUUUCAGAGCUUCAGGGCUUCAAGGUGUAAUCUCAAUUGGUCCCCCCAUUUGGAAUGAAAUAGCCUUCUAUUUAUAGAAAUUUCCAAGGCCUAAUUUUGAAUAUAAUAUUCCAGAUGAAAUAAGUCGUUUCUGCCAGGUGUUGACACGUGUCCUAUUUGAUGACUUUUCCAACUCAUUUCAAUUUUCAUUGAGUCACACGCUACGUGUAAAAUUUAUGUAAUACAUGAGCGUUGACACACUUUGAUUUAUCGGUCAACAUUUAUUUACCGAAAUUUCGAUGUCUACAAAUGCCCCCACUUCAAGGCACGUCGUAUACAUGUGCUUGUCACGUGUAGGAGAUGCGUUUUGAAGUCCCUUACUGUAGAUGUCGAUCCAAGGGCCGUCGAGGCUUGAUCUUGAAUUGGGCUGGAGAUUUCUUCAAGGGCCGUUGAGGCUUGAUCUUGAAUUGGGCUUGAGAUUUCUUCAAGGGCCGUUGAGGCUUGUUCUUGAAUUUUUGUUUGAAAUUUCUUCAAGGGCCGUCGAGACUUGAUCUUGAAGGUUGAAAUUGGACCACAAGGAGCUUCAUGUGGUAGAUGAUCUUUGGCUUUGGUAGUGGGUGAAUCGGCACAUAUUUUGUUGCGCUUGUUGACUUUCCACAGCUUUGAUCUUGAACUGGGUUGAAGGAUUUUCUGGAUUCCUCCAAUUGUUGAUUUUCCACAGCUUAUUCUUGAACUAGGUUUUGAUUCAAGGGUGGUAGACACUUAAUCUUGAAUCGGACUUGUAAUUUCCUCAAAAGCCGUCGAGGCUUGAUUUUGAAUUUGGCUGGAAGCUUCUUCAAGGGCCGUUGAGGCUUGAUUCUUGAAGGCUGACUCGAACACAUGGCAAGAAGGCACGAGGUGAAGGUGACGACUUGUUGCUUUGUUCAAUCUUUCUAAUUCACACCUGAGCAGUUUGGUCAACGGUAUGAUCUUCAAGAUUGAUGGGCUCUUCUUCCAGUUGGUGACUUGAUCUUUAAGGAUUUGAUUCAAGGGUGGUGAAUCGGCACGUGCAGCCCACAACGCCUAGUAAGUCGACCCAAGAAUUUGAGGGUCAAAACGAGUUCUUCAUCUCAGACUCUUUCUGCCGAGUUGACUGUGCAUGCUGCAUUCUUCUCUGCUUGUUUCUUCAGGCAGAUAUGGCAGCUUCUCGAGUUCUUCAGCUCGGACUCCUUCUGCUGAGUUGACUGUGCAGACUGCAUUCUUCUCUGCUUGUUCCUUCUGCACCUUGUCUCCACAUGCUGCAAGGUAUCAUUUUCACUUGCCUUAUCUGUUCUCCAGGCAGAUGUGGCAGCUUCUUUGGAAGUACAACAGCAGUGGGAAACGAGUACUCGAGAGCAGUGCUAGGUAGGCAAUCAGGGAAGGGUUCCAAGCAGUCGGUUCCUUACCCGAGUUUGAGUGGAAGUUCCGGCAUAUUGUUUUCUUUAUCCUUGUCUUUGUAGGUAAGAACAAGGACAAAGGAAAGGACAGGGAGAACGCAUGAUAUGAGAUAUACUCUUGCUUUCUACCCUGGUGAUAUGAGAUACUUUUGCUUUGGAGUCAUUGGCUUGCAGAGGUACCCCAAGGAAUAAGGAACAUUGAAUGACUCGAGAGGCUUCGUUGGGAAAGCAUUUUUUUGGAGAUGAAGAAAGGCUCUGUAUGUCUGCCUUGCUAUGGAAGGCGAAGGUAGACAAUUAUAGGAAGUUCUUUGAUACCUGUAGAGGUACUAUUCUUUCACUCGUGUCGGCAACCAAUGCGUGAUCGAUCUAUAUGGCUUCACAUGCUUUCUUCUUUAUCAGAAAUCUUUGACAAAUUGUCCGUAAUUUCCGCCAAGCUAAGUGUGCAUGUGACAGGUGUUGACGCGGCUGAAAAAGACUGACGCCUCUUCGAUAACUGGGAUCGGCGCUUCGACAAAUUACCCGUGAUUUCCGCAAAGCUGAGUUUGCGUGUGAUGGGUGCUGACGUGGCUGAAAAAGACUGGCGCCUCUUCGAUAUCUGGGAUCUGCGCUUCGACAAAUUGCCCGUGAUUUUCGCAAAGCUGAGUUUACAUGUGACGGGUGCCGACGCGUCUGGAAAAGCAAGAUGCUUCUCCGAUUUCUGAGCUUGCCUCUUCGAUUUUUGAAUGGCCUCUUCGUAUUCUGAGCUCGCCUCUUCAAUCUCUGAAAUCCCGUCGAGUGCUGAUUUUUUUUUAGAGGCACGCUGUUCGUUUCAAAGCACACUUGAAUUUUACUUGUGAAAACUCCCUUCUUGCACUUCUAAGAUCUUGAUUCGUCCGACCUCUUCUUUCUUCAACACUUUGAAAAUCUCUGGUCCAUCUGACCGUCGUUUUGAUUUGAACCUUGGUGAAGGGGCAGUCCCUUCUUCUCCAGACAACAUAUGGCGCUCAUCCUUCAUAUCCCCUACUGGUCCUCUUACCGUUGGGGAUUCAGUGAUGAAGAAUGAUAUGACCGCUGCGGUGGUGGCCCGGAACCUUGUCACUCCCAAAGAUAACAGACUACUUUCCAGGCGGUCUGAUGAGUUGGCUGUUAAGGAGUCUCUGGCUCUUAGUGUGCAGUGUGUGGGUUCUGUGUCCAACAUGGCCCAACGCCUAUUUGCUCGAACCCGUCAAGUUGAAUCGUUGGCGGCUGAAGUGAUGAGUCUCAAACAGGAGAUUAGAGGGCUCAAGCAUGAGAAUAAACAGUUGCACAAGCUCGCACACAACUAUGCCACAAACAUGAAGAGGAAAAUUGACCAGAUGCAGGAAUCUGAUGGUCAGAUUUUACUUGAUCAUCAGAGGUUUGUGGGUUUGUUCCAGCAGCAUUUGCCUUCGUCUUCUGGGGCUGUACCGCGUAACGAAGCUCCAAAUGAUCAACCUUUGGCUCCUCUUCUUCCUGGAGUUCCGCCGAGUGGUGUGACUUCAAACAGUCAACCUCCGACGUCUCUUUUUCCUAGAGCUCCACCGAGUACUGAGACACCACUUGAGCAAUAAAGACUCCCUCCCGUUUGUUUGCACAUUUGUAAAUUUUUUUUUUUUUUUUUUGGUAUGUAGAAUGCAAUUUUAUGUAAAAUUUCGAGAAAAAAAAACAAAUAAAAUGGACUUUUAUUUCUCUUAAUGCUUUUUUUUUGUUUGCUGUAUAUAUUAUACACACACACAUUUAUAUAUACACAUACAUACAUACAUACAUAUAUAUAUAUAUAUAUUUUUUUUUCUUUCACGUGGAGUGAUCCACCAUCCCAAACCCAUUUUCCCUUUGUUUUUUUUUUUUGCAUGGUGCUAGCCAUCAAGAAUCCACCUUCCCUUUUUUUUUUUAUUAUUUUAUUUUAUUUUUUGGUCUGCUUUCACAUGGUGCUGAUCCACCAUUCCCCUUUUCUUUUCUUUUUUCACGUUGUGCCAGAUGCACCAUCCCCUCCUUUUUUUUUUUCUUAUAAUUAUUAUUAUAUUUUUUUUUCUGUAUAAAUUUGGGUGAUGGGUAGAGGAAUUUGCAGGGAGCGGAGCAAGGAGGCCGAGAAGAUGGUGCUUCGAGCUUCACGACCGGCUAGUCGUUUGACGGCAGUCGUUGAAGUUCUUUGCUAUCAUGGUGGUCAUAGUGACGAGCUCGAGGGAGGCUAGGCGCUGCGGUGGAAGAUGGGCAGAGAUGAGCGGUGCAGCUUUGGAAGUAGCAGGAGAUGACGGAGAAUGAGUCUCGCUCGAUGGCGUUUGAGAUUGGGCUGCCCCAUGCAUUCACAAGUACAUCCUUACCUCGAACCUUUGCGGGGACCAGCUUCUGCUUGGGAACGAUCCUGCAGUGAUGAAGGUGGACUUGGCGAGGCGGAGUGCUAAGACCGGGAGCUGGAUUCGACAGAUGAAGACUCGAAGUUGAUGCCGGUGUUGUGGCGACGGAAGCGUUGUGCAGCAACGUUGUGGGCCCUGGCGUCCGUUUGGCUGUGGGACCACGCUUUUGUACUUGGAGGAAGGGAGCUUCCGAGACUCGACCUCGAAGCUGCCGGUGCCGCCGCUGUUGCUGAGCUUUGAGUCCAGAAGUGCACUGCCCGUGCUGAUGUUGCCGAUGCGGUCGGGAAGGAGGAGUUGACAGCAGGCUGAUCACUAUGAACGGCUUAAGCGGCGGAGAUGGCGACUUGGUCUACUUCAACGGCAAGGAGGAGAUGCAUGAGGCUCAACUCUUGUAGUGCCGUGAGGUGGGAGACCUUCUUGUGGUUGUCAGGGUCUCUGACGGUGGUUCUGACGGCGUAGCCCUUCUGGAGUAGCAGCUUGACCAGCAGAGACACCACGAACCCGGUUCUGCCGAUGACGCAAGCCGUCUUCUUCGAGAUGGGUUGUUGGGUGGCCAUGGCUUCCUCUUCCUCUGUCAGAUUUUUAGUUGAAAAGGUGGGUGAUUUAUAACUCUUUGGAGAUUGGGAACCCUUGGCCGUGGCAGGAACUGAUAUGUUACUUUGUAGAUAUCUCUGGCUUGCUGAUACCGUGCUGUCUAAAGAAAUGCUUUCGUUGCUUGUUUGAGAUGCAAAAUUUGAGGCGUGAUCAUUUCCUGUAUCUAUCAUUCCUUUCGUCUUCUGCAUCGCUUCAAGUAUUUGCUUAAGAGCUUUGAGAUCAUUUCCUGAUUUUUUGAACUCAAGAUCUGCCAGCCUUUUUUUUCAUUUCAACAUAUACUGAAGAUGAUGAAUUUGGAGCUUUUAUAGGUUCUUCUUGUUGUUUGAAAUCUGAUCGUUGAGAACCCUUGCUUCUGUGUGGCUGCCUCCAUGGAGCUGCUUCUAUUGGAAACUUUAGAAUUGGAGAUGGGCUUCAUGACCAGAUCAGUGCCUCUCAUCUGCGGUGAGCUGUCUUUCUUUGUAUUUGCGAGGAGUAUCCCAGAAUAAGUAUCUUGCUUGUUUUCAUUGGUUGCUCUUGAUGAUCUGGAGAAGGGGAAGAGAGAGAGAGAGAGGGAGAUCGAGGAUGUUGAUGUCGGUUGGUUGGGUUGAGCUUGGUGUCGGCGCGGUGGAGCGAAUUGAGAUCAGGACCAAAGCGUCGUCGUCCAGGCUGAUCGAUUUGCGAUCACAUCGAAGCGCAAGCUUCGUGACCGAGUCGAAGUGGGCGAAGAGAGCAGGCAGGAAAGGAAGAAGCCCAGCCUGGGCGUUGAGAGAGGCGGUGCCGGCUCUGUCCGUCGACUCUCAGACACCGGUGGCAGACGAGCGAGCUCCGUUUCCGGUCGCCGGCGCAGAGGAAAUGGAAAAUACUCGCCAGACACUCGUCGGGAAGAUCAGACGUGUAGUCAGGGCCCUGAGUGACUUCCCCGUACAACUCGGAGUCUUCGUCGGUCGAGGAUGAAGCAAUCGCCACCGUUUUGAAGCUGAACCGUCGGCUCGUUGAAAUUUCUCUGGAGCUGUGCUCCGCCGGAGCCUCAGGAAGCCAAGAGGACUGUCCCAUAGUGCUGCUGCAAGUGAAUUGAACGCGCCGCCAGAAGAGAGACAGAGGGAGAGAGAGGUGGUGGUUGGUAUUUUCAACGUUAUCUUAAAAUGCGUGUGUGGGAUCUGUGAGCGACGGCGGAUCUUAGACUGAUCAUCGAGAGCGCGGUAAAUUUACCGGAGGAGGAGACGGCGCUUGAGUCGGUGACUGGAAUGGAGAAGGGUCUGGUUGGAGGAGAAAACCCGAAGUGGGUUUUGAGAGCUGGGCUUAUUGGGAUUUAGAAAGAUGGGCCGCCCUCUUUUUUUUUUUUUUUUUUUCACAAAGAAAAUGUUUGUAUUUGUAAUAAAAAUAUACUCUCAAUAGUCAAAUAUUCAAUAAAAUCUUAUUUAUUUAUUUAUUUAUUUUGAUGUGACUGAACUCGAAAUUGAAUGCUCGAGCUGCCUACGUACCCUUCCAACGAAAAGAUCAAGUCAAAACGUAGUUCAAAUACAUACAUAUUUUUUUUUGGUAUUUUCUCUUUUUUUUUUCUUUUUUUUUUUUGUGCCAUUUGCAGUUUCAGCUCAUGCAAGCAAGGAGCGUUGGUGUUGCCUUUUAUGCUCGUGCAGACCAGGAGCGUUGUGCCAUGCAGUUUAGGCUCGUGCAGGCGAGGAGCUUUGGUUCGUGCAGUUUAGGCUCGUGCGAACAAGGAGCAUUGGUGAAUUUGUCAAGCAAUUUUGGAGAGGCGUUCCUCACAAUCUUCAUAGCAAGGAGCCUUGACCGAGUGAUUGAAGAAGUCUUCGGGCAAGAAAUCACGCAUCGUGAUGGGGACGGACGAUCUAUAUGUCGAAAUUUCAUCAUCUUCAACACGUUCAUGUUGCUUUGAAGGUUGACAAGAGCUGCUUUGCCCCCUUUCCGAUUGGCGGACUUGUGGAGGAGACGUAUGCUUCUUGUGCAAUUUCUUAGGAGUGACUUGAGUCCAUCAUUCAACUUUGCUUGUCUUGGAGGAUGCCCUCAGCGGUUGAGGUGAAAACUUUGAGUCGGAAGAGCCAGAAGUGAAGGUGGUAUAGUUUGACUUCACCACAUCGUCAAGAUCUAGCUCGAUGAUUCCUUUCUGAGCCAGCUUCAUGAUGAGAUCUUUCAGCACGAAACAUUUUUCUGUCGGAUGACUGAUGAAGCGGUGGAAUUUACAGUACCUUGGACUGUCAGUGCGAUUCAUCUCUUCUGGCCGUUUGCACUCAGGCAAACCAAUCACCUUCUUUUCCAGCAAGUCUUCUAACAUGGCAACCACAUCAGAGUCGGGGAAUGGAUAAGUCCUCUCCUCAAGCUCCUUCAAAGUGCGUCUACGCAUCUCUUGAUCACGAAAAGCUUCAGUUUGAAUCGCCUUGCCUCGUGUGGAGAUUUUGAUGGGAGCUGUGACCGUCAUCGCUUCCUUGGUGGGUUUCCAUGCAGCCUUUUCCACCUUUGUCCAAAGAACUUUGUCGUUCUUGUAAUCGGCGAUCGGUUCUUUCUUCCCAUGAUGGGCGAUGCUCAACUCCAUGUCGUGGGGGCGAGUGGCCAAUUCCUCGAAGGUCCGUGGUUUAAUGCCUUGAAGGAUGUAUUGCAAACCCCAUUGCAUGCCUUGGAUGCACAUCUCGAUUGAAGAGGUUUCUGAGAGCCUGUCUUUAUAGUCGAGGCUUAGAGUGCGCCAUCUGUUGAUGUAGUCAAUGACUGGCUCGUCCUUCCACUGUUUUAUGCUCGUUAGCUCUAGCAUGCUCACAGUGCGGUGGGUGCUAUAGAAGCGGUUGAGGAAUUCCCGCUCUAAUUGAUCCCAGCUGUUGAUGGACUUAGGCUCUAGGUCCGUGUACCACUCAAAGGCGUUUCCUUUCAGCGAGCGCACAAACUGCUUGGCAAGGUAGUCCCCUUCGGUCCCUGCGUUGUUGCAAGUUUCAACAAAAUGGGCAACGUGCUGUUUCGGGUUUCCUUUUCCAUCAAACUGCAUGAACUUUGGUGGUUGAUAACCCUUUGGCAUCUUCAGGGCAUCAAUCUUCUUGGAGUAGGGCUUCGAGUAGAACAAUGAGGUAUGUGAGCUCCCUUCGUACUGUGCCUUGAUGGUGUUGGUGAUCAUUUCUUACAGUUGCUGGAUAGAAAGAGGUCCCAUAAGUGCCGCUGCUUGGUCUGGCUCCGGCUUCGCAUCGUUUUUCUCCACCUGAGGCUCAUCUUCUUCGUCAUCUCUUCUCUUUAGUGGAUCAUUCUCUAGGUCGGGUUUAUCGAUGUCCUGUGGCUCCAGUCGGCUAACGAGUGCAGCAAUUUGCAAGUCUUUUUCUUCCACAAUCUGUGUUAGCCUUGCAAUCGCUUCAUUCAUUUGAGCCAGUUGUUCUUCAACGGAGGUAACACCAAUAGUCAUAACUUGUGCGACCAAUAGACGUGACUUUCCUUUAGACAUUCAGGAUGCUAAUGAAGAACGUCGUUGGCUGCUUUGGGAUGUCAUCUUGUGUGCCUCAACAUCAUGCUUCGGUGCCCCCAGCGAGGUCAGGUUGAUGACAGACUCACACCUUGGAUGCUCCCCUUGCUCUUUUAGCGGCACCAAUUUUGAAGUGGCAUGUUGAGGAACAGUUGUGGCGCCAAUGAAUUGUCCGUUUGGGGCAGAAGUGCUUAGGAUCCUUCCCUCAGUGGUUGCAAGAACGGCUUGUCCCUUGCUUGAUGCCAUUGACUUUGAGGUGUGCUUGGAUUCCUUGAACGGAAAAAGAGAUGAGAGGUAGAGAUUGUCCCACUGGGCGUGCCAAUUUGUGAACACGGAAAAUUCCUGAAACGAAAGAGACAACAACGACGUGCACAAAUAAAAUAUUUGUAUUUUGAUGAUUUUGGGUUACAAUCUCUCUCUAUUUUGAUCAUCUGAUUCGAUCUCCGUAAGGUGUUGAUUGGUGGAUGUUUUGUUGAUCCAAGGGCCGUUGAUGCUUGAUCUUGGAUGAACUGUUGGAAGUUUCUUCAAAGGGCCGUGGGCUUGAUCUUUAAGGUGGAUUUGAGCGGAUCUUCAAGGAGCCGUUGGGACUUGAUCUUGAAGAACAGUGAUGAACGGAUCUUCAAGGGGUUUUGGGCUUGAUCUUGAAGAACAGUGAUGAACGGAUCUUCAAGGGCCGUUGGGGCUUGAUCUUGAAUUGGUGGAAGUUCUUCAAGGGCCGUUGGGGCUUGAUCUUGAAUUGGUGGAUGAUUGUUGAUCCAAAGGGCCGUUGGGGCUUGAUCUUAGGAUGAACGAUGAACAAUGAACGAAGAACGCUUUCUUGAUUCUUCGGGAACCUGGAUGCUUGAGAGCUUCGGAGUUUCAGAGCUUCAGGGCUUCAAGGUGUAAUCUCAAUUGGUCCCCCCCUUUGGAAUGAAAUAGCCUUCUAUUUAUAGAAAUUUCCAAGGCCUAAUUUUGAAUAUAAUAUUCCAGAUGAAAUAAGUCGUUUCUGCCAGGUGUUGACACGUGUCCUAUUUGAUGACUUUUCCAACUCAUUUCAAUUUUCGUUGAGUCACACGCUACGUGUAAAAUUUAUGUAAUACAUGAGCGUUGACACUUUGAUUUAUCGGUCAACAUUUAUUUACCAAAAUUUCGAUGUCUACAGUAUAUACCGAAAUAUAGUAUAUUAAAUUAAUGUACCUAAAAGUCAAUACUCAAAUGUGUGUACCAAAAUGUACGUACUGAAAUGCAUUAUAUUGAAUUAAUGUACCUAUAUGUUUGUAUCGAUGAAUAUACCGAAAUAUUCAAAUGCAUUAAUGUAUCUAAAUGAAGAACAUACAAAAUUGUUAUUAGAAUAUAUAUUAUAAAAAAAUUAGUUACCUAAAUGUAGACAUUAAAAUAUAUUACGAUGAAUGAAAUAAAAAUUAAAUUUAAAUGUAAUUAAUACAUCAAAAUAUAAAUAUAAAUAUAAAUAAAACAUCAAAAUAUAACUAAUAAAUGAGAUUAUUAAAUGUACUAGGGAUUAGAGCAUCUUCAAAGGAGAUGUCAAAAUUGCCACGUAGACAUACAACAGUAAAAAAUGGUAGCAAAGUCUCUCUAACCGAGCCUUCAAUUUCUUACGUGGAGCUGAAUCAUUUGAAGGCAAAGUAUUUUGCUGUCAAAUUUGACAGCAGAUGUCAAAUUCAUUAAAUGAUUUUUUUAAUAGAUUAAUAUAAUAUAUAAUAAAUGUUGUUAUGUUUUGGAAAUAUUUGAUUGGUUGCCUUAAUCAUUGGACUCCACAAAAAGAUAAAACAUUUAAUAAAUGUCAUUAUUAUUUAACAUAUCGGGUGAAGCAAAAUAUUGUACAAAAUAUCAAAUUGCCACACAAGCUAUCAAUUAUCAUUUGAUGUUUAAAAUUUGACAUCUCAUUUAGAGAUGCUCUUACAAAGCAGAUCACAUCCAAAAACAUUGAAAGAAGGAAAUCAUUUAAGUAAAUAAGCAAAUGUGCAUCCACAACCCAAUUAAAAAAAAAUGACGGAAACCACUUGCAUAGAAAGGAAUCCUAUGAGAAGAGAAUUAAACUUCUCCCUUGGCUUAAUGUCAGAUUCCGAUGAAUUAAUCGAAAUUUGUUGUUUCUCCAGCGGAUUUUGCUUCUUUUCUUGCCCUUGUUCUGCCCUGCAUGGUCAUUUUGAGGGAAAAUCGAGGUGGUAAAUGUGUUAGGGUUAUUGAUGCUUAGAUUUUGAUAUAAGAUUUGUCGAAAACGAUAACCAAAUGAAAAAGAUGUGAAGAUUUGAAGUUAGGGGAGCCAAAUGGAGAAGAAAAAAAUAAUCAAGAAUAGCAGCAGAGCUGCUAGUUUUACACGCAGUUCAAAUUUACCAAAAUCCCCUUUUAUUUAGAAAAUUCGUAACUUUCUCGUUCGAAUUUCAAACUCCAAUAUGUUUGCGUUUAUGCGUUCAUAGUAACACAUACUAUCUAGUGAAUAUAACAGAAAAUUAACCCUUAAUUUCAAAAAUGUUAUUUUUUGUAAAAACUUUCAAAUAUAUCCAAAAUUUCACUUAAAUAGACACACAUACCCUUAAAUUUAUCAAUCAAAUAAAUUAAAGGCUUUUUAGCCAUCAUCGCCUCAAGCACCGGUCCAACGUCACCUUGACUCCUACACUCCACCACCAUAACCUUAUCCCCUUCGACCUCCUCAUCAAUGACAAUGAGCAUUGCCGCAAUUAUCGCCAAUCAUGCCUUCAACGCCUUUUUUCUUCCCAGGACUCGAGUCUUAGCCCCCGUCGCUAAUUCAUUGACACACAAACUCUUUCCGUAUCUAUGACAAUCUCGUCUUUAAUUUUACGUUUUUAGUCAUUUUGAAUGUGUGAAUUGACGAAAAUGCCCUUAGAGGCGAGGGUGUUGACUUUUGUUGACCAGCAUAUUAUAAGAUGUAUGAAACAUUCUUUUAGCAUAUGAUCGUUGUCACAUCCCGCCCUGGGCCCCUACCACAUCCUGGGCUUGACUCCGCCGUACCACAACAUUGUUCGCUUUAGGCCCCGACCAUGCCCUCACGAUUUUGUUUCUGGGAACUCACACGAGAACUUCCUAAUAGGUCGCCCAUCCUGGGAUUGCUCUCGCGCGAACUCACUUAACUUUGGAGUCCCAAAAGGCCUCGUGCUAGGUAGAGAUGGGAAUAUACAUAUAAGGCUUACAAGAUCCACUCCCUGGGCGAUGUGGGAUGUUACAAUCCACUCCCCUUAGAGGCCCGACGUCCUCGUCGGCACACUUCCGGCCAGGGAUUGGCUCUGAUAUCGAAUUGUCACAUCCCGGGCUCGAAUCCGCCGUAGCACAAUAUUGUCCACUUUAGGCCCCGACCAUGCCCUCACGGUUUUGGUUCUGGGAACUCACACGAGAACUUCCUAGUAGGUCACCCAUCAUGGGAUUGCUCUCGCGUGAACUGGCUUAACUUCAGAGUUUCGAUGGAACCCGAAGCCAGUGAGCUCCCAAAAAGCCUCGUAUUAGGUAAAGAUGGGAAUAUACAUAUAAGGCUUAUAGGAUCCACUCCUCUGGGCGAUAUAGGAUGUUACAAUCAUAGUGCUCGUCACUAUGAACGCGAAGGCACAAGCAGAAUCGAAAUUUGAGUUACGAUGAAGAUUUUACAGAACUACUAAUAUGAAAAUACUUUUAAAAAAUUAUUAUUUUAUAUUUUAUAUCUUUAUUCAAAAUUUUAUAUUAUUAUAUCUUUAUUUUAAUUAUUUUUUAAAAGAUAUUUUAUUAAUUUAUUUUGUGGCCGUGGGGCCCACACCUCAACUUAUCCUCUCCCUCUUUUCCACAUGGGUCUCUCUCCCCCACAAUUAUGGGCUCUCUCUCUCCCUCGAAUCUCUCACACUCUAACUUUCUCAAAGUCUCUCAGUCGUAUCUCUCUUUCUCUGCAAAUUGAUCACCCAUCACCAUUGCACAUCGCCACUUCAGCGAGAUGGUCACCACGUAUCACCCCAACCACCGUGUCUCUUCCUCUCUCUCUUGUCACUUUCCUUUACCUCAACCUCUGUCUCCCUCACCUUCUCUGCGCUCGUGGUGUUAAGACACCGAGACCAUCACCAUUCCCAACGAAUCCCCGCCGUUCAUGACCUACGUAAGCUUUGGGGUUCCUUCUUUCUUUUCCUUUUUGAUGUUUAGGUCAAUUUCUAUGUCGGCAUGCUCGUUUUGGUGAGUUCGGAAUGCAGAAGCAACGAGGACAAAUUUUCCCCAGAUUUCGGUGAAAAUCCGACAGCUUUAGAGCUUUUUUCUGGCCAACUUCGACCACAACCAAGGAACCCAAUGGUAUAUUUCGAUUCCUUAUUCCUUGAGCUUCAAUUUGAUAUAUUGGGUUGCUAGUUUUAGUUGAGAUUUGAAGCUAAACAGAACCGGAGAAGUUCCCAACCAAAAUUCCUGUGUUCUUAUUCUUUGGGUUCGGCGGGUGCAACUCGUGUGCCCACCGGGUCGACCGAACCCAAUUUAAAAAAAAGGGCCUAAGCCCAAACCCGGCCCCAAUUAGACAACUGUUCCAGCUCGGCCGAGUUCUAAAAUGAGCUCAGAAUAUUCUAAGGAUAUUCUUUGUGUUGACUUUUGGGGAAAUUUAUCAAAAACCUCAUAGGCUAAUUUCAACGCCCUGAGUCCAUUUAGUGAAAUUCUAAAGUUGUAACGUAGUUGACCACUGUGGCGUCUUGGUUGACUUUUUAGAGUUGACCAUUAAGUUUUUCGUUGACUUUUUUCUAAAAUUUGUCAAGGACUCUCCUUAGCGUAUUUCGACGUCUUAAUUCCAAAUAAGCACUCCGUUUUCCAAAUUUAAUUGUCUAAGUGGAUUUAAGUAAUGGGUCCCAAUAUUAUGUUUAGGUGCAAUUACUAUCGAAGCCUCCAACUUCCUAACUUGAACGGAUGUGACAUCGCAAGUAACUAUGAGUGAGUCUUUUCUUUUAUAUAAUAUAUAUAUAUAUAUAUACUUGUUAGUAUCCAUUUAUACGUUUCAUAAAGAGUUUCUACAAUACGCCUAGAGUGACGUUUAUAAGUUUUAGCGCAUUGAUAGAAAUUAUGAAAUUAGGCUACAUCCUACAGGAUGUACGGGUAUGCGUAUUAUUAUUGAUGCCUAAAUUAUAUUUAUGGUCAUGAAUAGUAUUACGAUGACAUGAAUUAUCGAUUUACUGCUGUAUGAUUUUAUUUACGUUAUCUGCUCAUUGUUACUGCACUUGUGUUAGUACUCGCCCGGGCCAGAACCAGUCUUUCACGUGUAUGUGCACAUCGCACCGUAUGCUCACCUUGGAUCUAUCGUAGGUGCCAGUCCUGUCCUAGAUUGCUAUAAUCAAUUAGGACUCGUAUGUGCUACGCAUAGCGCCAAUCUUCACGUCCUGUUCAUGUCAAAAUACCUUUGCAUGAACUCGUGUGUUAGCAUAUGUCGAUGAGCACUCAAUAUGAUAUGUUUAUUUAUGCAAAAAUAUGUGAUUACGGACAUCAUGUGUUUACUUACAAAAUAUUGUGCCGUAUUGAAUUCUUGAGAUAUUGCAGCCUACGAUAAGUAUUUUCUUACUAUACGUAGUAUGUAUAUUUUGGAAACUAUACUUGUUUUACGAUGAGGGGUUAUUAUGUUUUCGAAAGGUUUUUACAAAGCUUUAUUUUUAGGACCACUCACCCUUGUUUUUCGCCCCUCUAGGUUUUAAUAGCUGAGCUUUUGUGUCGACGAGGAUUCUUGGCAAAUCUUGGUAUAGGUGGUUACCUUCGAUGGUAUAAUUCUCAUCCUACAUUACUGUACUUUACUUAUGCUCUGACAUCACGUGUGAAAUGAGUUCAUUUCCGCUCACAUGUGCACUCUUAUAUUUAGGCAAUUUUAGGUUUAAAUUUAUUAACAUAUUUCACCUCACUAUACUUUAUGGCUUCAUCACCCUUCUGGUGUCGGUUAGCACAACUCUAUUCGGAGUCCAGGUGGACAUUUUGGGUUGGGGUGUGUCAGUAUCACAUCAAUUCUCUAUAAUCAUCAAACCCAAAUGGAAAAGGAAGAUUUUAAGAGAGAACCACUCAGGGUGCGGAAAUUUGGAUUGGAAGGUGAAGGGUUUGGAUUGUGAGAGAAUAAAGGUAUAGGUAGGUUAGGGUUUAGGGUUUUUGGUUUGGGCAUGUCUAUUGGAUUUACCCACCAAAUGAAGAAGAUGACUUCUUCUUUUAAUUUUUUUUCGUACUAAUAUCAUUUUUAGUUUUAAAUAUAAAUAUAGUUUUUAAAGUUAAUUCACAUGUUGUUAUAUGAUUGUAUUUGUGAGACCCAAGUGGCGCCACAUCAUUGCACUAACAAAGCAAUUUGACAGAUUUUUCACAGAAAGACUCGGGGGAAAGACUAAAAUGAUUCACAACAGACAAAUUCAAGGACACUACUUUUGAUUUUCAUUGUUAAGGACCAAACUAAUGAGUCAUGUCAAUGUCACAAACCAUUUUGGUUAAAAAGUCUAUAAUUUAUUUGAUUGUUAAAUUUGAGGGUAUUUGCGCCUAUUUAAGUGAAAUUUUCAAUAUAUUUGAAAGUUUUCAUAAAAAGUGACAUUUUUUAAAUUAAAGGUUAAUUUUUUGUUAUAUUGCAUAAAUACUCGAUUAGGAUUGUGCCGUGGGCUGGGAGGUCGACGCCGCGGCGGCGGAAGGAACCCAGACCUAGAUUAUAGGUAAAACCGUAAAAGGUAUUAGACAUAUUUAUAGGCUGGUAUUUGUUCAAUUAAUCUAUGGGCUAGUAUUUGUUUAGUAAAUCUAUGGGCUGGUAUCUGUUUAAAUAAUAUAUGGGCUGGUGUUUGUUUAAUUAAAACAUGGGCUGGUGUUUCAAUAUGACUUGGAUUUAAGGUAAAAUUAUUAGAAAAUUUUCUAUCAAAAUAUGGGAAGUGUUAUUGGCACUCUAAAAUCUCAUUCUACACUUCUCAUAAAUAUAUUUUUUCUUCCUAAUAUAGAAAAUUUGAAGUAUAAAAUGAAAUUUUUGGAGUGUUAAUAACAAUUUCCUAAAAUAUUUGAUGGUCAUUACUUUUACCUAAUGUGAAGACGCAGAAGAUAAACAUUGAAUAAAAAAAGGGGAAGAUAAGAUUCUUAAAAAAAAAAGUUGGAUAAAUUAUCAUCCAAGCUUAUGAUAUUUUUAGUCAUUUCCAUAUGGGCUUGUUUGACGGGGUGAAAUAGAUUCGUACUUAGAGAUAAGAUUAGAAUAGCAGGAAUUUGAAAGAUAAAAAUUUAUAACUCAUGUAUAAAGAUAGGUUAGAUAACGCACUGAAUUCAUAACUCAUUAUAUCGUGUCCAUCUUACAUUUUGACACAGCAAACAAUGAACUGUGCUAAUUUUCUUUUUACUUAUUUGUUAUUAAAUUUUAUAGAACCCACAUGUGUGUCACAUUAACAUAUUAACAAAAGUUUUGACGAAAAUAUUACAGUAUAAUUGAUUUGCAGCACUCAAUUCAAAAGCAACAUUGAUCGAAUUUUACUUUCAAAACCACCUUAAUUAGUGCGUCAAUUUCUGUACUAUUUGUGUUAAACGACACUUUUUAAAGAAAUCUACUACUUUGAACGUGUGGUAUGUUGAUUUGAACGAACGGUAAGACCAAAACAUGUAGCCAGAAAAUUCGGUGUCUCGCCUUCCCAACUCAUUCGACCUAUAUAUGUGUGCGGAAACAAACAGAGUCGAAAACAAACAACGCACGCAACAUUCUCAGUUUCUCAUCAAACUACAUUAUUUUACAUUCUCUCUGUAAACCGUUGGAAUUUCGGUAGUUCUUUUCAUUACCCAAGAACAGAUUAGGAAAUUGAAUUAAGUUUUGAGUGUUUCCGUAAUUAUGUCUCUGGCUUCAGUCGGAAUGGGUGCUCUGGGAACGUCAUUUCAAAUGCUGUUUGAUGCUGUAAAAUCAGUGCAGGAGGAGAAUACAAUGUUCCAACACCUCCUCGGAGACAUCAAAUCCACACUGAACUCUCUACAACCACUCAUCAAAGACAUCGAAAAGUAUAACUCCAAGGAGGGACUGGAAAAUUAUGCAAUACAGAUGGAGGAAGGAGCAAAGCUUGUUCAGAAGUGCAGCAAAGUAGGCGUGUGGAGAAAACACACAUACACCAAGAAGCUUAGUCAACUGGACAAAUCUCUCCGAAGAGUGUUUGAUGUGCUUAAACGGCAGGGUAUGAGGGAUGCGAGGGAGACGUUAGUUUCUUUGAGGAGUAUCCAGACGGUGCUCUCUCGAAUAGAAGAGAGUUUGAAGAUGAAAAAUAAUCAGCCUGAAAUGGUUAAAUGUUCGUCUGCGGUGCCUGAAGCGCCAUCAGUUACAGUCGGGUUAGAUUUACCGUUGAAGGAGUUGAAGAUGAAGCUCCUUAAGGAUGAACAGGUGUCUAUGCUUGUGCUGACUGCUGCUGGAGGAUGCGGGAAAACCACCUUGGCUAAAAUGUUUUGUCAAGAUCAAGAAGUCAAAGGUAUGCUAAUUAAAAAGUAAUACACCGUGUAGAGGAUUAUGCAAGUAGAACUACGCGCUAGGGCCUAUAAAAUGUCCGCUAUACUCCCUCCAAACAUACACAGUAACCAAAAUUUGUUAAAAGAAAAACAACGAAGGGGACAUGAAACUAAAGCGCACGAAAGGAAUAUAAGAAAGAUUAGAAAGACCUAAAUGGGCAUGCCCAACAUAUAACAAGUGGUAGUGAUAUGAACUUGACAUGAUUUUCUUUGUACUAAAUGUAAGUUAAGCUGAUGCCUUCCUCUUAGAGUUAACAAGUCUUGCACUGAGCUACCGCUUGAUUACUUACUUGAUCUCAGAAUUGCAGACAUAUCUUGUCAACCUUAUAUUAACACCUUUCCUACAUUCUGUUUGGUUAGAUACAUUCAAGAACAACAUCUUCUUUGUCAAUGUCUCGAAAAAGCCCAACUUGGACCUUAUUGUACAUGAACUAUAUCAACGGAAGGGGUUCGAGCUGCCUGCUUUCGAAAACGAAGUCAUGGCAGCUAACUGGUUGCAACAAUUUCUGAAGGAAUCAAGACAAAAUCCUCUACUGUUUGUCCUGGAUGAUGUUUGGUCAGGAUCAGAGUCCCUUCUUGAGAAGUUUGAUCAAUUCAAGUUUUCAAAUUGCAAGAUUUUGGUCACUUCAAGAUUUGCAUUUCCAAGAUUCGGUUCUCCUUAUCAUUUGGCACCAUUGAAUGAUGAAGAUGCAAUGGCUCUUUUUCAGUAUUCUGCAUCCUCGGAGGAUAAGAGCUCUUAUACUUAUGAAGAUCCUUCGAGAAAGGUGAUUUCUUAGUCCACAACACACACACACACACACAUAUAUAUAUAUGCUUAUUUAUGCCUCAGAAGAGGGUAAAGAAAUAACGUUUGAGCAUCCACACACGUUAAUGAACUGUGAAGAAUGAAGUAAGAAGAAUGAAAGAGUAGACAGUUUACAAUUUUAUCAUCUUUAUGAAUCCAUUUAGAUGAUUUUCAAGAAUUUAAUCAAAUAAUAGUAAUUGAAUUCUUUUUGGAUAAUUAAAUUGCAGAUUAUCAAGCGCUGUAAGGGAUGCCCACUUGCCAUUGCAUUGGUCGGGAGAUCACUUCGCGGCCAGCCUAUAGAAAUCUGGCACAAAAGAGUAGUGGAAUGGUGCAAAGGUUCAUCUAUUCUUGAUUCUGACAAGGAUUUACUUGCUUGCCUCCAAAGCAGCUUAGAUGCCUUGGAUAAAGAGAAGGCUAUCAUCAAGGAAUGUUUCCUCGAUCUAGGUUCUUUUCCGGAGGACCAAAGAAUUGCUGCUGCCACCCUCAUUGAUAUGUGGGCGGAGUUAUAUGGUCUAGAUGAAGAAAUUCUGACCAUUGCCAACCUUCACGAGCUCACCACCCGAAGUUUAGCUAAUCUUGUUGUCACAAGGUAUGCAGGCUGCUCAUAAUUUUUUCUAUUUCAUUAUGUAUGCCGAACAAAUCAUUAAAUAAAUUAGUAUUGAUCAUCCAGACAUGAGGGGGAGACAGAUGGCUAUUACGCUGAACACUUUGUCACCCUGCACGGCAUGCUUAGAGAGUUGGCGAUCCAUCAGGCGAGUCAAGACCCAAUAGAACAUAGGAAACGACUAUUUUUAAAUAUCUGUGGGAACAAACUUCCUAAGUGGUUGACAGAACAAAAGUAUCAAGCGAUCAAGGCUGGGCUAUUAUCUAUCUCAACAGGUUCAAUCAAUCUCUCUUUAGUAAAUACUUAUACGCUCGGGACACACGUGUGCACACACACCCAUGCUCUUUCUUACUAAGACUUCAAUCGGACUUCGACACAUUUAAGUUCAACCCACGCUAACAUCUUAAAGCUUAUUGUUUGCAGAUGGAGCCUUCUCAGCAAAAUGGCCAAACAUGCAAGUACCCGAAGCAGAGGUUCUAGUUCUGAAUUUUCAAACAAAGAACUAUGCCUUACCUGAGUUUGUGGAGAAAAUGGAUAAACUAAAGGUUCUAAUACUAAAUAAUUACGGUAUGUUACCUGCUGAACUAGAUAAUUUUGAACUACUUGGUUCGCUAUCAAAUCUUAAGAGAAUUAGAUUAGAACGUAUUUCAAUUCCUCCCAUAAGCAAGGUCCUUAAACAGUUGAAAAGCUUGCAAAAGAUCUCUCUGUUCAUGUGUGAUAUCGGCCAAGGUUUCGUCAAAAAUUUAGAUGCACUGCCAAAUCUAGUGGAAUUGAACAUUGAUUAUUGCCAUGAUCUGGUGCAACUUCCUCCCAACCUUUGUGACCUUGUUCACCUUAAGAAGCUUAGCAUCACCAACUGUCAUAAGCUUUCUGCCUUGCCUGCAGACAUCGGAAAGCUAGUCAAUCUUGAAGUGUUGAGGCUUAGGUCAUGUGCAGAUUUGUUAGAGUUGCCAGGCUCGAUUAGGAACCUUAAAGUUUUAAAAUUUCUCGACAUAUCUGAUUGCUUUAGCGUAAAGGAGUUGCCAGAGGACAUUGGUGCAAUGUGCAGCAUGGAAAAGAUCAACGUGAGCCAGUGUUCUAGACUGAAAGGGCUGCCUGCUUCUGUUAUGGAUCUUGAGCAGUUGAACGAAGUGAUAUGCGACGAGGAGACGAAAACUUUAUGGGAACCCUUCUUGCCAAUUCUCACAAACAUGCGCAUUAAGGUGAUCAAAGAAGAUAUCAACCUAAAUUGGCUCAACAAGCUUCCACCCUAAGGCUAUGGCCCUUCCAUCAAUGAGUGUUGGUGCAAUGUAUGCAGUAUGAUUGUGUAUAAUGUUAUUUUUCCUUUGUAAUUUACUUCUAUUUUAUGUUUUAUGUGUUUUUAAAUAACCUGGCAGCACUGUAAAUUAUUGUAAGGCCAAAUUGAAUAAAUGAUCCCUAUGGUUAUAAGGUAUUUGGAAGAUAACCUCUGUGCUUAAAAAUCUUAGAUUUAAACCCCUAUGGUGUACUCCAUGAAAAACUUUAGUCCAAAAGUGAUUUUUCCGUUAACUAUAUGUUAAUAUAUGGGUAAAAUUGUACUUUGACAUGUGCACUCUUCCUCGUCUCUCUGCUCUCUCUUCAACACAUCCCCCACCAGUACCUCUUGAAGCAGGUUACUGAAACGCUGCUCCUUCACGUCAACCGGCAAUAAAUCAUCAAUCUCUUUCUCAAUAUCAAAUACUGUCUCAUCAACUGGUGCAUCCAUAUAACUUCCCAUACUUGAAGCUGCCUGGAUGGUUGAUUCUUUUAAUUCAUUUAGUCCCUACAAUACAAAUGUGUUUCAAUUAAAGCACGAUGAUCACCUGGUAAUUAUUAUUGUUGAUGCACAAAACUGGAGGGGUCUUGGAAUAACGUAAAUCCGACCGUGAAUCUGCAAGAAAGUAAAGAACAUAAGAUGUAUCGUGGUUCACCCCAAUUUUUGGGCUACAUCCGCACUGAUGUUGAUAUUGUUUCACUCUGAAUGAUGAAUAUACAAGAAGGCUAGAGCCAGUGUGCUGUCUAGCCUAUUUUCUCUCUUCCCUUGGCCUGAAACUUGACCUCCCUCAAUGAAGAGAGUGAGGAGUCCUUUUAUAGAAUAAGGGCUCCUCACUUAUUACAUAUUUGCCCCUUCAUUUAUUACAUAAUUACAUUUGAGUCCCCCGAGUAUUUAUACAAGAUCUAAAUACAGAGGCCCUAAGUAUGGUACAAACAAUAGUCUCCCAAGUCUUCAGUCAAGAGAGUCUUUUGGCUGGAGACUUGAAAUUCAGUCCAUGUGUGGGCCGAAGUAACUAGAUGUCGUCUAGAACUGAAUACUCGAUAUGAGGCGGUGCUCAAUAUGAAAUGAUACUCAACUAGAAGUAGCACAUGUUGCGAGGCUGCUCGACUUGUGGCUUAUAUUGCCUUGGUUGGCUCAGCUUGUGGCGUUGAAUGUGAAGGAGUCCCUUUUAUAUAAUAAGGGCUCGCUCCUCAAUACAUAAGUGAUGGGUUAGGAGUGAUGCUCGUGGCGAGGCGGUUGCUUAGCAGGCGGCGAUGUUCUCUAAUGAUGGUGAAGGAGUCCCUUUUAUAGAAUAAGGGCUCGCUCCUCAAUACAUAAAUGAUGGGGUAGAGUUGAUGCUCGCGACGAGGCGAUUGCUCAGCAGGCGGCGAUGCUCUCUAAUGAUGGUGAGGGAGUCCCUUUUAUAGAAUAAGGGCUCGCUCCUUAAUACAUAAAUGAUGGGUUAGAGUUGAUGCUCGCGGCGAGGCGAUUGCUCAGCAGGUGACGAUGCUCUCUAAUGAUGGUGAGGGGGUCCCUUUUAUAGAAUAAGGGUUCGCUCCUCAAUACAUAAGUGAUGGGCCAAGAGUGAUGCUUACGGCGAAGCGGUUGCUCAGUUGGCGGCGAUACUCUCUAAUGAAGGUGAGGGAGUCCUUUUUAUAGAAUAAGGUUUCGUUCCUCAAUAUAUAAAUAAUGGGCUAAGUCCCCCAAGUGUUUUUCAUGAGGCCCAGUUGCGGAAGCCCAAUAUAUGGUACAUAGUGUAGUCUCCCAAGUCUUCAGUCAAUAGAGUCUGUUGGUUGGAGACUUCAAAUUCAAUCCAUGUAUGGGUCGAAGUGGCGGUUGUUCGGAGGCGGUCUUUGUAUACCAUGCACUGAAGCUUUGUAGGUGAAGCUUUGAAGCUAGAGCUUUUGUAAAUGAAGCUUUGAAGUCAGAGCUUUGUAAAUGAAGCUUUUGAAACUGAAGCUCUUGUAAAUGAAGCUUUCGAAGCUAGAGUUCUUGUAAAUGAAGCUUUCGAAGCUGGAGCUCUCGAAGCUGGAGCUCUGUAAAUGAAGCUUUCGAAACUGAUUGACAUAAGUGAUGCUCAUGAAUGUUUAUGUUGAUUGACAUGAGUGAUGCUCAUGGAUGUUGACAUGAGUGAUGCUCAUGAAUGUUGACAUGAGUGAUGUUCAUGAAUGUUUAUGUAUGAUUGACAUGAGUGAUGCUCAUGAAUGUUUAUGCAUGAUUGACAUGAGUGAUGCUCAUGUAUAAUUUUGGAGUACUGGACGUACUUUUGAUCACCUGAUUGGUGAUAAUAGUGGCAGGCUGUUGAAUAAUUUUGGAGUACUGAACGUACUUUUGAUCACCUGGUUGGUGAUAAUAGAGGGUGAACCUAAAGUGGAGGGAUAGAGGUUGGAGUUUGAAGCCAUAGGGCCUGGCUCUUUUGGGCAUAUGGGCCUUCGCCCUUCACAUAACAUUCCAGCCUACUAUCAUUUUGCCCUUUUUUUUUUGGCAUGCUGCCUUCUUUCUUUAUUUAUGAUUACCCUCUGGUGGGGUUAUACAGAUGUCUCCAAAAGAUAAGAAAAAGUAAAUCACAUCAUUAAAAAAAAACUGUUGUGCUGGGACUUGGCAACAACGAGAUUUCUCCCUUCACAUCAACCUCAGUGGUCUAGCUAUUGGAGGAAACCUUCACGUGGAGGCAGGUUUGGUCCGCAGGCAUGAUCUCUCAUACUUUGAUAGUACAAUCCCGUGGCUUUUUCAGAAAAUGGGGGGAACAUGCACUCCCCUUCAUGAUGAAAGUUUCAUCUUUUUCAACAUGUUGAUGGGCAUCUUCUGGUCCAACAUGAAGUGGAGACGGGGGACCUUGGUGGGCAUCUUCUUAUCUUAAUCAUGUUAUCCUGUGGGAUAGUGGAAUAGUGGAACAUAAUAAAUAAAAGAGGUAUUUAUCAAUUUCCCCCCUGAACUUGUGAUUAUUGGCCAAUUUCCCCCCUCAACUCUCAUAAUUAGACAAUUUCCCCCCUUAACUUUAAUUUGGCCAAUUUCCCCCCUCAACUCUCAUAAUUAGUCAAUUUGCACCCUACUGUUAAUUUUUUAAUUUGAUCAUAAUUAAACAAGUGUGUGUAAGAAACUAAAUAAGAUGUAUGUUAAUCAUUUUCCUAAGUCUUUAUCCUAUUACAAAUAGAUUAAAAUUUAGAAUUUUACAAUUUAUCAUAGAUAGUAUUAUUAGUCAUAAUAAAUCAGUAUGGAGUAAUUUUAUUUGAUUUUUUACUAUACAAAAUUGAUAACGAAACGGAUUGAUGUGUACAUUUUUGUAUGUGAAUACAAUUUUCUUUAUAAAAGUGAGAGCUAAGUUCAAGUAAAUUGCGGAGAAUCGAGCUUUAGUGCAAAAAUGGCUAAUCAAUUCAUAAUUUUCGACUCCUUAUUAAGAAUAACCCAUUUUAUUGAAAUAGGUCGGAUCCAUGAGUUUAGGAUUAUUAUUUCUUCUUCUACAUGCUUUAAACCCGAUUCAUAACUUUUUCUUAUAAUCAACCCAUAUCACAUACUAAUUGUAUUAUGUUUUUGUACAUUUUACCCUAUAUUAUGCAGGUGAGUUUAUGUUAAUUUUAGUACUUUGUUGGAAGUUAUUAGAAAGAUUGAAAGAAAACAAAAAGAAUAGAUGAAAAAUUAAAAAAAUUAACAGUAGGGUGCAAAUUGACUAAUUAUGAUAGUUGAGGGGGGAAAUUGGUCAAAUUAAAGUUGAGGGGGGGAAUUGACUAAUUAUGAGAGUUGAGGGGGGAAAUUGGCCAAAAUUAAAGUUGAGGGGGGGAAUCGGCCAAUGGUCGCAAGUUUAGGGGGGGAAUUGAUAAAUACCUCUAAAUAAAAUAAAGCAUUCGUUGGGGACCACCAUCAUAGGGACCCGAACUCUCGAAUUCCAGAUUGUCGCACGCACUUUUGCUUUAUUCGUCGGUGUUCGUACCAUUGGUCCCAGUUGCCCUCCAUUUUUUGUAGGGGAAACAUAACUUCCACCAUUGUUUUCCUCCUCUGUUCAAAAACAGAUGGCGCAAAAUGUCUGUCUUUCUUGACACUUUUUGAAGCUGCUGCACCAACAGCUGAAUGAGUAUUUGGCAUUACCCUAAUAAAUUGGCUAUGACCUGCCCAUUCCUGCAGAUCUUUCAAUUUGAUACCAGCAUCAAUUGAAACAAGCAACUUCUUCCUGGAAAGCAGCGGCCUCAACUGCAAAACUACAUCUUUAACAACUUGAGGUUUGACCAAGAAAAUGACAACGUCAUUCUCUUCCACCACGUCGUCGUUUUUGGAGAUGAGAUGGACUCAAGAGGACUCGAAGGCUUGGCGUCGACUGGCGUCAGGGUGGAAGAUAGCGAUGCGAUUGGGAGGGAGAACGCCCGAUCAGAUGAUUCAUCUGGCGAUGCUCUCGGUCAUUUUACCAGCUCCGACAAACCCUAGCUUUUAUGUUUCCGUCGGGAUGGGUACCGCCUCCAUGGCUGCAAUGCGACGUCGUAUCGUUGCUAAGUCUUCUGAUUCAGUUUGCUUAGAUUGGGGAUUUAGGGUUACGGAAGAGAGAGGAGAAGCGGGGGUUUAUCAUUCGAUAAGCCUGUGAGCGUCUUUGGGGGAGAGCUUAGGGGCGAAGGCAGGAUCCGUGUCCAGGACGAUGCCGUUCUCGUCCAGCUUUCGCUUCUUGGUUGAGUCCAUUGGCAGAAGAGCAAGUUUAAACCCUAACCCUUGGGAAGAGAAACAGAGAGUCUAGAGAGAGAGAGCGAGUUGGGAUUUUUUUUGUUUACUAGCAGAGAGAGACCAGGCUCUUCUUGUUUGUGGUCAUGUGGAAUGUAGAGGUAGAAUGGUCGGAGUUUGGGGUUUGGUUUUCUUGGGUUUUUUGCAGAUUCACGGUGGAUAUUGUGGUGAGGUUUCACGGUGGUGAGAUGAAAAAAUGAAAGAGAACCGACAUAGCUUUUUGUGUCGAUUCCCACAGACGGCACUAAAUGUUGAUGCACAAAACCGGAGGGGUCUUGGAACAACGUAAAUUCGACCGUGAAUCUGCAAGAAAGUAAAGAACACAAGAUGUAUCGUGGUUCACCCCAAUGUUUGGGCUACGUCCACACUGAUGUUGAUAUUGUUUCACUCUGAAGGGUGAAUAUACAAGAAGGCUAGAGGCAGUGUGCUCUCUAGCCUAUUUUCUUUCUUCCCUUGGCCUGAAACUUAACUUCCCUCAAUGAGGAGAGUGAGGAGUCAUUUUAUAGAAUAAGGGCUCCUCACUUAUUACAUAUUUACCCCUUCAUUUAUUACAUAAUUACAUUUGAGUCCCAUGAGUAUUUAUAUGAGAUCUAAACACGGAGGACCUAAAUAUGGUACAAACAGUAGUCCCCCACCAUCAUUAGAGAGAGACUCUUAGCCCAUGAAAAAUACUUGAAGGACUUAGCCUAUUACUUAUGUACUGUGGAGCAAAGCCUUAUUUUAUAAAAGGGACUCCCUCACCUUCAUUAGAGAGAGACUCUUAGCCCAUCACUUAUGUAUUGAGGAGCGAACCCUUAUUCUAUAAAAGGGACUACCUCACCUUCAUUAGAGAGCAUUGUCGCCAACUGAGCAACCGCCUCGCCGCCAGCUGAGCAACCGCCUCGCCGCCAGCAUCACUCCUAACCCAUCACUUAUGUAUUGAAGAGCGAGCCUUUAUUCUAUAAAAGGGACUCCCUCACCAUCAUUAGAGAGCAUCGCCACCUAGCAACUGCCUCGCCACCUAGCAACUGCCUCGCCACGAGCAUCAACUCUAGCCCAUCAUUUAUGUAUUGAGAAGCGAGCCCUUAUUCUAUAAAAAGGACUCCCUCACCUUCAUUAGAGAGCAUCGCCGCCAGCUGAGCAACCUCCUCGCCGCAAGCAUCACUCCUAACCCAUCACUUAUGUAUUGAGGAGCGAGCCCUUAUUCUAUAAAAAGGACUCCAUCACCAUCAUUAGAGAGUAUUGCCGCCUGCUGAGCAACCACCUCGCUGCGAGCAUAAACUCUAGCCCAUCAUUUAUGUAUUGAGGAGCGAGCCCUUAUUCUAUAAAAGGGACUCCCUCACCUUCAAAGCCACAAGCCGAGCCAACCAAGGCAACAUAAGCCACAAGCCGAGCAGCAUUGCAACAUGUGCUACUUCUACUUAAGCAUCAUUUCACAUUGAGCACCGCCUCAUAUCGAGUAUCAGUUCUAGACGACAUCUAGUUACUUCGGCCCACACAUGGACUGAAAUUCAAGUCUCCAGCCAAAAGACUCACUUGACUGAGGACUUGGGGGACUACUGUUUGUACCAUACUUAGGGCCUCCGAAUUUAGAUCUCGUAUAAAUACUCGGGGGACUUAAAUGUAAUUAUGUAAUAAAUGAAAGGGAAAAUAUAUAAUAAGUAAGGAGCCCUUAUUCUAUAAAAUGACUUCUCACUCUCCUUAUUAGGAGAGGUCAAAAUUUCAGACCAUGGGAAGAGAGAAAAUAGGCUAGAGAGCAUACUGCCUCUAGCCUUCUUGUAUAUUCACCAUUCAGAGUGAAACAAUAUCAACAUCAGUGUGGACGUAGCCCAAACAUUGAGGUAAACCACGAUACAUCUUGUGUUCUUUACUUUCUUGCAGACUGACGGUUGGAUUUACGUUGUUCCAAGACCCCUUCGGUUUUGUGCAUCAACAAAUAUCAUCAAAUCUUCUAAACUACGGCCUUCUUGCCAUUGCAAAUCAAAGCCACAUGUUUAAUAUAUCAAAAAAUUUGAAAAUUAAAAUAUAUAUUCUUGUCAUACUCGAGAUGAGGCCUCCUGGUAAACCAAAGGCGUCUGCAUUUGUCGAUAGGCAUCUUGCAUAUUUCCAUACAGUUAGAUAAAGAAAAGGUUUUGUGUGAUUACCUGUUAUUUAAGAGUAGCCAAACUCUUUGUAUGCAUUGGACACUGUGGGAUGACUCCAUUUCAUGGAGGAAUUCCAAGCAGACCACACAUUAAAGUAUGCCAUGAAAAGCUCCAAUGAUAUAGAGGACUGGAACAUUGAGCAUGUCCUGUGAGAGGCCAGUCUUUCAAGCCUUUCAAUUCUUGUUGUUCGUAGAAAACAACGAGAGGCCAGUCUUGAAGCUUCCUGCCGAUCUCAAUGACGGCUUUCUUAGAAUUGGUUUGUGAAAAUUCAAAUUACAGAGAGAGUAGAGAAACAAGGAAGAGUGUACAUGUCAAAGUCCAAUUUUAUCCAUGUAUUAACAGAUAGUUAACGGAAAAAUCACUUUUGGGCUAAAUUUGGUAACGGAGUACAUCACAUGGGUUUAAAUCUGAGUUUUUUUAGCACAUGGGCUAUUUUCCGAAUACCUUAUGACCAUAGGGAUCAUUUAUCCGAUUUGGCCUUAUUGUAAUUAUUCACCAUGGCUAUUAUUGUAAAUAACAUGUUUGCACUCCUCAUUGUGCAACUCUUUUAUUGAUUCUCUUUGAUUUAUCCAAUCAAUGGGUGUUUGUAGGGGUGGGUUCAAAAAACCGAAAACCAAAAAAAAAUCGAGAACCGAACCGGACCGAGGCCGAAAAAACCGAAUCGAAAAAAACCGAACCGAAAACUAUCAAACCGAACCAAACCGAUAUAUAUAUAUAUUUAAUUAUUUUUUAUAAUAUUUUAAUUAUAAAAAUCAUAAAAAUAAAAAAAAAUAUCUAAAACCUAGAGGCUUGAGGGUUCGAACCCAAGCCUUUCAGGUUGAAAGGUUUCACUAAAACUAACCUGGCAACGGGUCUUGUUUUGUUAUGAUUGUAAGAUUAAAGUAUUUAUAAAGAUUGAAACCUAUAGUCUUUUGUGAAAUUAGAAAUCAAUAAAACCCUAGCCACUAGUGGUAGCAGCCAUACCUUUUUUAUUUUUCAUUCCCCUCUUCUCCUUUUCGCCCCUCCAUGUCCAUGCCUCCAAUUUCUCCAUUAUUUUCUCUCCGUUUCUCGAUCUUCUCACUCCUGGGUAAGAUCUCUAACCUCUCUUGUUUAUUUAGUUGAUUUAUGGUUUUUUUUUUUUGGAGUAAAGUCCAUGGAGGGAAUCUAAAAUUUUGGUGAUUGUUAUGGUUCGUAUUGCAGAUUUGUUUGAUUUUUGUGUUGUGAGAGUCUCACCCAUUUUUUUCCUUUUGUUUUUUUUUCUCCCCUGGUAUCAUUAUUUGAUUGGUUUUCCUCUUUUUUUGCCUCAGCUGCAGCAAGGGCAGUGACAGCACCACCACCACAACCAGUUGCAGCAACUGCAAUAGCACCACCUCCACCAGCUGUGGUGGUCUUGCCGCCCAACACAGCCAAUAAGUAUGCAGCGACCACUUUCAUCUCUGCUUGAGAUGGCUUUGGAUCUGCGGAGUGUGGAGAGAAAGGGUAAAUUUGCAGCCGAAUGCGGAAAAAAAGUACUUUAAGCUCCAGAUAUUAAAAAAAAUGCAUGAAAAAACCGAAAAAAAAAAUCGAAACCGAACCGUUUAGAACCGAACCCAGCCCUAGGUGUUUGUGCAAUGUAUGCCGGGAUAAGUGCAUGGAAAGAAAAUAAGAGUUCAAAAAUAACAACCCUUUGAUUUAUCCAAUUAAUGAGUGUUGGUGCAAAAUGUAUUAACUUUUGGUUGUUUCUCCACUCUCUCUCUUGCUACACCUCUUUAUCCCCUUCAGUUAAAUAUGCCAUAACAUUACUGUUUUAUUUAAGGGUAAUUUAAAUUAGUAGAUAAAAUUUUGCAAACUAAGUGACAUGGAAAUUGAUAAUUGGAAUAUGACUUAAACGUAGAUAAAUGUGCUUAAUCCUAUUGGUAACAUAUCAUUUAGUUUGCAAAUUUUGUCCUCUUAACAUUACUCAUAUUUUAAAUUAUUUAUUCAAGAGCACAACAUUUUUUUUACUAUUUUAUUUUCAACUAUAUAUGCUACAACACAAAAUUUUAAAAGCAGUGCAAUACCAAAUCAUAUGCACUAGAAAAUUCUGUAUCUUCUCGCCUCCUAAUGGCGCGUCAAAUGUCUUACCCGACUCAUUCGUUUUCUUUGGGUGAAAUUCAUUGCUCUUCGUUAAGUUGUAUAUAUGUGUGCUGAAACCAACAGACAGCUUACAUCACAUUCUUACUUUCUCAUCAAACUAAAUUAACAAAGAGGAUUAAGGGUUAGUUUGGGAUUGUUGUGUUUUGUUGAUGCACAAAAUCAGUGAGGACUUUGGUACAACAGAAAGUGUCAAGUUUGUGACCUUCGUUAGAUUGCUCCAGUCACUAGUGUGGAUAAGUAUGUAAAUGAAUAGAGGCAAGGAAGCAAGUAUAAGGUGUACGUGGUUCACCUAGAUUGGCUACGUCCAAGGAGUCGAGGAGUUCUCAUUAAUUGUGAAGGGUUUACACAAGUAUAUAGGUUCAAGCUCUCCUUUAAUGAGUACUAGUGAAUGAUUUAAUACAAAUGACAUUAGGGAUUAUUGUGGGAGAAUGAUCUCCUUUUAUAAAAGAGAGUUUCUAGCUUUGUUAUGGCUUUGACACGUGUCAUGCUAUGAUUGACCUUUGAUGUUGACAUGUGUCUCCUGUGAUUGGCCUCUUGGUGUUGACACGUGUUACGUUGUGAUUGGCCUUCUGGUUGAAGGGAAACUCUUCUGGGUCCUUGACGGUAUAACGCUGACCGGUGCUUAGUAGUUUCGGGAUUGGGGUCAAGUAUGGUACAAACAGUGCUCCCCUAAGUUCUCGAGUGAGGGAAGCUCCUCGGUUGGGGACUUGUAAGAUCCAAGCCGCUGAGUAAUCACGAAACUUCUAAGUACCGAAGUGUGGUAUUGUUUUCACUUGCCUUAUCUGUCUCAUAGGUAGAUGUGGCAUCUUCUCUGGAAGUACUUUUCCUCUAUCUAGUGGUGGUAUCUUUAACCGAUGGACAUGCAUAAGGUAAUGUAUCAAUUUCACUUGAAGCUUACUUGUAGUUUUGGGCUUGGACAAGCGCAAUACAAACCCUAUAGUAGGAGUCCCCCAAGUCUUUGAGCGAGGAGAUCUGCUGAAAGAGGUGACAGACAAAGUAAGCAAUCAGAGUUCCAAGCAGUCAGUCUUAGAUCAAAAGUUUGAUCUCAUGUUCCGGCUGAUUGUUCUCCUUCUUCUUAUUCUGUAGACAUCAACAAGGACAAAGAAAAUGACAUGGAGAAGAGAUGAUAUAAGAUACUUUUGCUUUUGAAGAAGUAACUUUCCACAUGCUUAUUCUUGAACUGGGCUGGAGGGUUUUCUGGUUUCCUCUAGAGUAUAAGGCUAACUUAAGAAUUUGAGGGUCAAAACAAGUCCAUCAAAUCAAGAGUGCGUUCGACCUUGAUGUUAUGGGAUACUUUUGUUGUUGACAAAGUAAUAGAUAAAUCGACACAUGUUCUGUUGCACUUGUCUCCACAUACUUCCUUGUAUCCUUCUCACUUACCCUAUCUGUUCCUCAGGCAGAUGUGGUAUCUUUUCUGGAAGCACAAGAUGUUGAAGAUGAAUACUCGAGAGAAAUGCCAGGUAAGUAAUCAGGCAAGGGGUUCCAGGCAGUCAGUUCAUGACUGGAAGCUUAAUUCCAAGUGCUGACUGAUUGCUCUCUUUCUCAUUGUCUUGCAGGUAAGAACAAGGGCAAAGGAAAAGACAGGGAAAAAGAAUGAUAUGGGAUACUCUUGCUUUAACCCCGAUGAUAUGAGAUACUCUUGCUCUGGUGUGGCUUGUUUGCAGAGGUAUUAUCGGGGGAAAGAAAGUUGAGUAUUUCGAGAGGCUUCGUUGGAAGUGCCCUCUUAGAUAUGAGGAAGGGUUGAGCAUUUUUGCAGGUCUGACUGUCCGUGAAGGAUGGAGGUAGCCAUAUAUAGGAGUUUCCCCAACAAGUAGUAAUGUUAUUCCUUUACCCUUCUUGGUCAUAGCAAUGUAGUGGGAGCUGCAAGCUUCACGUGUUUUAACUUUGUCAGCACUUUGAAAAAGUGGUCCAUGGUGUCUGGAGAGCUGAUAUUGCGUGUGAAGAUUGCAGACAAGCUUUAUCCAAGGAAAUCUGGCUCUUGAAGCUCAAAGAGUGGUGCCUUUUCAGUUUUCGGGAAAGAAGAUAUGUUAAAGAUUUGGCUCUCGAAAUUUGGAGAGCGUUGCCUCUUCGAUUUUUCAACAAGCAAUCCUAUUGGGAGUCUGGCUUUAAAUAUUCAGAGAGCGGUGCCUCUUUGAUUUUUGAGAAAGCAAUCAUGUUGGGAGUCUGACUCUCGAGAUUCGAAGAGCGGUGCCUCUUCGAUUUUUGAGCAAGUAAUCCUGUUAGGGGUCUGGCUCUCGAGAUUCGGAGAGCGGUGCCUUUUCGAUUUUUUAGCAAGUAAUCCUGUUGGGAGUGUUUUCUCAGAUGUGAGUAAAGGUUGAGCAUUUUUGCCAGUCUGCCUUGCCACGGAGCACGAAGGUUGACACACAUAGGGACUUUCCAGUUAUCAAGCAGUGGUGAUGUUCCUUUACCCUUGUGGGUAAUAGUAGGGUAGCUGGACCUUCAAAUUUUAUGUGGCUAAACUUUGUCAGAGAUCUUUGGCAAAGUUAUCUAGGGUACCCGAGGAAUUGAUGUUGCGCGUAGAGAUUGUCAACAGAUUUUACUCAAGAAAAUCCGCUUCUCGAAAUCCAGAGAGUGGUGCCUCUUCAAUUUUUGAACAAACGGCCCUGCUGCCCUUUCUUUUAUAGGGGCACCAAUUGUGUGCAGGAAGUAUGUUUAGAGAGUUAUUGCUUGUAGGAAUUUUCCCCUUAUUUUUGUACUUUAGAGAUUUAUUGGACCUCAUUUCUCCUUCAUCAUUUCUGAAAAUAUCUGGCCCAUCUGACCGUUGUUUUGACUUGAACUUUGGUGAAGAGGCAGCCAUGCCUCCUCAAGACAACAUAUGGCGCCCAUCUUUCUUAUCCCUUACUGGUUCUCUUACCGAUGGGGACUCUAUGAUGAAGAAUGAUAUGACCGCUACGGUGGUGGCCAGAAACCUUCUCACUCCCAAAGAUAACAGACUACUUUCCAAACGGUCUGAUGAGUUGGCUUAAGGAUUCUCUGGCUCUCAGUGUUUAGUGUGCGGGUUCUGUGUCUAAUAUGGCCCAACGCCUAUUUGCUCGAACCCGUCAAGUUGAAUCAUUGGUGACUGAAGUGAUAAGUCUCAAAUAGGAGAUCAGAGGGCUCCAGCAUGAGAAUAAACAGUUGCACAGGCUCGCACAUGACUAUGCUACAAACAUGAAGAGGAAGCUUGACCAGCUACAGGAAUUUGAUGGUCAGAUUUUACUUGAUUAUCAGAGGUUUAUGGGUUUGUUCCAAAGGCAUUUAUUGCCUUCAUCUUCUGGGGCUGUACCGCGUAAUGAAGCUCCAAAUGAUCAACCUCCAAUGCCUCCUCCUUCUGGGGUUCUGCCCAGUACUGAGGCUCCGAAUGAUCACCCUCCGAUGCCUCCUCUUUCUGGGGCUCUGCCGAUUGCUGAGACUUCUCCUGAGCAACCUUUGUGAAGGCUACCUCUUGUUUGUUUAUUUUGAUUCAUGUAUAUGUACAUAUUUGUAACUUAUCGGAGAUAUCAAUAAAUAAGCUUUGCUUCAUUUCAACGUAUUGUGUUAAAUACACCAAGGCCUCAUUCACUAAGUUCUUUGAAUUUAUUCUUUUGUUGAAGCUUAUAUGUUGAAGCUUUGUGAGUGAAGCAUAUAGGUUGAGGUAGUGCUCCCUUAAUUUCUCGAGUGAGAAAAACUUCUUGGUUGGAGACUUGAAAGAUCCAAAUCACUGAGUAGUCGUGAACCUUCCAAGUACCGAGGUGUAGUAGCAUAUGGUAGGAGUCCCCCAAGUCUCCGGUCGAGAGAGUUGACGAAGGAGGUGUCUUGCUAGUAGCCAAGUUUCCAAAGAAACAAAACUUCACCAUUUUCCUUUCUAAGUGGUAGCCCAAAACUCCUCCUUCAUUUGUAUUUGUUAUGAAAGUUGUUAGGCCCAAAGAAGGGGAGGCCUAGGCCUUUUUUUUUUUUUUUUUUUUUUUGAAUUUUUGAAUUUUUUUUUUCUCGAAUUUUCAAAAAAAUAUAUAUUUUUUAAAGCUUUAUAGGUAAAGCUUUGUAGGGUGAAGCUUUGAUGUUGAAGCUUUGUAGGUGAAGCUUUGGAGUUUGAAGCUUUGUAGGUGAAUCUUUGUGUUGAAGCUUUUGUAGGUGAAGCUUUUGUGUUGAAGCUUUGUAGGUGAAGCUUUUAUGUUGAAGCUUUGUAGGUGAAGCCUUUGAGGUUGAAGCUUUGUUGGGUACCAUGAAUUGAUUUUGCUUCACACUAUCUUGAUGAAGAGUGUGUGAAGCUUUUGAGAAUUGUAGUUGCCCUCCAUUUGUUGAAGCUUUUGUGGUGAAGCUUUGUUGGGUACCAUGAAUUGAUUUUGCUUCACACUAUCUUGAUCAAGAGUGUGUGAAGCUUUUGGCAUUUGUAGUUACCCUCCAUUUGUUGAAGCUUUUGUGGUGAAGCUUUUGUGUUGAAGCUUUAUAGAUGAAGCUUUGAGGUUGAAGCUUUGUUGGGUACCAUGAAUUGAUUUUGCUUCACACUAUCUUGAUCAAGAGUGUGUGAAGCUUUUGACAUUUUGGGGAAAACUAGAAAUUUGAAAAUGUGGGAGAGACAACACAUACAAAUUUUUCUUCCACACUUUGAGCAAGAGAUUGUGGUGCAAGCCACACCUUGUAGUAGUCAAAGGUUUGGAUGAACCAUAUAAAUUGAAUUUGCUUCAAACAGUCUUGAUCAAGAGUGUGUGAAGCUUUCUAUGAGUUGUAGUGUUUGCAUUGUUACAAAGGAGAAAUGUCCGAAGCAGAUGCAAGAGGGCUGAAGAGCUUAAUCUUCGUAUGCCAUGCACUGAAGCCAUUGUUGGCUUGCAAUAAGACCUUGUUGGUGACUAUAACUCUUGUUAGGCAUAAGUGUUCUCCUAGUUGAGUUGUAAAGCUUGAGGGUUUUUGAUUAUUUGUGAAUGCUAGGAGUUCACAUGUACAAGUUGUACCAUUCGUCUUCUGGUUGGUGGAAUGAAUGGUGAGUUGCUUUCAUCACUUUGAUUCAUGGUACGAAGGUGAGUUCCUUCAUCACCUUUUAUCACAUUUCAUCACCUGGUUGGUGGCACGAAGAUGAGUUCCUUCUUCACCUGGUUGGUAAUAAGAGUGGCAAGUUGCCAAAUAAGAUUAGAGUACGGGUUGUACAUUUCAUCAUCUAGUUGGUGGCAUGAAGAUGAGUUCCUUCUUCACCUGGUUGGUGGCAUGAGUGUUAAGUUGCCAAAUGAUAUUAGAGUAAGGGUUGUACAUUUCAUCACAUGGUUGGUGGCAUGAAAGAGAGUACAGGUUGUACAUUUCAUCACCUGGUUGGUGAGAAUAAGGGCAAUGUGUCGAGGCACAUUGUAGCAAGUGUUGAAUGACACAAACUAUGUUGAACCCUUUCGAAGCACAGUUGGCUUAUGUAUGGAUGCGUUGGAAUGUAUUAUGUUUAUGUAUGAAUGUGUUGAAAUGUAUGAUGUUUAUUUAUGAAUGUGUUGGAAUGUAUGAUGUUUAUGUUGAUUGACAUGAGUGUUGCUUAUGAAUGUUUUGCUAUGCAUGAAGGGAUCCAUGCUUUCGAUAUGCGAACCAUGUUGGUUGUAACACUUAGUAUCACAUACUUUGUGUCAAAGUACGCAUGUUGAAGCUCUGAGUUGGAUUAUAGGGGUAGGUCAGUGUAGACCAAGUGUUCCAGUGUUAGAAAUGCAAAAGACUCAGAAGAAGUUGUCUGAAUUCCCUCUUCUUUAAAUAUGUGCCGAAUGGCUUAUGUGACAAAAGAUCUCAAACGGUUGAGAGUCAAAACAUUUGUAAUGUGUAUGCCUUCUUAUAAUAGCAUUUCCUUUAGUACCUAGUCCUCCACUUUGAAAGAGUGAGGCUUGGCCCCAUAGUCAUAAUAGUCGACGGUACGUUCACCCCUGGUUUUCUUGAUACGAACUUUUAUCCCUCUUGUUGUAAUGGGCUUGCUGAGAGUAAAAAUCUUUCCUCUUACCAAGAGACAAAUAUGUUUGGUGACUUAGUGAGUAGCUAAAUGAGGCAGUAGAUGAUGCAAUGGGUGUCUUAAUGGCCAAGAUCUCCUCACUUGGUAGAACUUGACUUCCACUUCCCACUUGUUGAUAGGGGUUAACCAUAUAGGGGUUCCCUUGGUAUGUCCUUGCUUCGGCGGAAGCGUGGCUGUAAGCCUGUGCCAUCACCUCAGAGUAAGUCUUCCAAGUGUUGGCAUUGAUCAUGUACUUGAAGAAACAAUCACGUAGGCUUGUCGUGAAGGCUUUGAGGGCAGUCUUGUCAUCUGCCUCAGCGCAGCGAGAAUACUCAUAGCUAAAGCGACAUGCAUACUCUCAUAAUGACUCGUCCGACUUCUGGCGAAUAGGGUACAAGUCAUUUGCAGAAUGUAAGCGAUCAGUCUGAAAGAUGUGUUGAGAGACAAACAAUUUCCUUAGUUCUUCAAAUGAGUCUACUGUUUCGGGUGGAAGAUGACAAUACUAGUUUAGAGCUCCGUCAGAAAGGGUGGAAGGGAAAAGAAGACAUCGCUCUUCGUCGGUGUGCAUCCGAUAUGCCAUGGUGGACUCAAAGAGGUUAAGGUGUUCAAUCGGGUCCUCCAUUCUAGUAUAGAGUUGUAAACCAAACUUUUGUUUUGUCUUCGCUUGAAGAGGGGUGUCAAGGAUCCUCCUUAUGAUAGGGCUAGGCUUGGGUUGGUUCCAGUUAAGUAUCUCGGCCUGACGUUCGGCCUUCAACUUUUUUACUUCCUCAAGGAGCUGUAGGACAAUGGGGUCCUGAGUAGAGUCAUGUACCACUGGAAUUUUCUUCCGUAAGUCUCCAUUGUCUCUCAGAAGUAGAAAAGUUUAAGUAAGAGCGUGUGAUUUUUCCUUGGACUCGCCGUACUGACUUCUAGGGCGAGUCUGUCGGAAUACCUCCGAGUCCCCUGUACUUUCAUAUUCCUCUGGGACUUGUCGUUCCUUCCUUAGAUGGGCAGCUGGCUUGGGUCGUGGGAGGGGACCGAGUUUUUCAGAAACCCUUGGGUCAUUGAUCUUGGAGCUUAUGUGAAGGGGAUUCUCUCAAUGUUGUUUUAGGAAGUCUCGGCAGUCACGAUAAACAGCUUUCGAUCCUUCCAACUCUUCUGCAAGGAGGUGUCUUCCUCCACUUCUCCUGCUUCAGGUCGAAGCAGCUUGGUUGAGAGAAGUCUCAUGUUGAUCAAUGUUUUGAUGAUUAGCUCGCUCCUCAUUAGGGAUACCCAUGUCGAAGGAAGGUGACCCUCCGUGUUGAGGGGUACCCAGAUGAUGGUUGAUGUCCACAGGGGCAACAAGCUCGCGUGUUUGAGUACGCCUAGUUUCGUGGAACGUCUCGAAGAGCUUCUCAUAUUGUUCUUGGAGGAUCUCAUUCUUUAUUGCUAUCUUGAUCCUCCAGCUUCUCGACUUUAGCUUGAAGAAUGAGCUUCUUUCCUUCUUUCUUUCUUUGCUUCGCACUAGGUGUAAGAAGGGUGUCAUUAUGUGUGUCGUGGCUUCCUUUGCUCCCUAUGUUAGAGAGGGAUGCCUGGUCAAAAGAGAGUGUACAAAUGGUGGAAACCAGCUUGACAAAGUGAAGAAAGUGGGAAUAAGUGUCAUUCCAACAUACGGCGCCAAAUGUUGAUGCACAAAAUCAGUGAGGACAUUGGUACAACAGAAAAUGCAAGUUUAUGACCUUCGCUAAAUUGCUCCGGUCACUAGUAUGGAUAAGUAUGUAAAUGGAUAGAGACAAGGAAGCAAACACAAGAUAUACGUGAUGUAAGGUUAGUAUUUGUAGUGGUAGGUGAUAACAUUUAUUUUAUUCUCUAAGGAAUGUGUUUGGAAGGUUAAACAAUGUCAUUUAAAAAAAAAAAUUAAUGAGGUAUUACAACAAUUGAAAAUAAUUAUUAUAAACACAACUCUACUUUUUUUUAUUAAAGCAGCUUUUAAAAGCAACUUGUGGGCUGCUUUUAAAAGAUGCUCUUUGGAGUCUCUUUGUUUUGGUAAAUAUGUCUCUGGCUUCGGUCGGAAUGGGUGCUUUCAGAACGGCAUUUGAAAUGUUGUUUGAUGCUGUAAAAUCAGUGCAGGAGGAGAAUAAAAUGUUCCAACACCUCUCCCGAGACAUCAAGUUCGCACUAGACUCUGUACAACCACUCAUCAAAGACAUCGAAAAGUAUAACUCGAAAGAGGGACUGCAAAAUUUUGCAAUACAGAUGGAGGAGGGAGCAAGUUUUCAACAACUGUUACAUAAUCUCAGUGGCAUUCUCGAAUAUAGAAGAAAUGUAUAUCGACUAUUGCAGUGAUUUAAUAGAGUUGCCCGCCGAGUUUUGUGAUCUUAGUAAACUAAAGAAGCUCAGUGUCACUAACUGUCAUAAGAUAUCUGUCUUUACCUGAAGGGAUUGGAAAGUCGGAAAAUUUAGAAAUGUUCAGGCUAAGAUCCUGCACAGAACUGUCAAAGCUUCCAACCACGAUGAAGAACCUUGGAAAGGUAAACUUUCUUGACAUAUCUAUUUGCUUCAGCAUCAAGAUGUUGCCCAAAGACAUAGGUGAAAUGAGUAGUUUAAAGAAGAUCAACGUGAGACAAUGCUCAAGGUUGCAAGACCUGCCUCCAUCAGUCAUGGAUCUUAAGCAGUUAAAGGAAGUUGUCUGUGAUGAAGAGAUAAAAUACUUAUGGGAAUCUUUCUCAUUGCGUCUCAACAACGUAAGGAUAAUUGUGGCCAAAGAGAAUAUCAACCUAAAUUGGAUCCACAAGACUCAGUUCUGAUACCUGUGUUUCCUCGGUGAACGUUGCUCUUCAACCUCUCUUGACUUGUGUUUCAUUGUCUUCCUAUUUUAGGCUAUUUCCCAUCUCCUUUUCAGUUUACGCCCUUCGUUUCGUAAAUAGUAGUGUGGGAUAUUAAACCAUUGGUAUUAAAUAUAGAAAUUAUGAAAAUAACACAAGAAUUUCAAUAAUAAUAAUUACAAGGAAAUUCACAACAUCACAUGUGCACAAAAUUAAUAUAAACAACCAGAGAGAAAGUUAGAAAAACUGACAAACUUGGAGAUUGAGGCUUGCAUAAAUGCAAUGUCCUAAAGACAGAAUUUCGCCCCUACUCUUAUGCUUGUAGUUCGGUAGGCAUCCGUCUCCUAGGAUUCAACAAUCUAUAAUCCGAAGUCAAAGCAUUCAAUCUUCGGACUUUGGCUAACUUUAUAUAUUAUGUACUCUCAAGACACGACUCAGAAGUUUGACUAAGACAUUAGAGAAAACUAUUCUCAUAAUACUCUCACGACUAUACUAACGUGAGUUUAUAUAAAACCUAAGAUACUGGUUGAUUAAGAGACACAAGCAUUCAUGUAUUAGAUGAUACCGUUUACCAAAGAUUGCCUUGAUCCCUUUCAAAAGGUUAUGCAUUUUUCAUUCAAUAUUUUGAAUUAAAUAUUAUAAUUAUUAAUAUUAUAAUAUAUAAAUUCCAACAAUCCCCCACAUGAAUGAAAAAUUAGGAAGAAUUUAAGAGUACAGGCGAAAAAGAGAUGCAUCGGGAGAGGUAUCUUUUGGACUUGAACCUACCCUAGUGAAUACUUAUCGGAUUUACUUGGUGACGCAGUGAAUAUAGAAUCUUAAACUGUUCACCGUAAUAGUAAACCGAGACAAUAAGCAACACACAUCACUAAUCCUAAUAUAUUUUGGUUCAUAUGGUUGUGUUCAUUUUGGUCCUGAACAAAUCCCAGAUUCAUGAGAGCUUUAGAGAAUUUAGCCAUCUCAUACGCAUAGAAGCGACCCACUUCUACUCUCACAUAGGUGACCACUGAUUAAGAAUAGUCUACUCUAUUCCUCUUAUUUAUAAGAUAUCACUGUCAUUAAGUAUAAAUAUACAACCUAAAACCUCUGCAGACAACACACUUUUUCCAUCAUAGGAAUGAGGUAUAUAGUGUGUUAACUUCUUUGAAUCAUGCCCAACCAGUUUGCCUAUUGAACUUAGACCAUGGGAUCUCCAAUCAACAAAGUUAGGUUUCCGCUCGGCUGAUUCAUUAGUUAUGUUGGCUUUAGCCUCAUUCCCAUCGAUGAUCAACUUUCUCUCUAGUCUAACCUUUAAUAAUUGAAUCCACUACUAGGUUGACUAUUUUUAAUGGUGUGCACAAUCCAUCUUAUGAAAUUAUAUUUCAUACGAGAGGAGUUGUUUGACAUUACUUGAAAUGUCAAGUCCUCAAAAUUAUAUUAGAAAUCUCAAGAGUAAAAAUUAACUCUAAUUUUCUAUAUUUAAUACCAAUGGUUUCAUGGGUUUAUAUAGAAUCCAACUUCUACUUAUUAAAGAGAUGUAACUUUUCAUCUAUAAGUAUACAUCACUUAUUAAGGGAAUACACCUAAACAACAUAACCUUUCUAAGUAAUUUGCUAACACUAAGCACUUGGGUAAACUCCCCCACAUUUAAGGUAUUUGUAAGAAGAUCUCUAACCUUGCCAUACCUUAAAAUUAUUCAUUACAACAGAUGACAUCUUAAAUGUCGUUCAAUUAGCAAAUUACUUUUAACCAACUCCCACAAUUCUUUCAUAAUUGUAGUUGCUUUUAAUGCUAUCAUUAAAUCGAUCACAUUUUCCACUUUAAGAAGUAAGAAACAACUAAGAUAGACUCUAUCUAUCUUUUUAGGCCUUCAUGCUUCACUAGAAAUGAUGAGAAAAUCACUUCUUGACUUUCAUUCUUUCCUUACUCUGACUAACAUGCAUGAUCCGACUCAUAUGCUUACUUAAUAAGCAUCAUUAUGUCGAAUUCAAAUCUGUGAAAUGUCUUUCACAUUUUUAGUAUGGUCUUGUCCUUUUUUGAAAGACCCCCACACUUUCAUGAUUAUUUCUUUAUAUUAAUAUCACUUUAAAUGACACUCAAUAUCAUCAUGGGCCUCUUGUAAUUUAGAAAUAUAUCACUUCAAAGAAAGCAUAUAAAUGAUUUUGCAACAUUAUUAUCACUAUAUGAUAAUACAUCCAAUCGGUAUGUGGAAGUUUACAUACCAGCCAAUGAACACAUUUGAAUAUGCCAAUGACUAGUUGAAAAUGUCAUACCCCUUCACUGUCAAAAGCAGCACUUCAAAUGGCAUGCUUUUCCUUUGAAUCUCACAUGGUAGAUUUCAAUUUUCAAUUCCACCUUACAAAACCAUCCAUUUGUUAAAUAGUUGCAUAUUUAUGCAACUUUACCGCCACAUGGUUCAAUAUAAGUCUUGGACCUUGACCCCAUAAUUCAAUAAGCAUCUUUCGACGUUGAUAGAUAACUCAUCUAAAAUGAGUUCAGUUUAUUAGUUUAUUUUUGUUGCUUCUCAAAGCCAAAUUCAUCCACUUUCUGGGUUCUUAUCAUGACUGAAGGCUAGACCCAAUUCUGCAUAUGCACACAUAUGCCUGAGUAAUUGUUCAAUUUUCCUCAUACGUAUUCCAUUCAUUCCAUGAGUGGACAUGUACAUAUGAGUACUGCACUCAUCUUAUAUUCCAUGAUACCAUGGAAGUUGGGUUCAUAUCUUGUACUGGAGUUUUCCAACUGUUUCAAUACAAAUUUGAAACAACCCCAUUUUAUUUGUGUAUUCACUCUUCAUCAAGAGCUUUCGCUGACAUCUUUAUGAAUAUAAGGGUUUUCUCAACAAAAACCUAUUAAUCAUCAUCGUGCCCAAUCAAAUAUUGAUCUCCUUUGUCCCAAGAAAGAAACAUUGCAUUAGUCCACGAACUGGUACAUUAUGUCCCUUUUAGAUUUGCAAAUAAUGCAAAUUUUUGUAUGACUAUUGAAGAAAGUUGGGAUUCCAACAUAUAACCAAUUGAGAAUAUGGAGAACAAUCUAAUUCCUUAUAAGCUUUUGUUAUAUUUCUCAUUUCACCAAUGUGAAACCCCUUUUGUCUUCACAUCCUCACAAUCAUACCAUUUCACUUGGCCUUAUUCGAAACCUUUCUUCAUAUAAAGGAGACAAACACUGAACAUGGAUUUUAAGUAGAUCUGAUAAUAAUUGCAGUAGCCAUAUAAUAAAAAUUGUUAUCACUGUAUCGUUCUGGAAACUAGAAUCUUGAUCUUUUCUAUAUAAAACAGUUAUAGAGACAUGUAUAAAGUAACAGCCAAGUAUGAGAUUUCUAUAUAUCAAAGGAUUUAUAUAAUUAACAACAACAGCAACAACAGUUGCGGCAUGCAUAAUAAUUUACCAUGCCUCAAAGUUUAAAACAUUGUCUGAUCGCGACAUGCCUAGAAUGCCAAGAGAAGGUAAAUUCAAACUAACAUUAAUUUAAAAGCAGUUAGAUUCUAAUUUCUAAUAAAUAUAUAUAAGACAAAUAACCUUCUAUCCUAAUCAUCAUCAUCAUCAUCAAUAAAUCCCAAAAUUGUUGUGUUGUUUUGUGUGUGUAUAUAUAUAUAUAACUUUCAACACAUCAUCUAGCCCUGAUCUAUCUUUUCGUAGAAAUUUAAAGGAUUCAUGUCUUAGAUGCAUCGGUGAAAUAUACUGAUGUCUUCUUCUUUAUUUCUUCAAGAGGGCUAGGCUAAACAUAAAUUACAAUAUUUUCAUUGCGAAUCCCUAAAGUCCUAGGCUUUACUCAUAUUUUCUAAUUGUUUCAUAAACAAAUUUCUGUCUUUAGAUUGUUGGAGCAAUAUUAGAAAGUAUGAAAAUAACACAAGAAUUCCAAUAUUAAUAAUUACAAAGAAAUUCACAACAUCACAUGUGCACAAAAUUAAUAUCAACAACUAGAGAGAAAGUUAGAAAAACUAACAAACUUGGAGAUUGAGGCUUGCAUAAAUGCAAUGUCCUAAAGACAGAAUUUCGCCCAUACUUUUAUGCUUGUAUUUUGGUAGGCCUUCGUCUCCCAGGAUUCAACAAUCCAUAAUCCGAAGUCAAAGCAUUCAAUCUUCGGACUCUGGCUAACUUUAUAUAUUAUGUACUCUUAAGACACGACUCAGAAGUUUGACUAAGACAUUAGAGAAAACUAUUCUCAUAAUACUCUCACGACUAUACUAACAUGAGUUUAUAUAAAACGUAAGAUGCUGGUUGAUUAAGAUAUACAAGCAUUCAUCUAUUAGAUGAUACCGUUUACCAAAGAUUGCCUUGAUCCCUUUCAAAUGGUUAUGCAUUUUUCAUUCAAUAUUUUGAAUUAAAUAUUAUAAUUAUUAAUAUUAUAAUAUAUAAAUUCCAACAAGGUAUAAUCAUUUGUCGUUAAAUGAGCACUAUUUUGACAACCUUAAGAAAUUUUCUAAACUUGUGAAAUGUGAGGGGAAAUUUAAUAUCUGAGCAAUAAGUUUAAUGUGAAAGUUGUUUUUUUAGAGGGAAAAUGUGGUUUGUGUUUUUAAUGGGACUUCUUAAACUCUACUCUGACAUAGUUUCACAAUCAAUCCCUAUACACAGUUUCUUAACCUUUUGGUUUGAAAAUCUGUAUGUAUAGUUCAACAUCACAGUGUGAUUAUGCUCUCCCAAAAUAAGUUUUAUAAGUAAAAGGAACCAAAAAGAAGGGGUUGAAGAGUCUCCAUAAGACAAGAACUUUUAUGUCACAGAGUCAAGUAUUAAUCUCGUCAUCGGUAAGUUUCUCAAGUAUCUAUAUUCACAUUUGUUGGUCAAGUUUUCAGAAUUGUGUUCACAUAUAAUCUAAAUUCAUUGCCAAAUGUUGAGGAAUUGAUUGUUAUUGACUAUUGCGAUGAAUUGGUCUCAAACUACGUUUUCCAACCAACACGGUUUGAUCAGUUUUAAAAAAACCACUGUUUGAUUAGUCUCGUUCAAUACCAUUACGUGAUUAGCUUAAAUUUACUUUUCAUGUUCAAACUAGUUAAACUAAGAAAGAACGGGCCAUAUUUUCUUUCUUUUCAAAGUUGUUCACAUAGAAGUGGACAUUGACAAAGUAGAUAAUGAAUAACAUUAUAACAUUGUAAUUUGGAUGAAAAUACACAAAUCCAAUACUUUAAUUAGAUGCAUUAUACUUUAAAUGAAAAUAAAUAAAUUUAAUAUUCUUAGAGGUCACAAUAGAAAUUUCACAACUAAGAACGGAUUAGGGCAUGCCAAUACUUAAAAAGCCGACUUUUCUAAUUCAAUUCACAAGAUUCUCAAAACCAUUGCUCACACAUAUUCUAAAACUAAGGCUAGAGUGACACAGUUAAGCCAAGCCUACAUCUUUGAAGCUGAUAUCAAAUCUAAGAAACCAACAAGUCAAGUGAUGCAACUUUGGACCACUUAAACGAAUCCAAACCAGAAAACAAUUCCGAACCAUCACUCAACGGAAUCGUGGAGUAGAAGGGAUUUAGGACCAUCACUCAAAGGAAUCCAAACAAGGAUACGAUUCCGGACCAUCACUCAACGGAAUCGAGGAGUAGAAAGGAUUCCGGACCAUCACUCAAUGGAAUCCAAACAAGGAUAUGAUUCUGGACCAUCACUCAAUGGAAUCACUUGCACUAUCAACUUCUCAUGACCACUAUCUUGUCAUACAAGCAUAAAAGUUAUACAUAAUACUUCUCAUAAGAUUCUGGGUUCACAUCGUCCUAAAAACAAUCAUACACAUCAUAUUGAUCAUACAUAUCUAACCACAUUUCAUAAAUGUUUCCAAGCUACAAUCGAAUCACAAUUAAUAAACAUAGAUCGAUGCUAAAAUAAAAUAACACUUCAAUAGAAAGCACAUUUAAUUAACAAGUAUAACUCAAUAUGAUGCAACUAAUACAUAUAUCGAGACACACAUCAACCAAGAAUGACACGUCAUCGUGAUGAGCCAACUAAGUUCCAUCAAGCCUCAACAGCAAACUAGAGAUAAACGACACUCUAGAGUAUAACACGUUGACUAGAACGUUAACCGUCAAUAAGGUAGGUCCAUUAAGAUCAACAAUCUAAGGUUAUUUAAACCAGAAGAUCCGCACAUCAGAUUUCCGAUCCGUAAGUUCUCAAAGGUCCAACAACUGAUACCUAAGGUGCUCACAAAAUUGUACGACGAUCCAACAAUCGGAUUGUCAUCAAUCAUACAAACAAGUGGUAGUCCAAUUUGAUUACCACAUCAAACAAUUUAAUUUCGGGAAACCGAGCUAGACAUAGGUUCAUAGAGUCACUAGAAGGUAUUUAGUACUUAGACAACAUUCAUGGACGGUCUCACGCACCGCCACAAGCGAUGGUAGCCAUGGUGAAGGGUUUGAAAACCCAAAUUUUCAACCUUAACCAAAAAGGUUCAAAUUUAUGUGGUAACUAGAGCUCAACAAGGGAAACAUUAUUCACAACUAGGCCAAUGACAAAUUCUAACCGGAAACCAUCCAAAUUCAUCGGGAAAAACCGGGUUUCUAGGGUUCUAAACACCCAACUCUAAAACAAAUACGAAAGCACAAAACAAGCAUAUCAACUUGAAGAUUAUGAAGAGUAGAUGAAGCUUAAUACCUCACUCGAAAGAAAUGGUUGCCGAAAUCACCGGAAAAAUGACAAAAUCGUCGGAAACCAAGGAACUUUGCUGCCUCGAACUGGAAAAAUGGAUAAGAAAAUUGGAAAUGUAACACUGCAGAGAUGUAGGGCUCGUCAAGAGCUUUCUAUGGACUCCAAGAUCACCCAAAACGGAGAUCGGAUGAAGGAGAUAUGAGCAGAUCAAGUUUGCGGGUUAACGGGUCUAAUUCGCCCCAAAACGGGUUUUUUCUUCUUUUCUCUCGCCACACUUCCGUGGCUUUCUUUUCCUUCCCUCUUUUAGCCACUCCCGUGGCUUUUUCCUUCUCUUUUCAUUUUUUUUAUUUUUUAUUUUUUUAGCAACAACUUCAAACGUCCGUAACUAUACCGUUACAAUUUGGACUCGCAAACGGUUUUUGCCUAUACGUUCAUAAUCUCGAUAUCUAUUCGACAAUAUAAAUUGUGACCUCGAAUGGUCUACAGAUUUUAAAUAAUUAAUUUCCCGAAAAAUAAUAUAAAAUUUCUAUAAUACCAAUACGUAGAUUAUAAUAAUGAAAUCCAGGAACGGGAUUUGACAUUCUCCCCCCCUUAAAAAAAUUUUGUCCUCGAAAUUUUAGUAUCAAUUCAAUAUCCACCAAUGCCACAAUUCAACCGAAUGACAAUUUCGAAAUGGUAUUUACUCUUUAAUUAUAAUCGAAUUUAAUUAACAUCAAACUCGACAACAUCGAAUCACAAGUCACAAAUACAAUUAUCAUCGUCUCAGCACGACUUCACCACCAAUCUUUGCACAAUCACAAAGAAUGGCACUACUAAUAAGAAUUCAUCAAUAUACUCAUAAUUCUGGCAACCAUACCAACCAAUUUUGUAAUUACAAGCAUUUCCCAUUAUUCCAUUUAUGGUGAAUAAGAUCAUAACCUCAGUCUACGAGUUUAUUCAACUCAAAACAAAUAAAUUAACGGAUAGAUCAUCAUGAUUCUCACCCAUAUACUCAGAUUCACAGCAAUAUUUAUUGGCAGAAUAAAUAUUAGAAAUUCUAGCCAUACACAUUGUCAAAAUAUUUAUUAAACAUCAAGCCACAGUCUUCAUAACUUAAAAUAAUUACUAAAUUAUCAAAUCACAUUUACUAUUGGUUAGACAUAUACUAACAUAAUAAUUACAAUUAUUGGUAAACCAUCCACCAUCAUUGGCUAUACAUAGUCGUAACUACGAUUCUUUCUCAAAAUUUCUAGCCACACUCCCUUGCAAAAUAAUAUCCACCUUAAACCAUAAGUCUUGUUGGCUAAAUGAAUAUUAAAAUUUCAGCCAACCAUUAAAAUUGACAAAUCAAGUUCCAAAAUUCCAACCAAAAUUAUUGGAAUUUCCAAACACAUCACUAGGUAAUGGAAAGAAGAAUACCAAGUGAUCACAAAUAAACCGAAUUAUGAGUCAUUGAUUAAUUUGACUCAAAUUAUUUCCAUAUCAUCUAUUAUAUGCUUAUUUUUGCUCAAAAACAAAUUUUGACAUUCCUUUAGUGUUGUUUUCAGAGCAUACCUACGUCAUAUUUUACUACACAAGGAACGAGAUCAUAGGUAUCAAUGUAAACGUCGUGAAAACAAUCUUUGAAUCAAGAAUAGCUAUCAUGGCAGCAGUUAUUCUCUUCCUUACAAACGAAGGGUUAAAAUUUAGUCACCAUUCCACAUUCAACCAAUUUGUUUUGAAUCAAGGUUAUAGCGGUGAGACGAGCAUCGAUAUUAGAUCAUUUAUUGGCUGAGUUGUGCAAUAGCAAUUUUUAUAAACUUUCACAUACUCCAACACAAUGAAUAAGAUAGUAAUAAUUCAACCAAUUUCUUCCCAAUUUCUCACCAAAACAGAUUAUGCAACCAGUUCAUGUAUCAAUUUAAAGAUAGUCUCAGUCAUAGAACUAACUUAUCUCACAUUGACAAAGUCACAUGCCAAAUCUCAAGCCAUGACUAACAUGGCUAACAAAAUAUCAUAAUUUCAUACCAUAAUACGUUAAUGGUAAACCAACCAAUCAAGUUUAUAAUUAUCAACCUUUCGCGUCAAUUCUUUUCAUCAGACGAAGAAACUCAGUUGGGAAAGCAUUUAUAUUAAAUGAAUUCAAAUUUUCAUUCUAUAAUUUCAUUCAUAUUCACCCACCAUUCUCAUUAUAAUGGCAAACCAUAAUCACAGUUUAUAAUUUCAUUCCCCUUCAACAAAUCACCAUAUCUUCCUUAAAUGUUAACAUUUCCAACCACUUUUAUCGUUGGCCAAAACAUUUUAAAAUUUCUAUCCACACCUAUCAUUGACGGAAUAAUGAUUUCACCAUCUUUUUCUUUUAUUUCAAUCAGUGACUAGUAAUCUGGAAAAGAUUGUAAUAUACCUGACCAAUACACAUCACACUUUCUUUUUCUUUUCUUCUUCUUCUUUUUCUUUCUUUUUCUUCUUCUUUUUCUUCUUCUUUUUUUUCUUCUUUCUCACAUCUACGGGCCUUUUCCGCCCAUUUACACAUUCGCAGGCCUUUCUUGCCCAAUUUCACAUUUCCACCCUUAUAUCCACGGGCCUUUUGCCCAAUUCAAUUUCUCAAGUGCCAGGUCUAAUACAAACUCUCCAUCUACUUAUCACCACCUCAAAAUCACCUUAACAUUCAACAUUUUCAUAAUACAUAGAAAAAUAACCAAGUAGGCAAUUACGUGACUCCCUAAUGCGGAUUAACCAGCAGGACCACAAAUGGCCCCCCAAUGCGGAUUAACCAAGCAGGGUCAAGAUAAUCAGGUAGGUAGUGACCCCCCAAUGAGGAUUAACCAAGCAGAGUCACACCUGCAGAACUGUUAGGCAGUGAUCACCCAACGCGGAUUAACCAAGCAUGAUCACCCCUAAGUAUAAAUAGCCAUCAGGAUCGCCCAACGCGGAUUAACCAAGCGCGAUCCAUAUAUAGUAUGGUCCCCUAAUGCAGAUUAACCAAGUAGGAUCACUAAUGACCCCCUAUCGUAGAUUAACCAAGCAGGGUCAUAGUCUCCUAUUAGGCCUCAAUUUAACAACCAUUCCAAUAUGCAAUUCAAUUCACUUUUUCAAAAAUAUUAUCAAUCCAAUUUACUUCACUUCAUGAUGUUUCACAACAUAAAUAUACUUCUCACAUAACUUUCUCAUUACUUAAAGAACUUAGGGAAUAAUGCAAUACCAAUGCAAAUCAUAAUUCCCAUUAAUGAGUUUUUCAUAAUCACCAUGGAAAUUUCACCACAACACAAUGCAAUUCAUAUAUGUAUCUCAAAAGUAUAUGUGUCCAUAUAUCACAUGAAUGCAUCUUUAUGCCCAAAAAAAUUAUGAAAUCAUGCAACCACAAUGCAUAUCGUAAUUCACGCCAACAAGACUCGAAAAGGUUGUAUAUCAUAGAGUAUGAUCAUUUGCUCUGAUACCAUUAAAUGUUGUCACGCCCCGAUCCCGACAUACGUCUAGAAUCGACACGUGACGUCACCAAAUACCCAUAUCUAUCAUACCUCGCCUUUGGGAUAUGGGCAGAGCACAAUUCGAUAAUCGAAUCGCAUAGUAAUUUUACGUAUGCUUUAUGGCUGCAUUUAACCUCCUCGUUAGACUGCCUACGUACCCUAAACAGGGAUCAAGUCAUUCGUAGUUCGUCAUGUACUAUAAUUGACAUAUGUCACAGUCCGUUUAAGGCGAAGGGCAUAACAUUUCUCAAUCAAUCAAUAGCUUAACAAGCAUGAAAUUUCUAGACUCAAGGUUACAUAACAAACCCACCUGAAAGUCAUGAUUUCCCUUCCAGCUUCUGUAUAAGUCAUUAUGUCGCAACAUGAUACCGUAAUUCACAACAUAUAUCAUAUCAAGAAACCGACGAAGCACAAUACAAUUCUCUAGCCACAUUAAUUAACUAAUUUGCCCAAAAUAAUAACAACUAUAACCAUAUCUUCUAAAUUCAUACUUUAUGAAAUCAUAAUUGAAUCAUAGAAAAUCAUGAAGGAGUCACCCAAACGUCCAACAACUUUUCUAAUUCAAUUCACAAGAUUCUCAAAACCAUUGCUCACACAUAUUCUAAAACUAAGGCUAGAGUGACACAGUUAAGCCAAGCCUACAUCUCUGAAGUUGAUAUCAAAUAUAAGAAACCAACAAGUCAAGUGAUGCAACUUUGGACCACUUAAACGAAUUCAAACCAGGAAACGAUUCCGGACCAUCACUCAACGGAAUCGUGAAGUAGAAAGGAUUCUGGACCAUCACUCAACGGAAUCCAAACAAGGAUACGAUUCCGGACCAUCACUCAACGGAAUCGCGGAGUAGAAAGGAUUCCGGACCAUCACUCAACGGAAUCCAAACAAGGAUACGAUUCCGGACCAUCACUCAACGGAAUCACUUGCACUAUCAACUUCUCAUGACCACUAACUAUCUUAUCAUACAAGCAUAAAAGUUAUACGUAAUACUUCUCAUAAGAUUCUGGGUUCACAUCAUCCUAAAAAAAAUCAUACAAAUCAUACUGAUUAUACAUAUCUAACCACAUUUCAUAAAUGUUUCCAAGCUACAGUCGAAUCACAAUUAAUAAACAUAGAUCGAUGCUAAAAUAAAAUAACACUUCAAUAGAAAGCACAUUUAAUUAACAAGUAUAACUCAAUAUGAUGCCACUAAUACAUAUAUUGAGACACAUGUCAACCAAGAACGACACGUCAUCGUGAUGAGCCAACUAAGUUCCAUCAAGUCUCAACAACAAACUAGAGAUAAACGACACUCUAGUGUAUAACACGUUGACUAGAACGUCAACCGUCAAUAAGGUAGGUCCAUUAAGAUCAACAAUCUAAGUUAUUCAAACCGGAAGAUCCGCACAUCAGAUUUCCGAUCCGUAAGUUCUCAAAGGUCCAACAACUGAUAACUAAGGUGCUCACAAAAUUGUACGACGAUCCAACGAUCGGAUUGUCGUCAAUCAUACAAACAAGUGGUGGUCCAUUUUGAUCACCACAUCAAACAAUUGAAUUUCGGGAAACCGAGCUAGACAUAGGUUCUUAGGAUCACUAGAAGGUAUUUCGUACUUAGACAACACUCAUGCACAGUCCCACGCACCGCCACACGCAAUGGUAGCCAUGGUGAAGGGUUUGAAAACCCAAUUUUCAACCUUAACCAAAAAGGCUCAAAUUUACGUGGUAACUAGAGCUCAACAAGGGAAACAUUAUUCACAACUAGGCCAACGACAAAUUCUAACCGGAAACCAUCCAAAUUCAUCAGGGAAAACCGGGUUUCUAGGGUUCUAAACACCUAACUCUAAAACGAAAACGAAACCACAAACCAAGCAUACCAACUUGAAGAUUAUGAAGAGUAGAUGAAGUUUAAUACCUCACUCGAAAGAAAUGGUUGCCGAAAUCACCGGAAACCCAAGGAACUUUGCUGCCUAUAACUGGAAAAAUGGAUAAGAAAAUGGGAAAUGUAACACUGCAGAGAUAUAGGGCUCAUCAAGAGCUUUCAAUGGACACCAAGAUCACCCAAAACAGAGAUCGGAAGAAGGAGAUAUGAGCGGAUCAAGUUUGCGGGUUAACGGGUCUAAUUCGCCCCAAAACGGGUUUUUUCUUCCUUUCUCUCGCCACACUCCAGUGGCUUUCUUUUCCUUCCCUCUUUUAGCCACUCCGGUGGCUUUUUUCUUCUCUUUUCAUUUUUUUUAGCAACAACUUUAAACAUCCGUAGCUAUACCGUUACAAUCCGGACUCGCAAACGGUUUUCGCAUAUGCGUUCAUAAUCUCGAUAUCUAUUCAACAAUAUAAAUUGUGACCUCGAAUGGUCUACGGAUUUUAAAUAAUUAAUUUCCCGAAAAAUAAUAUAAAAUUUCUAUAAUACCAAUACGUAGAUUAUAAUAAUGAAAUUUAGGAAUGAGAUUUCACACUUAUAGUUUUGAAACAAAUAAUUUUACAUUAGAAAAGAUAACUUAUACUUUCACUAAAAAGGAGAGCUGAUUUUUAUUAAUUAACAUUGAAGUUUUUGCCUAUUCAAGAGAUGUGGGUCCUGUAUUUCAAUCAACACAUGUGAGUCUCAUCUCUAUUAAAAAAAUGAUACAAAUGAUGGUUACAAAUAAAUGAUAAGAAUAAUAUUUUUAUUUACAAAAAAAUUAUUAUGCACUCCUAUCUAAUAAAGUAAACAAGGUCAAAAGGAGGACAAAGUGGGUUUCUUUUAGCGCUAAUAUUCUUUUAGAAACUAUAUAUUUGAUUGUAUGAACAAUAAAGUCAUUGUACAAUUUAAAUUUAAAACUCAUAAAGAAAAUUAUACAAGGCAUACAAAGUUUAUUAAUCAACAUUGAACCUUUUGUGCAUAUUCUUUGAAAACAUAAGGAAAUUAUACAAUGGUCUCCUCACAAGAAAUUCUCAACUCUUUCAUUUUUUGUGAACUUGUGAUACACGCUAAAGGGGAUGAAUUCUUCAAUGAAAUUUUGACAUGUAAAAAUGAGACCUAUUCGUAAGUUUAUUGAAAAUAAUAAAGCUCAUAUGAGUAGCCCAGAAUAUAAUUUCCUUGUGUUUUCAUAGCAUAUGAACACAAAAUAUAAUGUUGCAAAAUAAGUUUGAUGUUUUAUGUAUAUAAUUAUAAGUAUAAUAUUUUCUCACCUUCUAGUACAAGUUUUGUGCAUAUUCUACAAAACCAAAAACAAAUUAAAACUCAACAUCAUAGCAAUAUUUUCUCAAAAAUAAAAAAGCAUUUCGUAGUAAACGAAUAUACUUUUCCCUCACACUAAAUUUCGUAAAUAUUUUAUGAAAAUAUAAGGAAAUUACACUAUGGUCUCCCCUCAAGAAAUUCCAAGAAAUUCCCAGCUCCAUUAUUUUUUGUUAACUUAUAAUUCAUGGGAUCAAUUUACCAAAGGACGUAUGAUACACGUAAAUAAGAUCAAUUUAUAAGUGCAUUGAACAUGACAUAUUAUGUUAAUAGAGAAACAUAUAAUUUUCUUAUGUUUCAUGGCAUGUGCACAAAAAGUUUUAUUGUUGAAAAUUUUAUAUGUAUAUAAGCAUAUUUUCUCAUCUUAUAGUAUGCUAAAAGGAAACCAAAUAGUAGCAUCUUCAUAAUAAAUUCUCUAACUUGCUUACACCAGGCCUAUAGUGGCGAAGCCACGUGAGGGCGAGGAGUGGCGUCCACCACUCCCCUAGCCUGAAAAACAAGACUGGAGCGCUGAUUUUGCCCCUCCCCUGCCGGAAAACCCACUGGUUCUACUAUUGUUGGUCUUCGUCUCCGACUCUCCGGUCUGCUUUGCAGAUCUAACUUUUUUUUUUUUUAAACAACCAGGCCAAAACAACGUCGUUUUGGACCUGGUAAAAAAAUUUUAAAAAGAAAAAGAAAAAAAAAUGAAACGGGCAGUUUUGAUAAGUUGGAAGUCAAAAAAAAAAAUUAUAUAGGGGGACCGCGUGUCCCCCAUUCAUUCAAUCUCUUCCUUUCUCUCUCUGUUGUGUCGUUUUGCACCUUUCCCCUUUUCAUCCUCCAAUCACAGCAGCAAAGGGCAGCCAUUGCUCCCCUUUUCGAAGCAGAAAAUGGAACGGAACUUCUGCACAGCAGCACCGUUUGGCAUUAGACCAAUUAGCACUCAACAGCAGCACAGCGCCACUGCCAGGGCCCAGCUUCCAACCAUCAAACACAAUAUUUAGGUAAAUUUUUUAAUUCCCAAAUUUAUAAUCCCUAACCCUAAUUAAUUAUUUAAAAUGAAUUUUGUUUAAUUGGUAUAGAAUCAUAUAGUAAAACACUCAAUGCACUAAUAUGGUUAUAGUUAUUGAUUAUUGAUAUGAAAUUAUGAAAUUAUUUUUUAGGGUAAAAAUUAAAAUUUGAAUUCUCGAUUAUUUAUUAAUUAAUUGAAUUAUUACAUAAUGUAUUACAAUUAUUCAUGUGAUUAGUUGAAUUGAAUUUUUAUUUAUCGAAUAAUUGUUUGUUUAUUGGUAUUGAUUAAUUGAAUUGUUGGUUGGAUUAGUUAUUAUGCAUACUAUAGUAUAGUCUACUCUAGGAUUAAGAGUCUAAGAAUUUUUUUUUUCUUUCCAUUUUACAGUUAUGUAAUGGAACGAUACUAUAAGAAACAAUGCUUAAAUCCUCCUUCAAACAUUUCGGGUAGUCCUUCUCCUUCAAACAUUUCGGGUAGUCCUUUUCCUUCAAAUAUUCCGAGUAGUCCUCCUCCUCCUUCAAAUAUUCCAAGAAGUCCUCCUUCGAAUAUUCCUAGUAGGUCACAACAAAGUAAGGCCACUGAGUUGGAUGAAAUAUUAGCUAAUCUUCCUGCAGACCCUGGACAUAGACGUCAAAUGCUUGAUUAUCCACCUAAUUAUCGUGAAGCAAUUCGUAGACACUAUCUCCAAAAUGAUCCUUGUCAACCUAGAGACCACAUCAUGCCAAGAAAAGUUUGUGACAAAAGAUGUUUUAUCAUCGGUUGGUUUGAUAAGUUUAAGUGUUUGGAGUAUAGUAUAUCAAAAAAUGCUUCAUUUUGCCGUUAUUGCUAUCUUUUCAAAUGUGAUUUCGAUCAAAUGGGUAGCACUAGAAGUGAUGUCUUCACUAAGAAAAGGUUUACAAAUUAGAAGAAAGGACCUCAAAAUCUUCGAGUCCAUGAGGGAGGUGUUGGAAGUCUUCAUAAUAAAGCUGUACAAUAAGCUAGAGAUUUGAUGGCACAAAAACAACACAUUGAAACAUUUGUGAGUAAGCAAACCGAUGAAGCUCGCAUUAAUUAUCGUACUUUCUUGAAUGCCUCACUUGAGUGUACAAGAUGGUUGUUAGGACAAGGUUUGCCUUUUCGUGAUCACGAUGAAUCAUUCAAAUCAAGCAAUAGAGGUAAUUAUUUGGAGCUUAUGCAAUUUCUUUCCAAGCAUAAUGAGCAAGUUAGGAAAGUUGUGUUGAGAAUGCUCCCAAGAAUCUUAAGUAUACUUCUUCCGAUAUUCAAAAAGAUCUUGUCCGUGCUUGUGCCAUUGAAAUUAUAGAUGCAAUCACUAAAGAUAUGGAAGGUGCAUUCUUUUCUCUUUUGGUUGAUGGAUCACAUGAUUCUUCAACUAAAGAGCAAAUGGCAGUAGUAUUGCGUUAUGUGAACAAAAAAGGAGAAGCAAUUGAAAAGUUUUUGGGUGUACAACAUGUCACUUCUACAACUAGUAGCUCACUUGAAGAGGCUAUUGAGAGAUUUUUUGCUACAACAAAUUUGAGUAUGUCCAAGUUACAGGACAAAGCUAUGAUGGAGCUAGUAAUAUGAAAGGUGAGCUAAUGGCCUUAAAACAAAGAUUUUGAACAAGUAUCCUCAAGCAUUUUAUGUUCAUUGUUUUGCACACCAACUUCAACUAGCUCAUGUAGCCGUUGCAAAGGGAAUUGAGGGCGUCGCCAUUUUCUUCAACAAUGCUAGUAUCUUGGUCAAUACUAUUGGAUCAUCGUGUAAGCAUCGUGAUGCAUUUAGAGAGAAACAACUAGAACAAAUUACAAAAACUCUUGAUAUUGUUGAUCUUGAAAUGGGUAGAGGGUUAAAUCAAGAGAGCAGUCUCAUGUGUCUUUGUGAUAUACGUUGGAACUCACAUUAUGGUACUAUAAUGAGUAUUAUUGUCAAUUUUGAAGCUGUGGUGGAGGUGCUUGAAUGGAUUAAAGAUGAUACCAACCAAGACAAUUUCGAAGAAGCAAGUAAGUUAUUCCAUGACAUACAAACUUUUGAUUUUGUGUUUCACCUUUUUUUUAUGAGACACAUAUUGGGAAUUAUAGAUGAGUUAUCACAAGCAUUACAAAAGAAAGAUGAAGAUAUUGUGAAUGCGAUGGCAUUAGUGGAGGUAUGCAAGCAAAGAUUACAAUCCUUGAGAGAUGAUGAUUUUGGGAACUUGCUUGAUGAUGUACAAAAGUUUUGUGAAGAGCAUGAUAUUGUUGUUCCUAACAUGGAGGAUUUGCAUUUCGUACCCGAAAAAUCAAGGCGUAAAGCUCCAAGACUCACAAACUUCCAUUACUAUCGUGUGGACCUCUAUUUUCAAGUCCUUGAUACGCAAUUAAAGGAAUUGAAUGAUCACUUCGAUGAGGUAAACACUGAAUUGCUUCUUUGUAUGGCAUGUUUGAGUCUGGUGAAUAAUUUUGCAUCUUUUGAUAAAGCAAAAAUUGUUCAUCUAGCCCAACAUUAUCCUCAAGAUUUUGAUCGUAUGGACCUCAUAAAUCUUCCAAUUCAACUUGACAAUUACAUUCAUGAUAUGAAGAUGCAUAGUGAGUUUUCAUCAUUGAGAGGAAUUGUGAUCUUGCAAAGGAGUUGGUGAAGACCGGAAGGUGUGCAAGCUAUAUCUUAGUGUAUAAGCUUCUUACAUUGGCUUUAGUGUUACCGGUUGCAACCGCUUCGGUGGAGAGAGCUUUUUAUGCUAUGAAGAUUGUGAAAACACCAUUGCGUAACAAAAUGGGAGAUCAAUUGUUAAGUGAUAACAUGCUUGUUUACAUUGAGAGAGAUGUAUUUGCUUUUAUUGAUAAUGAGCCUAUUAUGCGACGUUUUCAUGAUAUGAAACCUCACCGGCAACAAUUGUAAUUGUAUUGAUAAAUUAUGGAAGACAUUACUAUAUAAAAGGAUUUGGUUGUUGCUAUUCUUUUGAACUUUGCAAUCUUUUAACUUCGCCCCUCCCCCCGUCAAUUCCUGGUUUCGCCACUGCAGGCCUAUGAAUUCACUCGCAACAAAAUUUGAAUUGAGAAAAAAAUUCAUCUUACACUAUUCUCCAAUGAAAUAAGAAAGGUCAAAAGGAGGGCAAAGUGAAUUUCUUUUAGCAAUAAUAACAGUUUUUUUUUUUUGAACAAACAAUAUAAUCCAUACUAAGGAGGUGAGGGAGGUGGGCUAAGCCUCACAAUGACUAACAAUAAUGUGGUUCAAAUUCUUCUUUGGUGAGAAUCGAACCUAAGAACUCUUACUUACAAGUGAAAAGGAAUACUACUAGACCGUAGUACUAAGUUGCCUAAUAAUAGUUCUUUUAAAAACUAUAUAUUUGAUUACAUGAACAAUAAAGUCAUUGUAUAAUUUAUAUUUAAAACUCAUAAAGAAAAUUAUUUAGGAAAUAAAAUUAUAUUUAAAGACAUUCAAGUUUUAUUAAUCAAUAUUGAAACAAUUGUGCAUAUUCCAUGAAAGCAUAUUGAUGAGAUUAUAAUAUAGUCUCCCACAUGAAAUUCUCAGAUCUAUUAAUUUCCGUGAACUUGUGAUACACAAUAAAUGUGUGAAUUCUCCAAUGGACUUCUGAUAAUUGUAAAUGAAAUCCAUUCUUAAGUUUAAACUGGAAAUGACGAAGCAACCAAGAAGAACAAAGUAGACCCAGGAGGAGCCAAUAACACACCAACACAAAACUAAAAUACUCACUAGAGAUACUCACAAAUAACCUCAAGAAAAUAGUAAGGCUAGGAGAACGGAGAUGGGCAGCCAUUGGCCACAAGCUAAAGAAAGGGGUCAGGAGCUGUGAAUUUUAUAAAUAUAAGAUUUUAGUAGAGGAAAGGAGAGAGACGCUAGCAGUAGUUUCUUAUAUAUUAGCAUUCCAAGAAUCCAUCCUUUUGACUUUUAUUAAUGUAUUUCUAGUACAAUUUUAAUAAGAGUAUUAUCGGAAAGUAAAUAUGUAUUUUACACUAAUAAGAAAGAUGUAAAUUUGGGAGCUCAUUUAUUUAUGGUCUCUUUUAACCAAUGAAAAUGGAUAUACAUAUUUUUUUAGUCCACCUCUUAAAAAUGUAAAUAUACAUUUUAUUCACAUGUUUACACUAAUCCUUUGAGAGCUUUCCAACCAAAAAAAAUUAAAUUGUAGUACACCACAUGCUAUUAUAUAAUUGGAAAAAAAAAUUAAUUUUUCAAGUGUUAUUCUAUUUGUAUAAUGAUAUGUGUUAUAUUACUUUGUGUUUUGUGCACUGAAAAAUAUCUCGUAUCAGAUAUGCUAGUGGAGUACCAAUUUGGGGUUGUUGAAAUUAAUUUUUUUUUGUCAAAGGGUUGUUGAAAUUAUUUAAAAGAAUAAAUUGUAGCAAUGGUACCUCAAUUUUAAUGAAAUUAGAGCAAUGAUUCUUCAACUAAAAACCUAUUAUCAUUCGUCCUUCAACUCAUCAAAACGUGUAGCUGUGAUCCUUUUCGUCAACUUGGUCAAAAUGAAUUAUGUUGGAAGGACCAUUGCUACAAUUAGAUUAAAGUUUAGGGACCAUUCUCCAAUUGGAUUAAAAUUGAGAGACCAUUUUUUCAGUUAAAUUAGAAUUGAAGAACCAUUGGUAAUAGAUUUUUAGUUGAGGGACUAUAGCUGCACGUUUUGAUGAGUUAAAAGACCAAUGCUAAUAGAUUUUUAGUUAGAGAUCAUUAUUUCAAUUGAGUUAAAGUUAAUUGACUAUUACUAUAAUUUACUAUAUUUAAAAAGCAACUUAUUAAAAAAUCUGGUGAAUGGUGAACAUUAAAGUUUAAUGAAAAUUUUAUGAGGAUAGCAGUACCCUGGGUUUUUAAUUAAAAUUACAGCCAGUAUCUUCGCUUCUCCUUUCCCCUUUCUCCAUGUCGUCCUUCAAAUCGAAGGUUGGCGACCUUCAAUUACCUGGAGAAAUCAACAAUAAGCCAUAAUUCCUUCAAUUAGAGGAUGCUCUGCUCGUCUUCUGCUGACUUUUCUUUAAAUUUUGAGCUUACAGUGCUCACAUGGGAACAUAGAGAGAGAGAGAGAGAGAUAAAGAGAGAGAGAGAGAGAGAGAGAUUGAAGUUUUUAUGGAAGGAAAGAAAUUUGAGCUUUGUGUAGGAUAGAGCAGGCGAGUGAGAUUGCAUGCGACGAAUCAGUUAGGUUUCUGACUUCAAAUGGCGCCGUUUGUGGUCUGAUCCGUCCGAGUUAUGGAGAUCGGACAUUGGAGCUCCUAACUAGCAAUAAUUUGGAGCUGCAGAUUCGGUGAGAAAUUCAAAAUAUUUGGAAUGGCUAUGGGGAAACGGGAUGACACAGAGAGAUUGGGUGAUUAGGAUUGUGCCGUGGGCUGGGAGGUCGCGGCGGCGGCGGAAGGAACCCAGACAUAAAACCGUAUAAUUAUUAGAAAUAUUUAGAAAUUGAUGGGCUGGUAUUUGUUCAAUAAAUCUAUGGGCUGGAUAUAUGGGCUGGUGUUUGUUUAAUUAAUCCAUGGGCUGGUGUUCAAUAUGACUUGGAUUUAAGGUGAAAUUAUUAGAAAAUUUCUAUUAAACUAUUUGAUGGCACGUAAGUGCAGAAGCUGAAGAUAAACAUUGAAGAAGAUAAACAUCGAAGGAAAAAUGGGGAAGAUAAGAUUAUUAAAGAAAAAGGUUAGAUAAAUUAUCAUCCAACCUUAUGAUAUUUUCAGUCAUCUCUAUAUGGGCUUGUUUGACGGCCUGAAAGAUUUUGGACCUUAGAGAGAAAAUUAUAUUAAUAGGGAUUUGAAAGGUAAAACUUGUAACCUAUGUAUAAAGAUAAAUUAGAUAACAUAUUUUAUUGUGAAUUCAUAAUUCAUCAUUGUAGAUGUAAAUUUCUUUCUCCUUGUUCUUGGACAAAAUUGCACCUACAAAAUAAAUAACAACUUAGAUCAAGACCAAGAGCCUCACGCGCCCACGAUGAAUUAGGGGGGCUUUGGUCGAAAAACCUCUGAUGUCAAAAUUAGAAUUUUUAGAGAAAAUUGUUUGAAGAAUUUUGAGUGUUUAGCAAGAGUGAAACUUAGGUUUUUAAAGAAAAUAAGGAAGAAUAUAUAAGGCAUGGCCGGCCCCCUUGGGAGAGAAGAUGACCGGCCUCUUGUGUGUUUUUUUGGUGUAAUUGGUAGUUUAAUUAGCCAUUAAUAAAUUAAUUAGGUAAUAAAUCCAUUAAUUAGUUAAUUAACAUAAUUUAAAAGGAAUGUUUUAGGGGUUACCUCGUGGAGAAGAUAUGAUAAGGGACGGAUGAAAUAAGUUAUAAAUAAAUACCUAUUUGUGCACUUUUGACUUGAUUGUGAGAUGAUUGUCCACUGCUCGUGUGUAGUAAUUCCAGUGUGCCUCAAGGAUAAUUUUGUCAUUUUAACCCAACAAUCCACGUGUCGCCUCUUGAUUAUUUUUAGCUCCACAAUCAUGUCAUGUCCACUUUACUUUUUAACACAACAAACAACGAAUUAGAUUAAGGUCUAUUUUAACUAUUACAUGCUAACACAUAUUGUGCGAAAAAUUUCUUUUUAUUUUGUUUUGUAUUAUAAAGUGUUGAUUAUUUUAAAAAUUCUCGAAAAAGCUUACAUGAGGUGCUCAGAUCAGAGUCGAUCGUUUUCAAGUCGUAACCCUUUUCGGAGCUGUGGGGAAGAUGGUGGCUUGGUAGUUGGGUUGGGUGAUAUCCGCCUCUUAUGAAGCUUUUUCUAUUUUUUUUAUUUUUUAUUGUUAAUUUUCUUUUUAUUUGUUUGUUAUUAAAUUUUGUGGGAUUCACAUGUGUGUCACGUUAACAUUCUAACAGAAGUUUUGACGAAAAUAUAAUGGCAAAUUGAUUUGUAGCAUCCAAUUCAAAGGCUACACUGAUCGAUUUCAAUUUCAAAUGUCACCUUAAUUAGUGCGUCAAUUUCCGACUAUUUGCGUUGAAGACACAUUAUAGAAAAAUCUACUACACACACAACGUGUGGGGGGUGUUGAUUUGAACGCCCGGUGAAGUCACGGUAAGACCAAAACAUGUAGCCAGAAAAUUCGGUGUCUCGCCUUCCCAACUCGUUCGACCUAUGUAUGUGUGCUGAAACAGAGUCGAAAACAAACAACGCACGACAUUCUCAGUUUCUCAUCAAACUAAAUUAUUUUACGUUCUCUCUGUAAACCGUUGGAAUUUCUGUUCUUCUUUCGUCACCCAAGAACAGAUUACGUAAUUGAAUCAAGUUUUGAGUCUCAUUGUUUCCGUAAAUUAUGUCUCUGGUUUCGGUCAGAAUGGGUGCUCUGAGAACGUCAUUUCAAAUGCUGUUUGAUGCGGUAAAAUCAGCGCAGGAGGAGAAUACAAUGUUCCAACACCUCCUCGGAGACAUCAAAUCCACACUGGAAUCUCUACAACCACUCAUCAAAGACAUCGAAAAGUAUAACUCCAAGGAGGGGCGGGAAAAUUAUGCAAUACAGAUGGAGGAAGGAGCAAAGCUUGUUCAAAAGUGCAGCAAAGUUGGCGUGUGGAGAAAACACACAUACACCAAGAAGCUUAAUCAACUGGACAAAUCUCUUCGAAGAGUGUUUGAUGUGCUUAAACUGCAGGUUAUGAGGGUGCGAGGGAGACGUUGGUUCCUUUGAGGAAUAUCGAGACGGUGCUCUCUCGAAUAGAAGAGAGAUUGAAGAUAAAAAAUAACCAGCCUGAAAUGGUUAAAUGUUCGUCUGCGGUGCCUGAAGCGCCAUCAGUUACAGUCGGGUUGGAUUUGCCGUUGAAGGAGUUGAAGGUGAAGCUCCUUAAGGAUGAAAAGGUGUCUAUGCUUGUGCUGACCGCCGCUGGACGAUGCGGGAAAACCACCUUGGCUAAAAUGUUUUGUCAAGAUCAAGAAGUCAAAGGUAUGCUAUUUAUGAUUUCAACCAUACACAGUAACCAAAAUUUGUUAAAAGAAAAACAACGAAAGGGGACAUGAAACUAAAGCGCACGAAAGGAAUAUAAGAAAGAUUAGAAAGACCUAUAUUCUCUGUACUAAAGUUAAGCUGAUGCCUUCCUUUUAUUAACACCUUUCCUACAUUCUGUUUGAAUAGAUACAUUCAAGAACAACAUCUUCUUUGUCAAUGUCUCGAAAAAACCCAACUUGGACCUUAUUGUACACGAACUAUAUCAACGGAAGGGGUCCGAGCUGCCUGCUUUCGAAAACGAAGACAUGGCAGCUAACUGGUUGCAACAAUUUCUGAUGGAAUCAAGACAAAAUCCUCUACUGUUUGUCCUGGAUGAUGUUUGGUCAGGAUCAGAGUCCCUUCUUGAGAAGUUUGAUCAAUUCAAGUUUUCAAAUUACAAGAUUUUGGUCACAUCAAGAUUUGCAUUUCCAAGAUUCGGUUCUCCUUAUCAUUUGGCACCAUUGAAUGAUGAAGAUGCAAUGGCUCUUUUUCACUAUUCUGCAUCCUUGGAAGAUAAGAGCUCUUAUACUUACGAAGAUCUUUCGAGAAAGGUGAUUUCUUAGUCCACAAUACACACACACACACACACACACACACACACACACAUAUAUAUAUAUGCUUAUUUAUGCCUCAGAAGAAGGUAAAGAAUAACAUUUGAGCAUCCACACACGUUAAUGAACUGUGAAGAGUGAAGUAAGAAGAAUGAAAGACUAGACAGUUUACAAUUUUAUCAUCUAUACGAAACCAUAGUAAUUGAAUUCAUUUUGGAUAAUGAUAUUGCAGAUUAUCAAGCGCUGUAAGGGAUGCCCACUUGCCAUUGCAUUGGUUGGGAGAUCACUUCGCGGCCAGCCUAUAGAAAUCUGGCACAAAAGAGUAGUGGAAUGGUGCAAAAGUUCAUCUAUUCUUGAUUCUGACAAGGAUUUACUUGCUUGCCUCCAAAGCAGCUUAGAUGCCUUGGAUAAAGAGAAGGUUAUCAUCAAGGAAUGUUUCCUCGAUCUAGGUUCUUUUCCGGAGGACCAAAGAAUUGCUGCUGCCGCUCUCAUUGAUAUGUGGGCGCAGUUAUAUGGUCUAGAUGAAGAAAUUCUGACCAUUGCCAACCUUCACGAGCUCACCGCUCGAAGUUUAGCUAAUCUUGUUGUCACAAGGUAUGCAGGCUGCUCAUAAUUUUUUCUAUUUAAUUAUGUAUGCCGAACAAAUCAUUAAAGAAAGUAGUAUUGAUCAUCCAGACAUGAGGGGGAGACAGAUGGCUAUUACACUGAACACUUUGUCACCCAGCACGACAUGCUUAAGAGAGUUGGCGAUCCAUCCGGCGAGUCAAGACCCAGCACGACAUCACUUGAUUUAGUUGAGUAUUGAAGAAGUUACGGACGUUUAAAGUUUACCCAGUUUCCGGCGAGUUUUCUAGUUUUCCCUUGGACCAGUCAACUUUGAGGCUGUUGUCUGACCAUCUCUGGCAACCAUUGGGCUUCUAAAUAGGUAUAAUCUUAUUCUACACUUUCCUAUCUUCAUUUUGAUAUUAUGGAUCGAAUUUGAUUAAGAAACAAUUGAGUUACGAGGCUUUGAAAAUUGCCCAAACUUCCGGCCAAGAGCUCCGGGACACUGAACGGAGUUUUUAACAGAUUGACCACUAUGAUGGAUAGUGAACAAUCUCAGGGACCACUUCUAUUGAUUUGAAAUCUCAGGUACCCAAAUGAGGAGUUAUGCAAAUCUCAGGGACCAUUUUGGCUAAAAAGCCUAUUGUAAAUAACAUGUUUGCACUCCUCAUUGUUCAACUCUUCAUUGAUUCUCUUUGAUUUAUCCAAUCAAUGGGUGUUUGUGCAAUGUAUGCAGAAAAUAAGGGCAUGGAAAGAAAAUAAGAGUUAAAAAAUAACUUCCCUUUGAUUUAUCCAAUCAAUGAGUGUUGGUGCAAUGUAUUAACUCUAUUGGUUGUUUCUCCACUCUUUCUCUUGCUGAACCUCUUCAUUCCCUUUCAGUUAAAUAGGCCAUUAAAUUAAUGUUUUAUUUUAAGGGUAAUGCUAAAGACAUUAAAUUUGUAGACAAAAUUUUGCAAACUAAGUGACAUAGAAGUUGAUGAUUAGAUUAUGGCUUAAGUGUAGAUAAACGUGCUUAAUCAUAUUGGUAACAUAUCAUUUAGUUUACAAAUUUUGUCUCUAUAACAUUACUCGUAUUUAAAACUAUUUAUUCAAGAGCACAACAUUUUUUUUACUAUUUUAUUUUAAACUAUUUAUGCUACAGCACAACAUUUUAAAAGCAGUGCAAUACCAAAUCAUAUGUACUAGAAAAUUAUGUAUCUCCUCGCCUCCUAAGAGCAAGUCCACCCCUGUGGACUUUGCGCCAGCACCCAGCGCAUUUAUCCACUCAAAUGAACAGUAACAGACUCCAAUGAACAGUAAUAGGCCAAGGCAUCUCCACCCCUAAAACUAAAUAGCCUAGUCAAUUUUAUUAAAAUAUUAUUAAUUUUUAUUAUAAAAUAAUAAUUUUUAUUAAAGUACUCUUUGGACUCCAUUCUUCUUUUUCUUCCGUGAUUUUCCAACUGUGCUGUCAAGCACAGUUUCACCACUUUUUCUUCCCUUCUUCUUUUUCUUCUCUUCAAACCACCAAAACCCAUGUGAGAUUAGCCAAGUUCAGCCCUACCCCACGAGCUGCAACCACCAAACGAACCCGACGACCCACAAUCCCACCCAACCUUCCUCCCCGAUCCCCUCACCCACUGGUGCGCCAACCAAAACUGCAAACCCUUCGCCGUCGAUCCUCUCGAUCCCCGGAGCUCAUCCGAUUACGACUGGUUCUCCGACGCCGCCUCCGAUUCAGACCAUGACGUCAGCUACUUCGUCACCGAUCUAUUCAAUCGCUGCAGCUCCGAGCAACAGCCCAAGACCGAGAGGGAGAGUUUUGGAUAUGGAAGCUCGAGUUGGGGUGGUGGUGGAAGGAAAGCAGAGAGCUUCGAAUUCAGCUCAAGGAGAUAUGGCGGUAUCACCUGGCAUCAUGUAGGCCGGGCAAGAGCUCAGCACAUUCUGAGCCGGCCUAGAGACCAGCUUGGGCUGGGUGCCAGCCUAUCUGCUCGGCUGGAAUGGAUUGGCUGGGUGUCGGGCCAAUAAUUUGGCUGGGUGCUGGCCUAAAGGUUCCCCGGUGGAACUGCUCUAAUAACGCGUCAAAUGUCUUUCCCAGCUCGUUCGUUUUCUUUGGGUGAAAUUCAUUGCUCGUUCGUUAAGUUGUAUAUAUGUGUGCUAAAACCAACAAAUAGCUUACAUAUCAUUCUCACUUUCUCAUCAAACUAGAUUAACGAAGAGGAUUAAGGGCCAGUUUAGGAUUGCUGUAUUAAAAAAAACUAAUUAUGUUAUGCUUUAAGAAUAAUCAGCUGUAAAAUAAAGCUGAUGACCGUUUGGUUAAUUGAAUUUUAAAAGUGUUGUGAAUAUGAAAAGCAACAUAAAAGCGUUUGGUAAAAUUUAAUGUAAAAGUGAUAUGAUUGUAUACAAUGAUAGAUGGACAUAGUAGUAGGAGUGGGGGCAACGACAACAGUGGUGGUGGUGGUGGUGGAGGUGGUGGUUGCGGUAGAGGUGGUGGUGGUGGUGGUGGUGGUGCUAAUAGUGGGAUGUGUUGGUUGAGGUGGAAAGGUAACACUAGUGGCAAGGCGUGGUGGUGCUAAUAAUGGGAUGUGUUGGUUGAGGUGGAAAGGUAACAUUGGUGGUAAGGUGGUGGCAGUGGUGGCGAUUGCGGUUAUGGUGGUGUCGGCAGUGGCGGCAAUGAUGGUGGCAAUGACAGUUGUGGUUGUGAUGGCAAUGGUGGCAGUUGCAGUAAUGGUGGUGGUGAUGGUGUUUGCGAUAGCAGCAUCGAUGGUGGUAGUAGUGGUGGUGGCAAUGGCGGCGGUGCGAUAAUGGUAGUGAUGGUGGUGACAAUGAUGGUAGUGAUGAUAGUGGUGGAGGUUGUGGUCAUGGCAGUGGUGGUGACAAAAUUGGUGGUUGUAAUGGCGAUGAUGGCGUAAAGUUAGUAUUUGUAGUGGUAGGUGGUAGCGUUCACUUUAUUCUCUAAGGAAUAAAAUGUGUGUGGAAGGCUAAACAAUGUCAUUUAAAAAAAAUUAAUGAAUGUAUUACAGCAAUUAAAAAUAAUUAUUAUAGACCCAACUUUGCUUUUUAUUAAAGCAACUUACAUGCUGCUUUUAAAAACUGAUGUAUGAAGCCCAUUGUUUGGAGUCUCUUUGUUUUGGUAAAUAUGUCUCUUGCUUCAGUCGGAAUGGGUGCUCUCAGAAUGGCAUUUGAAAUGUUGUUUGAUGCUGUAAAAUUAGCGCAUGAGGAGAAUAAAAUGUUCCAACACCUCUCCCGAGACAUCAUGUCCACACUCGACUCUGUACAACCACUCAUCAAAGACUUCGAGAAAAGUAUAACUCGAGGAGGGAGCAAGCUUUCAACAGUUGUUACUUAAUCUCAGUGGCAUUCCUGAAUCUAGAAGAAAUGUACAUCGACUAUUGCAGUGAUUUAAUAGAGUUGCCUGCCGAGAUUUGUGAACUUAGUAAACUAAAGAAGUUCAGUGUCACUGUCAUAAGCUGUCUGCCAUACUUGAAGGGAUUGGAAAGUCGAAAAAUUUAGAAAUGUUGAGGCUAAGAUCCUGCACAGAACUGUCAAAGCUUCCAACCACGAUGAAGAACCUUGGAAAGGUAAAAUUUCUUGACAUAUCUGUAUGCUUUAGCAUCAAGAUGUUGCCCAAAGACUUAGGUGAAAUGAGUAGUUUAAAGAAGAUCAACAUGAGACAAUGCUCAAGGUUGCAAGAGCUGCCUCCAUCAGUCAUGGAUCUUAAGCAGUUAAAGGAAGUAGUCUGUGAUGAAGAGACAAAAUACUUAUGGGAAUAUUUCUCAUUGUGUCUCAAUAACGUAAGGAUAAUUGUGGCCAGAGAGAAUAUCAACCUAAAUUGGAUCCACAAGACUCAGUUCUGAUACCUGUGUUUCCUCAGAGAACGUUGCUAUUCAACCUCUCUUGACUUGUGUUUCAUUGUCUUCCUAUUUUAGGCUAUUUCCCAUCUCCUUUUCAGUUUACGCCCUUCAUUUCGUAAAUGUGGGAUAUUGCAAGUUAUAAUCAUUUGUCGUUAAAUUAGAACUAUUUUGACAACCUUAAGAAAUUUUCUAAACUUGUGAAAUGUGAAGAGAAAUUUAAUAUCUAAGCAAUAAGUUUAAUGUGAAAAUUGUUUUAUCAGAUGGAAAAUGUGGUUUGUGCUUUUAAUGGGACUUUUUAAACUCUACUCUAACAUAGUUUCACAAUCAAUCCCUAUACACAGUUUCUUAACCUUUUGGUUUGAAAAUCUGUAUGUAUAAUAAUUCAACACCACCAUCUGAUUCAUGCUCUCCAAAAUAAAUUUUAUAAGUAAAAGGAACCAAAAAGAGAAGGUUGAAGAUUCUCCAUAAGACAAGAACUUUUAUGCCACGGGGUCAAGUGUUAAUCUUGUCCUCGAUAAGUUUUUCUAGUAUCUAAACUCACAUUUGUUGGUCAAGUUUCCAGAACUGUGUUCAUAUAUAAUCUGGAUUCAUUACCAAAUCUAGAGGAAUUGAUUGUUAUUGACUAUUGCGAUGAAUUGGUCUCAAACUAUGUUUUCCAACCAACACAGAUUGAUCAGCCUUUUUUUUUUUUUAAAUAAAAAACUGUUUGAUUAGCUUAAACUUAUUUUUCUUGUUCAAACUUUUAAUAGUUAAACUAAUAAAGAAUGGACCAUAUUUUCUUUCUUUUAAAAGUUGUUCACAUAGAAGUGGUCAUUGACAAAGUAGAUAAUGAAUAAACAUUGUAAUUUGGAUGAAAUUACACAAAUUCAAUACUUUAAUUAGAUUUAUAUACUUUAAAUGAAAAUAAAUAAAUUUAAUAUUCUUAGAGAAGGGCACAAUAGAAAUUUCACAACUAAGAAUCGAUUAUAGCAUGCCAAUACUUAAAUAGCCGACUUGGCUUUGUAAUGGGAAGGGUACAAAGAAAUUUCACAACUAAAAAUUAAUUAGAUCAUGACAAUUAGGUAGAUGAGGGGUUCUUUUCUCCAAAUGAACUCUUGAAGUAUUUUUAUAGAAAACUUAUAGUUUUGAAACAAAUAAUUGUACAUUAGAAAAAGAUAGCUCAUAGUUUCACUGAAAAAGAGAGUUGAUUUUUAUUAAUUAGCAUUGAAGAUUUUGCCUAUUAAAAAGAUGUGGGUCUCAUCUUUUUAAUAGAGGUAUGACCCAUCAAUACAUAUUAAUCUCAUCUUUAAUAACAUUUUUUUUGCAAAAAUUAUUAGGCACUGCUUCCUAAUAAAGUAAACAAGGUCAAAGGAGGACAAAGUGGUUUUCUUUUAGCACUAAUACUCUUUUCGAAACUAUAGAUUUGAUUGUAUGAACAAUAAAGUCAUUGUACAAUUUAAAUUUAAAACUCAUAAAGAAAAUUAUACAAGGCAUAAAAAGUUUAUUAAUCAACAUUGAAACUUUUGUGCAUAUUCUAUGAAAACAUAAGGAAACUUUACUAUGGUCUCCUCACAAGAAAUUCUCAACUCUUUCAUUUUUCGUGAAUUUCUGACACACGCUAAAGGGGAUGAAUUCUUCAAUGAAAUUUUGAUACGCAUAAAAAUGAGACCUAUUCGUAAGUUUAUUGAAAAUAAUGAAGCGCAUAUGAGUACUCCAGCCCAUAAUACAAUUUCCUUGUGUUUUCAUAGCAUAUGCACACAAAAUAUAAUGUUGAAAAAUAAGUUUUAUUUUUUAUGUAUAUAAGUAUAAUAUUUUCUCAUCUUCUAGUACAAGUUUUGUGCAUAUUCUACAAACCCAAAAAAUAAAUUAAAAAUCAACAUCUUAGCAAUAUUUUCUCAAAAAAAUUAAAUAAAAUAAAUUUCACGGUAAACAAAUAUACUUUUCCACACUAAAUUUUGCAAAUAUUCUAUGAAAAUAUAAGGAAAUUACACUAUGGUCUCAUCUAAAAAAAUUCCAAGAAAUUCCUAGCUCUAUCAUUUUUCGUUAACCUAUAAUUCAUGCAAACGAGAUCAAAUUAUCAAAGGACGUAUGAUACACGUAAAUGAGGUCAAUUUAUAAGUGCAUUGAACAUGGCAUAUCAUGUGAAUGGGAAUAAAGAAGCAUAUAAGUUUCUUAUGUUUUCAUGGCAUGUGCACAAAAAGUUUUAUUGGUGUUGAAAAUUUUAUAAUGUAUAUAAGCAUAUUUUCUCAUCUUGUUGUAUGCUAAAAGGAGCAGAUAGCGGCAUCUUCAUAAUAAAUUCUCUAACUAACUUACACCAAGCUUAUGAAUUCACUCGCAAAAAAAAAAUUUGAACUGAAAAAAAAAAAAUCUUACACUAUUCUCUAAUGAAAUAAGAAAGGUCAAAAUGAGGGCAAAGUGACUUUCUUUUAGCACUAAUAAUAUUUUUUUUUUUUUUGAAUAAACGAUAUUAUCUACCCUAAGAGGGUGGGGGAGUAGGCUAAGCCUCACAAUAGCUGGCAGUAAUGUGGUUCAAUGUGGUUCAAAUUUGUCUUUUGUGGAAAUCGAACCUAAGACCUCUCACUUACAAGUGAAGAGAAACAUCACUCAACCGUAGUACUAAGUGGCCUAAUAUGUCACACCCCGACCCGGAAUGUCCAGUAGGACUCCGAAUCGAGCUGUGCUGACCGACACCUGGAAGGUGACGAAGUCAUAAAAUGUGAUGAUGUGGAAAAAAAAUGAAUAAAUUUAAACCUAAAAGUGCAUAAAUACAACAGUGCGCCGCGAACGGAAAUGAACCCAUUUCACACGUGACGUCAAAGCAUAAAUAAAGUACAAUAGAGUGGAUUGAAAAUCAUACCAUCAAAGGUAAUCUCCAAUACCAAGACUUGCCAUGAAUCCUCGUCGAUAUGAAAGCUUUGCUACUAGACUUGGAGGGACAAAACAAGAGUAAGUGGCCAGAACAUAAAGCUUUAAUAAAGACCUUCUAAACGAUAUAAUCCCUCACCGUAACACCUGUUUAGCUUCCAAAAAAUCAUACUACGGAUAAGUAUGAAAUCAAAAGUAUACUAACAUUAAAUCCAGAAGUAUACCACGACACAGCAUCUCAAUAACAAUAUAAAUAAUCAAGUGCUUAAUAACCCAUACUAGCACGCCAACCAUAUCUCAUCAAUCAAUACUAACACAUAAGUCGGAGUCACCUGUAGUGACCUGUACAACUUAUCCACAUCUCAUUAAUCAAUGCUAGCUCAUAAGUCGAAGUCACCUAUAGUGACCUAUACGACUUAUCCAUAUCUCAUCAAUCAAUGCUAGCUCAUAAGUCGGAGUCACCUAUAGUGACCUGUACGAGUUAUCCAUACCUCAUCAAUCAAUGCUAGCUCAUAAGUCGGAGUGACAUAUAGUGACUUGUACAACUUAUCCAUAUCUCAUCAAUCAAUGCCAGCUCAUAAGUCGAAGUCGCUUAAAACAUCAUAUAGUCAUGCCAUCACUCGAUCGUUCCAAAUAAAAUGUAAUCAUAAUUAUGCAUCCCACAUUUCACAACAUAUACUCACCUGAACUUAUCUAUGCAUCCUGCACUCACCUUCGUACUUUAAAGCAUUCAUAAUAAUUAUGUGCAAUAUAUACUUAUGGACAUGCCUUGAUGCAAUUCAAAACUUAACCAUAUCAUAGUGCUUCCAAAUAUAUAUAUAUAUAUAUAUAUAUAUAUAUAUAUAUAUAUAUAUAUAUAUAUAUAUAUAUAUAUAUAUCAAUACUGUGGCGUAAAAUGCACAAUCUAUAACGCCCUACUCCCGAACUAUUAAUUUUUAGGAAUAAUUAUUGGUGACAAGCUCAACUAAACAUUAGUUUAACUAACUAUCAAUACUUACAAUUCUUUACUUCAAAUUCUCGAUCCUUCACACAAUGAUUUAUGACCAACAUCCAAUCACUAAAUCAUAAGGUUAACUCUCACAUUUUCCACCAAUGUCCCUCACCUUGCACAAUUUCCCAAACAAGGCUAUUGCCUCAAUUAUUUAAUCUCAUUUAUGUUAUGGCUACAUCUAACGUCUCGUUAGACUGCCUACGUACCCUAAACAGAAAUCAAGCCAUUCGUAGUUCGCAUUAGUACUUCACAGCAUUCACAGUAAUUAUAUGAAAUAAUCAAUUUAUAAGCAUUUGUGGAAUUAUCAAUAUAUAUAUAUAUAUACACACACGAUAGAAAGGAAGAGACCCACUCACCUGAGGUCCGCGCUAUGACUCCCUAGCAUGAAUAUUGCGACAUCACGAACCAUCAUCGCCUAUAACAAUUAUCAAAUCACGUCUCAAAGUUCUUAUCAAUAAAAUAUGCAACUUACAUAACAUACAUCCCUGCGUAGUUCGAUUCGGAAGAUCCGCAUCACGGAUUUCCGAUCCCUUACUUCCAAAGAUCCACAUUAUACUUCUAGAACAACAUCCUAAAGUUCCAUUACGAUCCAACAGUCGGAUUUCCACCAAUUGCCAAAACCAAGUGGCGGUUAAUAUUUUAUUUUAUGAACUUAAAAAUCCAAUUCGGGAAGAUCCGUAUAUUGGAUUCCCGAUCCGUAAGUUCCUAUGGCCCUUAAAUAUCACGUACUAUAACAUAUUAAAGUUUGGGGACAAUCCAAUAGUCGGAUUGUCGAUUCAAAUAAUGACCUAUUAACGUAACAUAGAGAAUUUAGGUUCCAACAAUCAACCUACAUCAUACAAUUACCAAAACUGAGCUCAAGGUAUCUAAUUUAGCCUAAGAAUAACAUCGACUGCCCCCUGGCCACGCGACACCGCACGCACCGCCGUGGGUGGCAGUCGACCGCCCCGACUCGCCGGAAAAUCCAACUAUUUCCAAAAAUUACCAAAAUUUACAAGAAUGAAGAUCUCAAUGAGUAGAGUAAACUUUAUACAUGUGGCCAAUUCCAAUUUGGCCGGGAAAAGCUUCAAUUUCACUCAAACCUGCCGAAACCUAGAAAAUGGUGUGCUCCAAUUCGACCUCCAUACUCAUUCUGACGCCUCGACCAUUGCUUGGGCUUUAUGGUAAUUGGUUGGGUUAGCUUCAAUUUUUUACUGAUUGUCUCCAUACACCCACAGGGCCCACCGUCGGUUUUUCCUCCAAAAUACCACCAAAUUCUUCUAAUUUUGGGAUGAAAAUGGAAGAGAGAGAGUUAUGGUGGUAUUUCCAAGUAGUGAUUCAACACAAUUCACCGGAAAUUGGCCGGAAAAUGCACGAAUUUGGCCUUGAUACUCGGCCGGGUCGCACGGGUCAAGAAGGAGACCCGAUUUCCCCCUCUUUCUCACCUUCCUUCCUUUCCCUCCUUUCCUUUCUCUCUGGUUGGUCAGUCUCAUCUCUUCAUUUCCUCCGAUUGAGCAGCAGCCCUUCUGUCUUCUCUCUCCCGUUCCCCCCACUUCUUCUUUCUCUUUUUCAACUUUUAAAAAUCACUAAAUGAUAAAUAAAAUAUAGACAUUAUAAAAAUAUAUAAAUAGUGACUAAACAAAAGUACUUCUCGGGUUUACAGUUCUGUAAAACUUUAACCGUAACCCUAAAUCCUUUUCUGCUUACACCUAUGAGUCCGUAAUGUUGAGUACUUCAGGAAAACGCUAAAGGAUUAAUUCAUACACCUCGAUAUACGUUGGUCAACGGAAGUCAAGACCCUCGCCUCUAAGGGCAUUUUCGUAAAAACACACUUUUAAAUUUUGUAAAAACAUAAGAUUAGGGACGGGUCGUCACAUAAUAAUAGUUCUUUGAAAAACUAUAUAUUUGAUUGUAUAAACAAUAAAGUCAUUGUUUAAUUCAUAUUUAAAUUAAAACUCAUAAAGAAAAUUAUAAUUGUCACGCCCCAAUCCCGACAUACGUCCAAGAUCGACAUGUGAUGUUAGCUCAUCCCUGUUUAUUUAUCAUGUCUCGUCUCUGAGACAAUUCCAAAACGCAAUCAAUGAUUCAACCAAGCAGUGACUUUCCUUUAUUUCAUGGCUGAAUCUAACCUUUGCGUUAGACCCCAUACGUACCCUAAAUAGGGAUCAAGCCAUUCGUAGUUCACCAUUUACUACACUCUGACGUUUAUCAUAGUACAUUCUAACAGAAGGGCAUAUCAUCCCUCAAUCAAUUAUUAGAACUGGAAAAGCAUGAAAUUACUAGAUUCAGGGCUACAUAAUAAACCCACAUGACAAUCAAGAUUUCCACUUCAUCCAUCAUAUAAAUCACUAUGUUUCAACAUAAUACUGCAAUUCAUAGCAUGCAACAUCUAAAAGAACAAUCAACGAAGCGCAAUAUUAUUCUCUAGUCACAUUGGUCAAUGAGUCUAAUCGUAAUAAUAACAAUCAUAUCCAAUAUCGUUCCACAAUCACUCCAAUUAAUCAAUUCCAUGAAUCAAAGAAGAACGAUAUUAACAUUUAACUACGUUCAUCAAUCAAUAAGAUAACAUAUUAAUUCACAAAAUUUAAUAAAGGAAUCCUAUAUAAUUUCCUACUUGGAUUCCAAGUAAUAACAUGAUAAAUCUAAUUUAUAAACACAAUGUCUACUGUGAGCAAUUCCUAUUCACUCGAAUCUAGGGGCCGGACUAACUUUAUGGAAAUGAUAAAGAAUAAGGAUUCCGGACACUCACCGGAAUCCAACUAAAUUAUGGUUGCCUAUCAAACUAUACUAACCCUCAUCACCCCUGGAAUGCGUAUGGUCCCCAAUUGUGGAUAUACCAAGCAGAACCAUAGGCAUAAUCUAAGCGUGCAGGCAGUGAUCACCCAUCAUGGAUAUACCAAGUAUGAUCACCCUUGAAAUACGUAUGGUCCCCCAUCGCGGAUAUAACAAGCAGGACCGUAUCCUAUAGCUCUAGGUAGUGAGCACCCAUCGAGGAUAUACCAAGCAUGGUCACUCCUAGAAUGCGUGUAUGGUCCCCCCAUUGUGGAUAAACCAAGCAGAACCAUAUGCAUAGUCUAAUAAUGUAGGCAAUGAUCACCCAUCGCGGAUAUACCAAUCAUGAUCACUCCUAAAAUGUGUAUGGUCCCCCAUUGCGGAUAAACCAAGCAGAACCAUAAGUAUAGUCUAAUCGUGCAAGCGGUGAUCACCCAUCGCAGAUAUACCAAGCAUGAUCACCCUUGAAAUACGUAUGGUCCCCUAUCGUGGAUAUACCAAGCAGGACCAUCCUAACCACUGCUACAUGGUGCAGUCACAUCAAUACACAACAAGCACCAAAUUAAUAUGAAUCAUAAUUCCUAGCAUACACACCAUCAAUUCGACAAGACAACGAUCAUUGAAUCACAUCAUACACAUUCUAUAACAUGUGUCUAUGCCGAAAUAUAUAAAAUUAACUUUUUUUUACCAAAAUAAUUGUACAUACAUGAUUGUACCACAAUAUAUUAUAAUGAACCUAAAUGUAUGUACCAAAAUGUAUUCUAUAGAAUUAAUGUACCUAAAUGUUAGUACCAAAAUGUAUUCUAUAGAAUUAAUGUACCUAAAUGUUAUGUACCGAAAUAUAGUAUAUUAAAUUAAUGUACCUAAAAGUCAAUACUCAAAUGUGUGUACCAAAACGUACGUACCGAAAUGCAUUAUAUUGAAUUAAUGUACCUAUAUGUUUGUAUCGAUGAAUAUACCUAAAUAUUCAAAUGUAUUAAUGUACCUAAAUGAAGAACAUACAAAAUUGUUAUCAGAAUAUAUAUUAUAAAAAAAUUAGUUGCUUAAAUGUAGACAUUAAAAUAUAUUAUGAUGAAUGAAAUAAAAAUUAAAUUUAAAUGUAAUUAAUACAUUAAAAUAAAAAUAAAAAGAUAAAUAAAACAUCAAAAUAUAACUAAUAAAUGAGAUUAUUAAAUGUACUAGGCAUUAGAGCAUCUCCAAAGGAGAUGUCUAAAUUGCCAUGUAGGCAUACAACAAUAAAAAAUGGUAGCAAACUCUCUCCAAUCGAGCCUUCAAUUUCUUACAUGGCGCUGAGUCAUUUGAAGGCAAAGCAUUUUGCUGUUAUGUUUUUGAAAUAUUUGAUUGGUUGCCUUAAUAAUUGGACUCCACAAAAAGAUAAAAAAUUUAUUAAAUGACAUUAUUAUUUACUAUAUCGGAUGGAGCAAAAUAUUGUACAAAAUGUCAAAACUGCCACAUAAGCUAUCAACUAUCAUUUUUUAUGUUUAAAAUUUGACAUCUCCUUUGGAGAUGCUUUUACAAAGCAAAUCACAUCCAAAAACAUUGAAAGGAAGAAAUCAUUAAAGUAAAUAAGCAAAUGUGCAUCCACAACCCAAUUAAAAAAAAAUAAAGGAAACCACUUACAUAGAAAGGAAUCUCAUGAGAAGAGAAUUAAACUUCUCCCUUGGCUUAAAGUCAGAUUUCGAUGAAUUGGUCGGAAUUUUUUGUUUCUCCGUCGGGUGCUUCUUUUCUUGCCCUUGUUCUGCCCUGCGUGGUCAUUUCGAAGGAAAAUCGGGGUGGUAAAUGUGUUAGGGUUAUUGAUGCUUAGAUUGAUAUAAGAUUUGUCGAAAACGAUAACCGAAUGAAAAAGAUGUGAAGAUUUGAAGUUAGAGGAGCCAAAUGGAGAAGAGAAAAAAAAAUCAAGAACAGCAGCAGAGCUGCUAGUUUCACACGCAGUUCGAAUUUACCAAAAUCCCCUUUUAUUUAGAAAAUUCGUAAAUUUCUCGUUCGAAUUUCAAACUCCAAUUUGUUUGCGCUUACGUGUUCAUAGUAACAUGUACUAUCUAAUUAAAUAUCCGAAGAACAAUAGAAAAAUAUGAAAGGAUCAAAUACAUCCAUGUAAAAUCUCGUUUAGCACAAGAGGGGCAUCUUCAUCUUUUAACCAUUUCAAGAAAAAAUUAAACGCAGCAAAUAUAAACGCGUCGAAACUAAGAAUACAAAAUACCUAAUUUUAAAUCGUGAAAUCCGGAGAUGGGGGUUCACAAUAAUAUUUUAGGAAAUACAUUUAUGUGGAGCCAAAAAUAAUCACAAGGCGACACGUGGAUUUUUUAGUGAAAGAGGACCAAACUACCCUUGAGGCACACCGGGAUUCCUACAUGCGAGCAACUCAAAAAUGCUCCAAAGAGGUAACAAUUCAACAUUCAUCUCAUCAAAUUCCCUUUUUUGCAAAGUAACCUCCAAAAUAAUAUUAAUUGGUAAAUUAAUAGAUUAAUUAUCCAAUUAAUCCAUUAAUUACCUAUUAAAUUAUACAAUUUAACCUAAAAAUUGUUAAAGGGCUGGCUACUUCCUUUUCAUCCUCACCUUUCUCACUUUUCUCCAUUUUAUUAACCCAUUUAUACAAAUAAAUAAUUUUGUAACCUCCCGCCGAGCAGCCCAUUCUCGUGGCCCAGCCUGCUCCCGCCGAGCAGCCCAUUCUCGUGGCCUAGUCUGCUUCCACGGCCCAGCCUGCUUCUGCCGAGCAGUCCACUCUCGCGGCCCAGUCUGCUUCCGCCGAGUAGCCCACUCUCAUGGCCCAGUCUGCUCCCGCGGCCCAGCCUAUUCCUGCUGAGCAGCCCACUCUCGUGGCAUAGCCUGUUUCCGCCAAGCAGCCCACUCUCAUGGCUCAGUCUGCUUCCGCGGUCGAGCCUACUUCCGUAGCAUUCCAAGCAGCCCAAAUCGGCUCAAGACUAUUUCGACCAUUCGGACCAACCAUCAAGCCGAGGGCAUUUUCACCAUGUUUCUCUGUGGAUUUGACAUUUCCCAAUUUAAAUCUCGCGCCCGGAGCCUACCACACUUCCACUGCUCAAUGAGGCACAUUCCUUCCAAGCUCUUUCAAUCCAAAUGGCAAACAACACUUGUCUCGACAAGUUAUAGAGUUGAUGAGCGCCCUUGCACAACAAACGACCUUGGUGAAUCAACUUUUGCAGCUCACCGAGAUCCAACGUGCCCCGAACGAGGUGUCACGAAGUAGGAUAAGGGCAGACGAAUCUUUCCAGUAGCGUCAAAUGCAAGCAGCCACUCGAUCAGCCAUGAGCCGAGCGUUCAGGCAGUGUACAUUCCCGAUUAGGCCCCCAAGAUAGCGUAUACUCCCGUCUUAGCGCGCGGAUGAGUGUGCACUCUUGAUUGGGCCCGAAGACAAGUAUACACUUACGGUUGGAGUCACAUUCCGAUAAUCAACAUAAGAAGCCUUUCAGGCAAAGUGUUUAUUCGCGGCUGGGCCUGCAAGGAGUAUCCUCCACAUUACAUCAGAGCAGGCAGCACGACGGAUAGAGAGAAACAGUCACUCAAUCUGCCUCAAGUUCAACCGGCAGUCUGCGAAGGAGUAUCCUCCACAUUACAUCAAAGCAGGCAGCACGACGGAUAGAGAGAAACAGUCACUCAAUCCGCCUCAAGUUCAACCGGCAGUCUGCGAAUAAUUCCCUUGUUUGCCAAGAGUGGACCACAUGCACCCUGCCACGACGUAGACGAGCUGAGAACAUGGAAAAGUAGCCUAGACCAGUAGGUCAAGACCGGGGCAACCGAUAGCCCUGCCACCCCCAACAAAGGUAAAUUUAGGAAGAAGUAGAAAGGCUCAUGACCAAGCGAUUGCGUAAUUUCCCGCACAACGAAGUUAUUAAUAAGACACUCCGAUGAGACAUGACCAACAUAAGCGAGUCAUCUUUCAAUGACAAGAUCGAGCAGAAGGGAUUACCCCACAUAGAUUGUCGAAUAUAAAGAUAACUUCUGCUCUGACAAACAUAGCAGCUCAGCCUAAUGGCGCACCGGGGGCAAACGAGUACCAAAAGGACACAUUAACCCAACUACCAAGAACCGGGGGCAGGUUAAGGAUUAUUUCAGUUGUCUCAUCAGUCUAGCUUUCCUCAGCUGCACUCACAACAACGACUUCCAUGCUCUCCAGUGCGAUAGGGUAAACCAAUUCCCCGACACCCAAAAGGGUAUGUUCUCUAGUGCGAGAGGUUAAACUAAUAUGCUUUCCAGUGCGAGAGGGUAAACCAAUUCCCCAACACCAAAAAGGGUCUGCUCUCUAGUGCGAGAGGUUAAACUAAUUGCUCUCCAGUGCGAGAGGGUAAACCAAUUCCCCGACACCCAUAUGGGUAAGCUCUCGAGUGCGAGAGGAUAAACUAAUUACUCUCCAGUGCGAGAGGGUAAACUAAUUUCCCGACACCCACCUAGGUAAGCUCUCCAAUGCGAGAAGGCCACAUAGUUCAAAAGAUCAAAUGCUUGAAGAUCAACUAAGUAACAAAUGGUUAGGGGGUAGCAGCUACUUUUACACUUAACAGUUCGAUCAUCCGACACUUCGUCUUCGACAACUCCGAUCUUGGCAACUUCAUCCUUGACUACUCCAUCUACGACAUCUGAGAAAUCAAACUCAAGCAGUUUCCUCAUUUUUGGCAAACAGCCCAGACGUGGCAGCCCAAAUCGUUGUCCAUGCCACGCCAUUUCCUCGGCCUAUGCUGAGCCAAUCCUUGGCUUCAAUCAAGCCAAGUAACACAAACAAUGGCCUUUGCCACAUCACCUCCUUGGCCCAUGCCAAGUCGACUCCUGGCCCCUACCAACCGAUGUGCCGUACCACCCCGAUGGUUGCCCCGUGGCAGCACCUUUCAAGAAGAAGAUAAGGAGAAUUAAGUUUUUCUUACAUCGGUGCGGCGUGGAGAAGACGAAGAAAGCAACGAAAAACGGUCUUUUGCACGGGCAAGAUAUAGAAGAUUGGUAGAGGAGGGGGAACAAGUAUCAUCUAAGCUCUCUCUCUCUCUCUUGUAGGGUAGAAUAAAUCACUUUUCAAAGUUGAUUUAAUAACCCACUUAAGGUGGACUUAAAUAAGCUUUGGGAGAAAUUUAUUUUCCUUUCCUAGAAGGAUCUAAUUUCAUAUUAAAGAGGGAAUCUACAUCAAAAUAGGAAGCAGUUCUAAGUUUCCUAGAGCAAGAAGAUCUCUACACCUGCUGCCUUUUUCUACGAGUAGUCCAGCAGGUGUGGGGGCAUUUGUGGAGCCAAAAAUAAUCACAAGGCAACACGUGGAUUUUUUAGUAAAAGAGGACCAAACUAUCCUUGAGGCACACUGGGAUUCUUACAUGCGAGCAGCUCAAAAAUGCUCCAAAGAGGUAACAAUUCAACAUUCAUCUUAUCAAAUUCCCUUUUUUUGCAAAGUAACCUCCAAAAUAAUAUUAAUUGGUAAAUUAAUAGAUUAAUUACCCAAUUAAUCCAUUAAUUAACUAUUAAAUUAUACAAUUUAACCUAAAAAUUGUUAAAGGGCCGACCACUUCCUUUUCAUCCUCACCUUUCUCACUUUUCUCCAUUUUAUUACCCCAUUUAUACAAAUAAAUAAUUUUGUAACCUCCCAUUUACUUCUUUCAUACUUAAUUAGCCUAUAAAUUGGCUAAUUAAGCCAAAACCAUAACCACAAAAUCCCUUGAAAAACCGGCCAUCCUAGCCCUAUAAAUAGGCUCCUAUUUUCACCAAACACUCAUUCGAAUACUUUGGCAAAAAUCCCAAAAAACUCUCCAAAUACUUUUCUCUCUAAAUUCUAACUUUGGCAUUGGAGGUUCUUCGGCCAAAGCCCCCCCCAUUCAUCGUGGGCGCGUGAGGCUCUUGGCCUUGACCUAAGGUGUUAAUUGUUUUGUAGGUGCAAUUUUGUCCAAGAAGAAGAAGGUGGGAAUUUGCAUCCACAAUUUAUACUUACAAAGACAUACAAAUUUUACUAAUCAACAUUGAAACAAUUGUGCAUAUUCCAUGAAAGCGUAAUGAGAUUAUAAAAUAGUCCCCCACAUGAAAUUUUCAGAUCUACAAUUUUCGUAAACUUGUGAUACACGGUAAAUGUGUGAAUUCUUCAAUGAAUUGUCUGGAGCCUAAAAUAAUUCCAAAAAUUCUAGAGGCAACACGUGGACUUUUGUUCGAGAAAGACAAGAUUGCCCUCAAUAACUGGACAUGCUCCUCAGAUACUCCCAUGCGCAGCUUACACCCCUGAAGGUCUCAACAGUUAAAUACAGUCUACACAUAGCUCACCUGCCCUUAGCAAGGAAAAGUCAAAGCAUGAAAGAUAAGGAUUAAUUACCCAAAUCCUAUCUUUAAUACAUUCCCAAUUGAAGAUUAACUCCAAUCAAGUAAGUAAUCCCAAUUUAAAUCAAUUAGGGAUAAUUACUCCAUUAUCUCAAGAUAUUAUUUCCUAUUUAAUAUCUUGAGAAUAUUUCUCCAUAAACAUUGAUCAAUAGGAUGCCGCCAUGUGUAGGGUAAAACCCUAACACUAUGGCCAGCCCUCUCCCUUAUAUAUACCCCAUAUUCUACCAAAUUUCAAAAGCUUUUGCUACCCUAAAAAAGCCCUAAUCACUUUACUCUCUCAGAGAAACUGAUUUAGGCAUCGGAGAUCCAUUGGCCUAACGCCCUCCCCUCCACCUUGUGGGCGCGUGAGGCUUAGGUCUUUGAUCAAAGGUGUUGAUUGUUUUGUAGGUGCAUUUUCGUUAAGACUGAAGACAGUGGAAAUUUGCAUCGACAAAUUAGUGCUUUCAUUGAGAGCUGAUUCAAAUACUUGAAGAAGCCUUUUGCAUUUGGUUUCUAGAAUUUUCUGUUACGUUGAAUUUCUCACAUGUAUCAAUUAGUUUUUCCUAGAAAAGUUUCUUGAUCAAUCCCUAGAGAAAGGAUAUAAUGGUAGAAAAUUCAAAAACCACGACGAAAGGAGUGUAAGUACAAGGACUUGGACCGGAGAGUGGAGAUGAGGACAUGGCCACACGACGGCGAUCCUCAAGGCUCAAUGGGAUGGCAGGAGGAUCCCCACUGCCACGGAAUCGCACCACCACCGUUGCCGCGACCCAGUAGCCACGACAAGGCCACCAGGCCACGGCUCAGGCUCCUACAACGCUGCCCUUGCAGUGGCCCAAUCCCCAAAACCCUGGGCAGGAGGCCUAAAGCCUGGCAGCUAGCACAGCAAGCCCAGGACAGGAGGCCCAGCCCACCGCAGUAGCAAGCUGCAUCGCGGACCUAAGCCCACAAGAGCCUAGUAGACCUGGCCCAGCCAGUAGGAGCAGCCCAAGGACAGGCGGCCCAAGCCCAGCUCACUGCUAGCCGAGCCCAAGCUUGUGAGGAGCAAGGAGCGGCCCAGCGUCAGCCAGCCCACGCGCUACCCUAGAGCGUCCCCACACAGACUCUAAUUGCGCAGAUUAAAGUCUAUUUUAACUAGUACAUGCUUACAUAUAUUGUGUGAACAAUUUCAUUUUAUUUUGCUUUGUAUUAUAAAGUGUUGAUUAUUUUAAAAAUUCUCGAAAAAGCUUACAUGAGGUGCUUGGAUCAGAGUCGAUCGUUUUCGAGUCGUAACCCUUUUCGGGGCAGUGAGGAAGAUGGUGGCUUGGUAGUUGGGUUUGGGUGAUCUUAGCCUCUUAUGAAGCUUUUCUAUUUUUUAUUGUUAAGUUUCUUUUUAUUUAUUUGUUAUUAAAUUUUGUGGGAUCCACAUGUGUAUCACGUUAGCAUUCUAACAGAAGUUUUGACGAAAAUAUAAUGGCAAAUUGAUUUGUGGCAUCCAAUUCAAAUGUUACACUGAUCGAUUUCAAUUUCAAAUGUCACCUUAAUUAAUGCGUCAAUUUCCGAAUAUUUGCGUUGAAGACACAUUUUAGAAAAAUCUACUACACAACGUGUGGGGUGUUGAUUUGAAAACGCACGGUCAAGCACGGUAAUACCAAAAUAUUUGGAAUGGCCAUGGGGAAAAUUCCGUAUCUCGUCUCGCUUGAACUCGUUCGCUAACCUAUAUAUGUGUGCUGAAACACAGAGUCGAAAACAAACAACGCACGUAACAUUCUCAGCUUCUCAUCAAACUAGAUUAUUUUACUUUCUCUCUGUAAACCGUUGGAAUUUCUGUUCUUUCAUCACCCAAGAACAGAUUACGUAAUUGAAUUAAGUUUUGAGUCACUUUGUUUCCUAAAUUAUGUCUGUAGUUUCGGUCGGAAUGGGUGCUCUGAGAACGUCAUUUCAAAUGCUGUUUGAUGCGGUAAAAUCAGCGCAGGAGGAGAAUACAAUGUUCCAACACCUCCUCGGAAACAUCAAAUCCACACUGGAAUCUCUACAACCACUCAUCAAAGACAUCGAAAAGUAUAACUCCAAGGAGGGGCGGGAAAAUUAUGCAAUACAGAUGGAGGAAGGAGCAAAGCUUGUUCAAAAGUGCAGCAAAGUUGGCGUGGGGAGAAAACACGCAUACACAAAGAAGCUUAAUCAACUGGACAAGUCUCUUCGAAGAGUCUUUGAUGUGCUUAAACUGCAGGUUAUGAGGGAUGCGAGGGAGACGUUGGUUCCUUUGAGGAAAAUCGAGACGGUGCUCUCUCGAAUAGAAGAGAGAUUGAAGAUAAAAAAUAACCAGCCUGAAAUGGUUAAAUGUUCGUCUGCGGUGCCUGAAGCGCCAUCGGUUACAGUCGGGUUGGAUUUGCCGUUGAAGGAGUUGAAGGUUAAGCUCCUUAAGGAUGAAAAGGUGUCUAUGCUUGUGCUGACCGCUGCUGGAGGAUGCGGGAAAACCACCUUGGCUAAAAUGUUUUGUCAAGAUCAAGAAGUCAAAGGUAUGCUAAUUAAAAAGUAAUACACCGUGUAGAGGAUUAUGCAAGUAGAACUACGCGCUAGGGCCUAUAAAAUGUCCGCUAUACUCCCUCCAAACAUACACAGUAACCAAAAUUUGUUAAAGAAAAACAACGAAGGAGACAUGAAACUAAAGCGCACGAAAGGAAUAUAAGAAAGAUUAGAAAGGCCUAAAUGGGCAUGCCCAACAAAUAACAAGUGGUAGUGAUAUGAACUUGGCAUGAUUUUCUUUGUACUAAUUGUAAGUUAAGCUGAUGCCUUCCUCUUAGAGUUAACAGGUCUUGCAAUGAGCUACUGCUUGAUUACUUGGUCUCAGAAUUGCAGACAUAUCUAGUCAACCUUUUAUUAACACCUUUCCUACAUUCUGUUUGGAUAGAUACAUUCAAGAACAACAUCUUCUUUGUCAAUGUCUCGAAAAAGCCCAACUUGGACCUUAUUGUACACGAACUAUAUCAACGGAAGGGGUCCGAGCUGCCUGCUUUCGAAAACGAAGUCAUGGCGGCUAAAUGGUUGCAACAAUUUCUGAAGGAAUCAAGACAAAAUCCUCUACUGUUUGUCCUGGAUGAUGUUUGGUCAGAAUCAGGGUCCCUUCUUGAGAAGUUUGAUCAAUUCAAGUUUUCAAAUUGCAAGAUUUUGGUCACAUCAAGAUUUGCAUUUCCAAGAUUCGGUUCUCCUUAUCAUUUGGCACCAUUGAAUGAUGAAGAUGCAAUGGAUCUUUUUCACUAUUCUGCAUCCUUGGAGGAUAAGAGCUCUUAUACUUAUGAAGAUCUUUCGAGAAAGGUGAUUUCUUAGUCCACAAUACACACACACACACACAUACAUAUAUAUGCUUAUUUAUGCCCCAGAAGAAGGUAAAGAAAUAACAUUUGAGCAUCCACACACGUUAAUGAACUGUGAAGAAUGAAGUAAGAAGAAUGAAAGACUAGACAGUUUACAAUUUUAUCAUCUUUAUGAAACCAUUUAGAUGAUUUUCAACAAUUUAAUCAAAUAAUAGUAAUUGAAUUCAUUUUGGAUAAUUAAAUUGCAGAUUAUCAAGCGCUUUAAGGGAUGCCCACUUGCCAUUGCAUUGGUUGGGAGAUCACUUCGCGGCCAGCCUAUAGAAAUCUGGCACAAAAGAGUAGUGGAAUGGUGCAAAGGUUCAUCUAUUCUUGAUUCUGACAGGGAUUUACUUGCUUGCCUCCAAAGCAGCUUAGAUGCCUUGGAUAAAGAGAAGGCUAUCAUCAAGGAAUGUUUCCUCGAUCUAGGUUCUUUUUCGGAGGACCAAAGAAUUGCUGCUGCCGCCCUCAUUGAUAUGUGGGCGGAGUUAUAUGGUCUAGAUGAAGAAAUUCUGACCAUUGCCAACCUUCAUGAGCUCACCGCCCGAAGUUUAGCUACUCUUGUUGUCACAAGGUAUGCGGGCUGCUCAUAAUUUUCUAUUUCAUUAUGUAUGCCGAACAAAUCAUUAAAGAAUUAAGCAUCGAUCAUCCAGGCAUGAGAGGGAGGCGGAUGGCUAUUACACUGAACACUUUGUCACCCAGCACAACAUGCUUAGAGAGUUGGCGAUCCAUCAGGGGAGUCAAGACCCAAUAGAACAUAGGAAACGACUAUUUAUAAACAUAUGCGGGGACAAACUUCCUAAGUGGUUGACAGAACAAAAGUAUCAAGCAAUCAAGGCUCGACUGUUAUCUAUCUCAACAGGUUCCAUCAAUCUCUCUUUAGUAAAUACUUAUACAUGUGCGCUCGGGACAUGGUUUGUGUGCACACACACACACGCUCAUUCAUACUAAAACUUCAAUAGGACUUCCACACAUUUAGGCUAAUAUCUUAAAGCUUAUUGUUUGCAGAUGGAGCCUUCUCAGCAAAAUGGCCAAACAUGCAAGCACCUGAAGCAGAGGUUCUAGUUCUGAAUUUUCAAACAAAGAACUAUGCCUUACCUGAGUUUGUGGAGAAAAUGGAUAUACUAAAGGUUCUAAUACUAAAAAAUUAUGGUUUGUUAUCUGCUGAACUAGAUAAUUUUGAACUACUUGGUUCGUUAUCAAAUCUUAAGAGAAUUAGAUUAGAACGUAUUUCAAUUCCAUCCAUAAGCAAGGUCCUUAAACAGUUGAAAAGUUUGCAAAAGAUAUCUUUUUUCAUGUGUGAUAUCGGCCAAGGUUUCGUCCAAAUUUUAGAUGCUCUGCCAAAUCUAGUGGAAUUGAACAUAGAUUAUUGCCAUGAUCUGGUGCAACUUCCUGCCAACCUCUGUAACCUUGUUCACCUUAAGAAGCUUAGCAUCACCAACUGUCAUAAGCUAUCUACCUUGCCUGCAGACAUCGGAAAGCUUGUAAAUCUAGAAGUGUUGAGGCUUAGGUCAUGUGCAGACUUGUUAGAGUUGCCAGGCUCGAUUAGGAACCUUAAAGUUUUGAAAUUUCUCGACAUAUCCGAUUGCUUUAGCGUAAAGGAGUUGCCCGAGGACAUUGGUGCAAUGUGCAGCAUGGAAAAGAUCAACGUGAGCCAGUGUUCAAGACUGAAAGAGCUCCCUGCUUCUGUUAUGGAUCUUGAGCAGUUGAACGAAGUGAUAUGCGACGAGGAGACGAAAACUUUAUGGGAACCCUUCUUACCGUUUCUCACAAACAUACACUUGAAGGUGAUCAAAGAAGAUAUCAACCUAAAUUGGCUCAACAAGCUUCCAUCCUAAGGCCAUCCUAAGGCCAUGGUCCUUCCAUCAAUGAGUGUUGGUGCAAUGUAUGCAUCGUGAUUGUGUUUAAUGUUAUUUUUCCUUUGUAAUUUGCUUCUAUUUUAUGUUUUAUAUGAUUUAAAAUAACACGGCAAUACUGUAGAAUUAUUGUAAUUACUCACCAUGGGUAUUAUUGUAAUACCAUGUUUGCAUUCC
rnacentral:lncRNA from 1 species